rnacentral:lncRNA from 1 species
ACAACUUUAGCUCUCGUAACCCGGAACCACUGCCUUUUCCCACAACAAAAUUACACAACGUCUGAAGACUAGUCAACCUACCAAUUCCUACUGGCAUUUCCUCCAACGACUUCGUAUUUGAAUUCUUAAGAUGAUGCAAUUUGGCGAGGUUUCCCAUGUCUGCACACAACUUCUUCAGCCGAUCACAAUCUUCCAACAAAAGACUAUGCAAAUUGUAAAGCUUGUUGACUGAUUCAGGCAGAGUUCUAAUCUCAGUUGUAGACAGGUUAAGGUACCUUAAAUACCUCAAAUCACCAAUUGAAUCAGGCAGCUCAGGGAUGCAGUAUCCACGCAAAGAGAAGACCCUCAAGCGUCGGAGUUUGAGCAACUUAGGAAGAAUGCUAGGAGCCAAGAAGCCAGGCGAACUUUUUGUCAACAUUACUGGUAAAAAAGUUCUCAAAUGCUGGAUAUCAUACAAGUCCCCAAACCUUUUACCGCCAUCAAAAUAUUCAGGAAUGUAUGAUAGAUGACGAAGAUUUUCGGAAAAACUUUGCUGCUUGUAAAUUUCUGAGGUAUACUCCAUUGUGAAGUAUAUCUCCCCCGCAGCCCAACGGGCAAGGUCAUUGAUAAGAUCGUGCAUCACAAAUCGUGAUGUAUUGUUGCUUAAUUGCUGGAAAAAAGAUCUUGAACGUAGCUCUUGAAAGAACUUUCGACCUAGAACUUCGUUAGGAUUCCCACUCUCUUUAUGAACCAAGAAACCCGAAGCACUCCAUAAUAAAAUUAUCUCCUCCUCUUCAAAUUCAUAAUCCUUCGGAAACAACGAGCAGUAUGCAAAGCAUUGUUUCAAAAUUGGAGGAAGAUAAUAAUAGCUCACUGCAAGAGCUGGUAUAAUGGGACAUCUAUCUUCUGGUAAUUCCCAUAUCUUGCUACUGAGCACAUCUUCCCACACACCUCUGUCAUGUUCUCCACAUAAAAGUCCUCCCAGUGUUUUUGCUGCCAAGGGCAAGCCAUUGCAUUUGAUCACUAUCUUCUUACCAAUGUCCUCCAAUGACUUGUGUGAACUGAAAUCUCUUGUCCCCAAAGAGUGCUGAGCAAACACAGACAGACAAUCCUCAGUUGACAAGUUUUUCAAUUCAUAAGCUUGAUCCGGCCUCAUGAUUUUUGCAACCUGUUGAUUGCGAGUAGUGACAACAAUCUUACUUCCCUGUGCGCCAGCUUCAAACGGACGGCUCAUGUCAACCCAGUCAUUGUAAUUCUCAUUCCAAACGUCGUCUAAAACGAGCAAAAAUUUCUUUUGAGAUAACUUCUUCUUCAGCUCCUCUUGAAGCAAAUUUAAAUCACUGUCAUCAAUAGUCUGCUUGGUAAUGGAUCUUAGAAUUGUUUUUGUUAGCCCCUUAACGUCGAAAUCCUCAGAGACACAAGUCCAUGCCUUGAGAUCAAAAUGAUCCUGCACUCGCUUAUCAUUGUAGACAAGCUGAGCAAGAGUGGUUUUGCCCAGGCCGCCCAUACCUAUAAUAGGAAUAACAGAGAAUCCACCAUCGUUGCUUAAAUCAUCCCUCAACAGCAGUUCAACAACAUCCUUCUUUUCUGUUUCCCUGCCAUAUACUUUGGCUUCAGUCACUAAAGAGGUUGUCUCCAGCCUUUGACUGGCUUUGUUGGACCCUCCAGCUGAACUUUCUUUCAAAUCUAGCAAGUUUUUCUGUGUCACAAUUUCUUGAAAUCUGCUGUUGAUCUCUUUGAUUUUGGACAUCAAGCCAUAAUCGAACUGAAUCGAUUGUGGAGUAAAAGUGGUGCAGCAAGCAGGAAUGAGCUUCCGAAACUUACUUGUUCUGGCACGACUGCUACUGGGUUGAUCAUGAGCAGCAGCUGGUUCUCCAUUUCCAAGCAGCAACAUCCUCCGGAAAGCCUCAGUUUGAAACUCAUCCAACAAGUCUUCAACAUCAUAAGCCAAGUUCUGAAGCUUGCCAAGCCACUUCUUCACAGACCGAUUAGUUGUCUUCUUCUCCUCAGCAUCAUCAAGCACCGCCUUGAUCAUCUCCAACAUAUUCUCCCACUUCAUUAGAUAGUCUUGGAUCUUCUCUUGGCGUGCAAAAAACAGAAUCCCCUCUGAAGCUAACUUAUUGACCAGCAAAUCAACAGAUGCCGUAAGGAUUGCCUCUCCGAUGAUCGACAUUUUUUUUCUUUUUUUUGGGCAAAGGAAGAAAGGAGCAGAAUUAUGGGUUAUGGAAAGCAGAAUGAGAAUAUUGAACGGGUGAGAAAAUGGAUAAUUAAGCGGAAUGAGUUUGUGAUUGUGAAGGGUCUGGUACAGCAAGCUUAGUAGAAAUCACGCGUUUGUACUUUAUUGACCAAUGACUAAAUAAUUUGGCAAUGCACCCACCACCACCACUUGGUGAGCAAAAUGAAAAAGUUUAAUAAGUGGAGGGGUCCAGCAAAAUACGACGUAAAAUGUGGCAAGUCUCCCCACUUGUUGUUCGUUGCAGCUAAGAAAAGAAAAAACAGAGCCCACCACCCAUUAAUAAUUUAGCAAAUCACCAAUCAUCACAAAAUUCCAUUAGAUAUUCGUCGAUCAAGUAGUUAAUCCAGUGUCUGCUACGUAGAGCCUUCACUUUACAAAUCUUCAACUCAUAAACCAAGUUAAAUCAAGACGUUUCUCUCUCUGUAUAUAUUUUUUUUAACUCCUAAAACGUUUCUUUUUAGAAAUAUAUUACUUUAUUCAUCUAAUAUGUUAUCUAACAAAUAGACACAGAUGAAAUCACUCUAAAGUGAAGAUGAAAGGGGAAAAAAAAAACAUUCCAACCACCAAUAAUUUAGCAAGCGUCACUUUUAUUCCACCAAAGUGUAAAUAAAGCCAGCCCCCACCACCAUCGAUAAUUUUGCAAGCUUCACACGCUUGUUGUCUUCUCCUUGACGAACUGGACGGGGUGGACCAAGAAUCAAUGAAAGAAUUUUAAAAAUAAUAAUAAAAGAAAAACAUAAACAUUUUGGACUCAGAGUAGAACCGUAAUUAAUGCUAAAAUUUACUCCGCUAACGUUUUCAAAAUAUUGUUCUUUACAAUUGUACAGCAAAUAAGACUAAGUUUUGGACAUUUUCAUAUUCACUUACUUUCAAAAGCAGUAUUUCGAAACAUUUUACAGAAUCAAGUAACAGUUAUAUAACGAGAAAAGUGCAAAGUUGUGUAAUUCUAAUGUUUAUUUUAUCACUGACACUCAGAUCAUUUUUUAUUUGGGUCGCCAACUCGCCAAUGAACCCAUGAUUGAAUAAGUGUUUAGAAAGAAAAUCAAUAAAAAACAGUUUUUUUUUUGUCGUCGAAAUAUAGUAAGUGAGAAAGAUUAUUCUGUUUUUUUUGUUAAUUAGGUUAGUAAUUAUGAUUGAGUGACUCAGAACUAUAUUCUAGAUUGAGAAUCAAUGGUUCUCCCACACUGAGAGGCUGUAAGUUUAAGAUUGUCGUUUGCUAUUUCAUCAACAAGAGAACACUUGAAUUUAUUAAAAAGAGAAGGCCAUAAAAGUUUUCUUUUAUGAGAAAUGUAUCUGAUCAUUCCUUUUUACUUGAAAAUUUCAUAUAUAAAAACUCAUUAAUAAAUGACAGAAUAUACAUAAAUUAUUAAUUCAUUUGAUAGUUGAUUAUCGAAGGACAUGUGACCCAUGGGAGCAUGCAGACUAUAAAAUAAUUCUUUUUUUUAUUAAACAAAAAAUCGGUGAUGUUGAAAAGCAAUAUUAAUUCGACUGAUAAUUGGGGUGAACAUUCAUAAAAAGAAUGCCGUAUGAAACUAAAUUAUUAAUUCGUUUGACAUGUGACCCACAAUAAAUAGUUAAAUUUGGCGGCAACAAUAAUUACAAGACGAACUUAAAGCAGCGCAUAGGUUUUUCUUAAAAAUACAUAAACAAUUCGAUAUUUGAAAUUCUAAUAUCUCAAUAAUCUAGUUAUCCUGUAUUUAGAUCCACAUACAAUUUCUUUUUUUCUUUUUUCUGAUUUCCAAUCGUUACCAAAAGAAAAUAUUUAGUGAUCCCUUUUAUCAACUUGGUUUUAUUGACUUUCUUCCAAUCAUAGAAGUGAAAAGAGAAACAGAGGCCAGCACCAAUAAGUGUUGUGUUACCAGAUUCUGUAAAGACAAAAUCAGUGCCCAGCAAAAAGAAGCAAUGUUUUCGUUAUAUGCUGCUUCCUAUUUAGUACAUGCAUAUAAAGAUAUGCACGUGCACAUGCAGCACAUCUAUCUAAAAUUUAAAAAAAGUAAUUAGAAAUACAGGAAUUAUGGUAGAAAUAUAACAGGAAUAAGAGUGAAAUUACAAUUUUAAAAUUUGGGAGAAAUGAAAUGCGAUAUUUUUUUUAUGAAUAAAAUAAUUUAAUUUUUUUUAAUUCUACCAGCAAAAACCAUUAACUUAUCAAGUUAUUGGUUUCAUUCACAGUUAACAGUCGGUUUCUUAGUUUCAUUCCUUAAUUCUACAAGAAAAAAACAGAAUACUUGACAUUUACUAUUUGACAAUUUUUAAGAAAUGUCAAGCAUAUAUGACAUUUUGUGAAAAACUGAGUAAUUGUGAAAUAUAAAUGACAAUUUAUUUAAACGUCAAAUAAUUGUGACGUUUUAUCAAAUAAAUGAUAAAUAUAUUACAUAUUUAUUAAAUAAUUAUCAUUUACCUUUUCCUUUUAUUGACUUGAGAAAAAAACAAAAACAUUGACUAUACUGCUUUUGUUUUCGUUCUUAGAACAGAUUUUAGUUUCUUUUGAGAAAAUUCAAACUCAUUCCCAUUACUUUCUUUUCAAUAAUCACCUCUCAGUUUUUCAUCAAUCACUCAAUACCGAAUUACAUCUCCAUUCUCUUUCGAAGAAGAACGCACGAAGAAUUUUAGCUUGCUUUCGCUGCUUCUCGAAUAUUGGGUAUUGUUUCCUUUAAUUUAGAUAAUUUUUUUUUUUAUAUCUCUCUUUCUAGUUUGAUAAUUUAUGGUUAUACUUGAAUUAAUUGUAUUUUUAAUCAACCAAGGUUGAUUUAAUUGAUUCCAAGUCUCAAUUUCCUGUUCAACAAACAAGGAACGCACAAAUAAUUUUCAUUUUCAUACUCAAUUUUGAAAGAAUCAAUUUAUUUUAUCUUUGGUUAGUACACUUCUGUUCAAUUUUUGUUUAUUUAACUUAAGAUAUCUUUUUCUUUCUUUUCUUCAAGCAGAUUAUAGAUUAUAUUGAGAACAGAGCUUUCUCCUUAAUUCCGCCAAGAGCAACGUUGAUUUCAGGUGAUAAUUGAAUGUGUAAUAUUUUCAAUUGAAAUUAAUUGAGUCUCGUAAUAAUAAUAGGGAUUUGAGAUUUACAUCCUGUUGAAAUGAUUUUAGAGUGUUUUGCUAUUUGAAUGCGUAUUAAUUGUUCCUCUGUUUCAAAUCCAAAUCCACUGGUCUACUAUUCAUUAUGACAAUGCAUAUGCCGAUAUUGUCUUCCAUCCUUUGUGUACCUUUCAAUUUAGUGAGGUUUAGACAGGGGUUCCAGAUUUGGUAAAUCAACAAUCACCAGAUAUGUAGAGCGGCCGGAAGAGGAAGCAUGGUUCCUAAUCCUAAUCUUGAUUUAGAGCAGAUUAGGUAACAUGUGACAUUCUACAUUCUUGCAAUGCCAUUUCUUGUUAUGGCAGCGGCAUUCUUGGUCAUGGCAUCACAAGCAAAUGCUUUGAUUUGAAGACUUGCUUGGCUAUGAAAAAUAAGGAGAGCAAAGGUAAUUAAUCUUGGUGUGAUCAACAUUUUUAUGGGGGUACUAAGAAAAAUAAAGAUAAUAUAAGGAAUGUUGUUGAGGAGUAUUUUCAUAUUUACACAAGUAUUCAAAGUAAAAAUUGAUUUCUUAAAACCCAUUAGCUAGCGCACAUAAUAAUGGGGAGAAAAUUUUAGACUACGAAUGGUCCCGCCCAUUUAAUAAUAUUCUUCAAUCAAUUAUGUUUACUUCAAAAAAAAAAAAACCUAUCUCUUUAUUACUUUCUAACUAUUCAUAUUAAUGUGUUAAUAAUUAUGAAGAACCGGUGUAAUUUAUAUGAUGUAGGAAGCACUUUAGGCAAAAUCAUUUGAAUCUCAAAAUUUCGUGAUAUUGUGCCAAAUAUCGAAAACAGAGCUUCCUAUCACAGAAAUUAGGAAUCACUGGAGAGUAGAGUUACGUGACUGAAUAGUAUCAUAUCACAGAAACUCAAAACUCAAAAGUGCAAUAACAUUGAACAUUCAGCUGGCUAGCUUAUAUUGAUUAAUUAAUACUACUACUAGUUCUUUAUGAUUAAUUAAAAGAUAAAAUAUUUGACAAUCACGAAACAUUAUUCCAUCACUGAAGAGUAGAGCUUCCUACAUUGUUACCCAAGCUCUUUUAUAUCUCCCAAACAUUAUUAGAGUCCCACAUUUGUGGGCACAUCAUUAAGUAAAAUGUGCCAAUUAGGAAGAACUGGCUUCUUUGUUUUGUUUUCUGGGAUGUGUUGCAAUUUUCAAGUAUCAUUCAAAAUUUUACACCAUCAACACAGGAAAAUUAUAUAUAUUCUGUCAGCACUUGCAUAUGUUGCAAGUGCUGACAGAACUUUUCAUUUGAUUUGAUAAUUGGCUAAGGGUGAUUUCGAUAACGUUUCCAAAGAAGACAUAGAACAAAGAUCAAAAAGAAAAAUAAGUAAUUUGAUCAGUCGAUGCAAAAAAUGAGCGAGCUUCGUAGUCUGACUAACAGGAAAUGGCUUGGAGCAAGGAUCAAUGGACAAGUUUGAGGUUUAUGAAUAAACAGAACAGAGGAAAUAAGUGAUCAAUUUAUUACUUCGUGCAAUGGCCACAGCAACAGCGAAAAUAUGUCUACAUGACUACAUUAUCCGACUGGCAUGGUACUAUAACCGUGCAGCAUUACACUAACAUUUCCUUAUCAAUCAAUUUUGAUGGUAUGAUAUUAAAAACAUAGAUUUCAUAAUUUUAUGUAAUUCAAAGAAAAGAUAUAAUUGAUUUGAGUUAGUUUAACAUAUAAGGAAAGAGUAAUGGGGAAUGAUGUUGAUGUGGCAUGUGAUGAGUAAAGAUAGACAACAAAUAUUGAUCGUGUAAUAAUGAAAUAUGUAUUUAUUGAAAAUAAAUUGACAAUUAAAAUUAAUAGAUAUAUAUCCAAUGCAUCGAGUUUAUUUUAUCACUUCGCUAACCAUUUUGUAACUACAUGUUAAUUAGAAGUUCAAUUAAUUUUGACCAAAGACUCUAGAGAAUGUCGAAAAGAGAUUUGAUUUUUGUCUUAAAAAAAAUUAGAAAUGAAAUAAGUCAAAAUCAAUCACAAGAACAACAACAAGAGCAUAUUUUAUAAAACCACAAAUACAUAAUAUAAAUUUAGUUUCGAAUUAGAUAAUUAUUAAUUUGUAUUGUAAGAGAGUCUUAUAGAAAAAUAGGAAUUUUUUAAAAGGAGAUUUGCUUAAGGAACAACUUUAGUUAAUGGAAGGAAAUACAAGUUUGAUUUUGACAAAGUAAUCACUAAAAUAUUUGACAAGUUUGAGAUGUUAAAAAACUGGAAAAAUAGACAAAUAAUGAAAACCCUACAAGUUGGCAAAGCGAAUAAACAGAGGAAAACAGAGCAAAUAUUUACCGUUAUACAUAUAUUUUUUUAUUUUUUUCCGAAAAAGAAUGUUGCGAUAUUUUUUCCCAAAAAGAAGCACAGUUUGAUAUUACUACCAAAGAACUUUAGCUACCAUAUAUAAGCACGUGUCUAAUUACCAAAUGAAUUCCGCUAUAACAAAGAAUAAAAGCUAAUUUCAUUGAUGGCAUAUGUCGUGCUUUCUUUUCUUUUAUUUUAUUGAAGUUACUUUGUAAACUGCUCCAAGCUAAAUACAAAAUUUACUCUUACACUAGGAUCUUUGCAAUGGUCCAGCAAUUUGUAUUUCCAUUCGGUGAGGUUGGUUUUUUUCUUUAAAGUUGGGAAGUCCAUGUUUGCCAUCAAGAGUACGAUUAAAGAAGAGAUGUUACAAUACACAAAAAGGAAAAAAAAUGCCCAAGGAAGCUUGGGACACUUUUGCAAUGAUUUUUUUUCAAUGAAGAAUAACACACAACUACAACUUUUGGACAAUGAGUUACAGUCAAUUUCACAGCAAAGCAACUUCAAUAACCGCAAAAUUUUUGGGUUAGAUCCUACUGUUGCAAUUUCUGAAUCCAGAAUGAAGAGAAUUAUUAUCCAUAGCUUGGUCAUAUACAAUAUGUGUGUGCGUGUGUGUAUGUGUGUGUAUUGGGAUGUCACAGGCCCUAAAAGAUACAGCUGAACAUCAAUCCUAAAUCUAAAGUGAAAAACAGUAGCUAGAACAUAAUCUUUGUUUUGAUGUCUUUGUUUAUAAGCUCAAACAAUUGACAGUAUAGAAAAUGCAUGAUAGAACAUAGAACUCAUAUUUUAGCAAUAAUCCUAAGCUCACUGGCCCUUAGUUCAAACUGGCAGUUCUUAUUAGUCAAAGAAUCAAAUUGACUUUUAGUUGUAUAUAAGUAGAGCACUAGAUCAACAAAUAAUUGAAGACUUGCUUGGCUGUGGAACCAUAGGAAGGCAAUUCGUGAACAGCCUUGAUAUUUCAUUUGGUUUUAUUUAAUUCUUUGUAAAGUCGUAUUGUAUGUAAAAUUUUUGUUAAAUGAAAUCGGUAUGUGAAGAGAAUUUUUAAAAGCAACCAUCAAAGUCACGAUCAAAGGGACGAAAUCAGUAUAAAUAUUGAUUGUCUCAAGUUAGAUUAUACAAAGAUGAAAUAAUUCUAAUCUAGAAAAUUCGAUCAUUAUAAUUUGAUUUCCAUUAUAUUAAUUAUGUUCAAUCUUGCUAUUUUAAUGAAGAACACUCGAGGAUUUAUAUACACUCAGCUUAUGAAAUUAAUUACAAAACGAUCUUUGACCAAGUCUGAUGAAAAGAUCAUAUUAUAAGUGCAAAGUUACACUUCCCGAUCAUGCAACUAUCCAUCGAAUUGUGUAUUGUGUUAUCGUUGAGCUCUUAGGAAGAUUCAGCUGCUGAGGAGAAGAUGUAAUCUGUUUUUAUGUGACAAGCCAUGUACUCUGCUUUUAUGGUGUUUCUCUUGGUAGUUUUGGACAAAACUGUAAUGUAAAUUUCUAUCUUAAGGGAUUCCUAAUCCUUUUAGUUAGUUUGGGAUUGUUGAUUUAUCUAUGAUGUUUGGUAUCCAAAAUUCAGGUGAUGAUAAUCUUCGCAGUACUUUUGUCAAAUUUUCUUUUAUGUUGGUGUUGUUUUAAUUAAAUAUCACAAAGGUGCAAAAUGCGGUAAAAUUAACAUUGAGCUCAUGAGAUUGCCAUUAGAUAUAUUGAAAAAGAAAUUGAUACAAGAAACUGAAAAUUAGUUGUUAAUUAUGAUGGGAAUAUAAUCUUUGAAUUAUAAUUAUAUCUAUCUAACGCAUGUGCACUAAUCUUAUUUAUCUCUAUCACUGAAAAAGCAGAGUGGCCUGAUUGAAUAGUAUCAUAUUAUGUCACAGCAAUCACAAAAACUCACUCAACAUUAUGCUAAUUUAUACUAAUUAAUUAAUACGACUAACAGGAAAAGUUGGAUCUCGCCUUGCUAAAAAUCAGGUGAUUGUUUUUCAUUUUUGCGGCUACUUGACUCAAUUAUGUUAUUGCAAGAGGAGAUUUCUAUUUUGUCCGGUUUAAGCCAUAAGAUGGGUUUUAAGAUUCAUUCUGAUUGGUUAUCUGUUAGCUUUUUGUUUUAAGAACUUCUUAUUUACGAAAGCCAAAUUCUUCUUUCUAGGUUUAUUCAUAUUCAGAAGUUGCUUUUGUCAUAUCAGAAGAAGAGGCUAAGACUGUUGAAGUACUAGAAGGGACUACUGCGCUGAUUGCCUUUUUCAUGGGCUUCUAAUAUCCAAUGUUGAUUAUCUCUUCCAUUUGAACAUGAGAGUAAAAAGAUAGUUGAUAUUUAUGUUACAAAAGUUGGAAGCGACUUAAGCAAUUCAGUAUCAUGCGAGGACUAUAAUAAUAACCCCGAUUAUUUUGCCUCUUGGAUUUUUUUGUUAAUUCACUUGCUUUAUGCUUAUCCGACCUCUGAUUUUUUCUUAAUAUUUCUUUGUAGUUCACUUCACAGCACUUAUAGCCGCUGCAUUGGCAUUUUCUGCUAUUUGUUAUUGUUCAUUGAAGCUAGUUAGUUUACGAAAUUUCUUUUUGAUAAAUCUUCUUCAGAGGGUUGUGAGAGGCCAAAUCAAUUGAGAUGACCGGGUUUUCUAGAUCAGCCAUCUUUGUCGUCAACAGUGCUAAACUGUCAAUUACUGAGACACCAAACUCUAACCCGAUUCAUAUGGAUGUAGACUAAAGCUUCUUGCCGAUACCAUCCCAGUCAAAGCUGCUAUCUUUGAAAGUUUCGCAAGACAAAACAACGUUGGUUUCCCAGUCGACACAAAUACAGAUUUCAUAUGUGCAGAUUGCUCUCAAUCUCUGUUUAAUAAGCUAGUCCUCUGCUGUAUCCUAGAAGGUGGAACAAUACAUUAUGCUUCCCAGCAGGCUCCAAUGGGAUCUAUAUAUGUUUCUGCUGCCAAAUUUUUGAAAGCGAUCAUUGUGAAUAUCGCUGCCCAGUCUGAAGUGGGCUUUGAUACUUGUGACAAUACUCCAUCGAGGCUGUAAAGAAGCCGUGGGUGUACAUUUCUGGUCCAACAAUCAAUCUAACUGGCUUACUUUACAGCAACAAAGAGAUAGAAAAUAUAUUAACUGCUUGUGCAGAAUAUGGAGCAAGAGCUUAUUUAGUGUCGUGUCAAAAUAAAUAUAACAAAGUUUAAGCUGAAUAUAAAUUGUUAAUUACAGGCAGAGCAAGUUGAGUUUAAAAAAUGCGAAGCACCCAGUCCCAAAACAGAGAAGCUUGACGUUGGCCGGCAGGAUUAAUAUUAUUUUUUUUAACAACAAUCAAAGCCAGUCGGGAAUUUAUUAAGAGGUUAAUUAGUUGAAGUAUAAAAAAGGAAUUAGCAGGAUUCACGCCCGACCAAAUCCACAUGGCCAAAGCAAAGGAUUAAGUUUGAGAGAUUAUAAUGAAAUAUAAGUAAGCUUCGCACAUGCAUGCGUCUGACUGACAGAACAAAUGAAGGAAACAUAAACUUAUCAUUUUUAAGAUGUAAGCAUCAAAACAUUCGACAAGUUUGAGGUUCGUGAGAUAUUGGGAAAAUAUACAAAUAAUAAAGCCACUACAAGUUAAGCAGAGCAAAUAAACAGAGGAAAUAACUGAUCAAUUUAGUUCUUUGUGCAAUGGCCACAGCAACAGAGAAAAUAUGCCUACACGACUACAUUAAUCCUACUGGCGUGGUACUAUCACCAUGCAAAUUAACAUUAACAUUUCAUCAUCAAUCAGUUCUGAUGACAUGAUAUCAAAAACAUUGAUUUCAUAAUUUUAUGUAAUUUCAUAUAAAAGAUAUAUAUAGUUUAUUUGAGUUAGUUUAAAAUAUGAAGAAAGAGUAAUGGGGAAUGAUAUCGCUGUAGCGUGUGAUGAGUAAUGAUAGACACCAAAUAUGGAUCAUGUAAUUAUGAUAUAUGUAUUUACUGAAACAUAUUUGGCAAUAAAAUGAUGCUUUAAAAAUUUAAUAUUGUUUGCUUGAAAAUAAUUUGACAAUUAAAAGUAAAAGAUGUAUAUGCAAAACUUUGACCUUAUUUUAUCACUUCACUAACCAUUUUGUAAGUACAUCUUAAAUCGAAGUUCAAUUAAUGCUGACGAAAGACUCCAGAGAAUGUCGAGAAGAGAUUUGAUUUUGGUAUACCAAAAAAUUACAGAUGAGAUAAGUUAAAAUCAAUUACAAGAACAACAAAAAGAAUAUAUUUUAUAAAAGCCACAAAUACAUAUAAUAUAUAAUCAGUUUCGAAUUAAGUAAUUAUUAACUUAUAUAGUGAGAAAGUGUUAUAGGAAAGUUGGAAUUUUUUAAAAGAGAUUUGCAAAGGAAAAAGUUUAGUUUAGUUUAGUUUGCGAAGGCUCAAGUAAUUCAAAGCAAUUAGCAAUGCAAUUGAAGGAAAUAUAAACUUCUAAUUUUUACAAAGUAAUCGCUAAAAUAUUUGACAAGUUUGAGAUUUUCAAAAAGCUGAAAAAAAUAGACAAAUAAUGGAGACCCUACAGAUUGGUAGCGCAAAUAAACGGAGGAAAAUAUGGCAAACAUUUAUUUUUUCCAAAAAGAAUAAAAGCACGUGUCUAAUUACCAAAUAACUUCACUUUAAAAAAUAAUAAAUGCUAAUAUCAUUGUUAGCACAUGUUGUGCAUUUUUCAUUUAUUUAUUUGCUAUUACUUAUUGAAGUUACUUUGCAAACUGCUCCAAGCAAACUACAAAAUUUCUUAUCACUCUAGGAUCUUUGCAAUGGUCCUGCAAUUUGCCUUCCUUUCUAUUAGGUUAGCUGUUUAUUCAAAAGAAAAAAAAUUGGGGAAAUGGAAACCUCACCCUCUUAAUACAGAUUUUGAAUUUUAUUAUUAUUAUUCAAAAUUAGAUAACUAUGCAAAUAAUGGGCGGUUAUAACCAGUGAAACUGUGUCUAGCUACGACGCAGGUUUAAUUUUCUCUUGAUUAAAUAUAUAAACAAAACUAAAUCACCUGAGCCUCUGGUUUCACUAUUUUUCAACUUGAAAUUAAAACGCAAAAAUUGAUGGUAUUGGAGUUCGUUGUUUAGUUUUGCUGUAGGUCAUGGGGAAUCAAAUAGCCAUCCAUUUUUAAGUCUAUUUUAUGUACUAUUGGUCACUAAGUAUUGGGAUGUCAUAGGCCCUAAAAGAAAAAGCUGAAAAUCAAUCCCCUAUCUAAAGUGGAAAACAGUAGCUAGAACAGAAUCUAUGGUUUGAUGUCUUAGUGUAUAGGCUUAAACAAUUAAUAGUAUAGAAAAUGCAUGAUAGAAUUCAUAUUUUAGCAAUAAUCCUCACCUCACUGGCCGUUAGUUCAGAAUGACAAUUCUUAUUAGUCAAAGAAUCAAGAUGAUUUUUAGUUGUAUAUGAAUAGCGCAGUAGAUCAACAAAUAAUUGAAGACUUGCUUUUGCUAUUGAACCACGCGAUGGCAAUUCGAAGACUACAGCUUAGCUCUGCCAUUCGAAGUAAGCAAAUCAGCUGCCCAAAGACUGCCAAGCCAUCAAGACAAUACCAAGAUACAACAUCAAGAAUUACAUACAGGCCGUCACAUAUUACAUUUCUCCUCUGUUUUAAGAGAGAUUUACGAGCCCAUGCAGUAGAAGUAAUUAAUUAAUUUAUACAGUUCAGUACUCAUUCCUCCUCUGUUUCAAAUCCAAAUCCACUGCUCUGCCAUUUAUUAUGACGCAGGGUAUAUGGGUUAGCAAGUGUCGAUAUUGUCCUUCAUCCUUUGUGUACCUUUCUUCUAACAAGGGACAGCACGAGAUCUCUAAUCACAAAAGAGAGGCAGGCAGGCCGUUCGCUGGAAAGUACUUGAGCUUGGGACAAUUACAGAGUUUCAAUGAAAUGAGGUUUUGAUGAUCAACAAUUGAAGAAGACAGGCGUUCCAAAUUUGGUAAAUCAACAAUCACCAAAUAUGCUAGAGUGGCAGGAAGAGGAAGCGUGGCUCCUAAUCCUAAUCUUGAUUUAGUAUUGCGUAUGUAACAUGUGGCAUUCUACAUUCUUGCAAUGCCAUUUCUUGUUAUGGCAGUAGCGUUCUUUCACCAUGGCAUCGCAAGCAAAUAUUUGACUUGAAGACUUGCUUUGCCAAGAAAAAUAAGGAGAGCAAAGGUAAUUGAUUUUGGUGUGAUGAAUAUUUUUAUGGGUGUUCUAAGAAAAAUAAAGAUAAUAGAAGUAAUGUUAUCGAGGAGUAUUUUGAUAUUUACAAAAGUGUUCAAAGAAAAAAGUGAUUUUUUGAAAUCUAUUUGCUGGUGAACAUAAUAAAAUGGCAUUCCGACUUCUGCGUAAAUUUAAAACUACAAAUAGUUUUACUCUUUUAAUAAUAUUCUUCAAUUAAUUCUGUUUCUUUCACAAUAAAAAAUCCAUCUCUUUAUUACUUUCUAACUAGUCAUACUAAUGUGUUAAUAAUGAAGAACCAGCGUAAUUUAUAUGAUAUAAGAAGCCCUUUAGCACAUUAACCCGAAUUUAGCUAAUGCAUGUGCCUAAUAUAGCGAAAUCAACAUUCGGCUCAUUAGAAUGCCAUUAUAUAUACUGAAAAAGAAAUUAAUACAAAAAAAAACUGAAUAUUAAUUGACACUGGAUCAUGUUGGAUUGUUAGUUGUUAAUUAUGAUGGGAAUACAAUUUUCAUCUUUUGAUUAUCCGCUAACUAAUGCAUGUGCACUUUCAUUUGUGUCUAUAUAUACAAAAACUUGUAUCCCAUGGUUUACAUAUGUAUGAAGAUAAUGUAAUAAAGUGCUUUUGAUAAAUUCCCCUGGUCUGUUUACUUCACUAAUUCAUUAAUGUGCAAGUCCUCUAUAGAGCUGUGUUGUGCGUACAAGUUUUGCUACAUGAAAUCGUUAGGUGAGGAGAAUUUUUAAAAGCAUACAUCAAAGUAAUGAUUAAAGGGACAAAAUCAACAUAAAUAUUGAUUAUCUUGAGUUAGAUUACACAAAGAUGAUAAUGUAGUAAAUUUAUCAUAAUACACUACUAAAAAAUGCAUUUUAAUGACACAAAUUUUAUGACAUACAUCUUUAUGUCAUGAAAAUACUUGCAUGAUGUAUAAUGCUUCUGUGAUUAUUUGAUGAUAAAUUCAUAAUUGAUGCAGAUACAAAAUGAAGUGAUGAUAGGUAAAUAUCAUGUGAUUUUUUUUAUGGGUAAGAAUAUUUGAACCCACCAAAUUACUCUUUAAACUUACUUUUUUAUUGAUAAUUUUAUUACAAAAUUACUGANNNNNNNNNNNNNNNNNNNNNNNNNNNNNNNNNNNNNNNNNNNNNNNNNNNNNNNNNNNNNNNNNNNNNNNNNNNNNNNNNNNNNNNNNNNNNNNNNNNNNNNNNNNNNNNNNNNNNNNNNNCCGCAAAACUCAAUCAAAGUAUGCUUAUUUUCUUCUUCUGCACAAGUGUAGCAAAGUUUUUAAUAAGUUCCUCCUUCAUCCACAGUUGAGAACUUUCUAACUUUUGUUUCUUGUUCUAGUAAUUUGGAUAUGCUGUGUUAGAUACUGAAUUUAUUAAAUUUCUUCUUCUCUUUUGAAUAAAAUCUCUUUAAAAUUCAAUCCAUAAAAAAAAAAUUAAUCUCCUUAUAAUUUAAUAUGUUUCGGCUGUCUUAGUGGAAUGAUGCAAUUUGUGUCAAUCAAAGUUUUGAAGCAUCCUAAAUUAUAUAUUUUUUUGUUUAAUUUGUUUAGAGUUCAAUUGUUUAGAUCUAGGCUAAUUUUUAUUGAUAAUAUUUAUGAUUAAAUUAUAUGAGUAUGCUUAAAUUUUUUUUUCCUUCAAAUUUAUUUUCUGAUGUUGCAUUUGGUUAGCAAAAAGAUAAAAAUAGUAGAAAAUGUCCGAAUUAUUGUUAUGAAAAUGUUGUUUUAGUCUGAUAUUGGGAAAAUAUCCUUAUACAUAUCGGCAUGAUAUUCAUGGGAGACCAAAUUGAGAAUGAUGGCAGACUAUGCAUUGCUCACAACUAAUUUAAAACUCACUAUUUCUAUUGUUUGUGUUUUAGUAACUUUGGGGGAAUUCCAACUAUAGUUAAUAAGCUAUAAACUUGUUUAGGAUUACUAAUCAACUUGCUAGAAAGAGUUGCAAACUAAUUAGCUUUCUCUUAUAACUUUUACAGAUCAUCUGUGGAGGAGAACUGCAAGGAGUUGAAGACUCUAGACCCUAAACUUCAUAUCUUGAUUUAUAAGUGCAAUGGCCAUAAGUCCGAAUUAUGGGCUGGAGAUGGUAUAUGUAAUCUUUCUGCUCUUGGUGUUUUUUUUUUUUUCCCCUCUAGUUAUUUUUUGCUCUCUACUCCAUUGUAUAUUUGUAUUCAAAAGUAUUUUUUUCUUUGUUUUAAGCUUUCAAAUUUAUGGAGAUGAUCUUAUUAGGUGUUAAAAAAAUAGUUGUAGAGCUUUACUAAAACUAUGUAAACUCUUAUUGAGAUUUGGGUUUGAUUUUGUAAGAUUGCUAAAAAUUUCAUAUUUUAUACUUGUUUUAUACUUUUCUAGUCGAAUUUCUUGCUUGUGGAAGAUAAAAUAAAAGUCCAAUUCAUGUUGUAAAAUUUUUUUUUCCUCCCUUUUUUCUUCCCUUAUAAUCUGGCUCUGGUUUUGGUGCAGUUUAUGGUUUCAAUGCAGGGAACCAAUUUCAUCAGAAUCAUCUUAAAGGAUCAAAGUGGCUUCCUUUUGUAACUGGGUAAGUCAAUGCUACUUCCUGAAUUCGAUUUGGAGUUCUUUCGGAAUAGAUUUCCUUCCCUUACAUCACUUGGCUUCUAGUUGCAUCUUCUUGGCUUUCUCCAACGGACUUUUUUAUUGGCAAAUUCGUUUGUUUCUAUUGUUUUCAAGUGCUAGUGCUGGAUUUGGAGGUAUGAAUGGUGCCUUCAUUUUUAUUUUUUUAAUUUUCUUUUGGGUGUAUAGUACUGUAAUAUACUUCUUUGUAUAGCUAGUACAAAAUAGUUCUUUAAUUUUAUUUGUCAUGAUUUAUUUCUAUUGCCUGGUGAUGACACCCAUCACGACUUAGUAGUCGUGAAUAAAUCGAAAAUCAAAUUGCACUGGUUUUUACCGGUUAUCAACAAUUGUGAUGUUUUGAGAUUAUAACAUACUUGACAACGCCGACUAGCGUUCUCUCCUAUGUGAAUUGGGACAAAAAUUAUUUUCCCAAUCACGCUUUCGUUUGAACAAUUCCACUUCAGAUAUAUAAAAUAAUGAUGAAAUUGUGUUUUAAAAUUAGUUACGAGUAAUUGGUUCAAUAUUAAUACAAAACUAUUUUAAGUAACACGUGGCAUAUUCUAAUUCCAGUGAGCUUCUAACUCAGAUUCCCAAAUCAAAAGAAACGUUUCAAUUUUCUCCAGAACGUUCUGCAAAACAUUUCUUCGAGUCUCUACGUUGUGCUAGAAUUUUCUCUCAGUUUCUUUUCCAUAGACUUCUAAAAAACUGUCCAGAUACCGAGAUAUAAUCCAAUCUAAGUGUACAUAUUGUAAGAAAAACGAUACACAGUGAGAUAACAAUUUAAAUAGUAGCUAAUUUAAACAACAAUGUAAACUAGCAAUGGGAAACAACAAAUGAAGAACUGAAGAGAAAGGAGACCAAAACAGAAAUAUAAACCCGAGGCCUGCGGACAGUUUCCUUAAACAUAUUUACCCCCUCUUGGAGUGCUUUAGGUCAGCUGGUAUCUGUUUCCCAGGAUACAACAGGCACGAAUUUUCGGCUAAGCACAGGCUAGAAAUUCUGGCGAACCACAACAACGAGCUCGAUCAGAGAAAACAGACGACGAAGAUGGAGGAAGGAAAAUAAGUGUGCUGGUUUUUUCAGUGUGCAAAAAAACAGAAGAGGAGAUGCCUUUUUAUAGUCAUAUGAGGAUGUAACAGCUACUUUGUAUUGAAUUUCUGAAUUCAAUAUAUUUUAUUUAAUUGUUAUAACAGCCAAAUCAAUUCAAUGAAUUGAUUUCAAAAUUGAAUUAAAAAAAACGUGAAUUAUAUAACAGCUAAAAAUAAUUGUUGAAGCUGUUACAAAUCCUUUGAAUUCAAACGUGAAACUGUUACAAUAAAAAAAAUUUUAAAAGGAAAUUAAAAACAUGCCAAGCUUGCAUGGAUGAUUUUGGGCUGACAUUCGCGUACGCAGACGAGUUCAACCAAAUUGGUCAUGGAUUUGCACCCCCCUGCACACGCGCACGUGGAGAGAGCCUCUAUCCUUAUAAUUCUUGAACAAGCAUGGUUAAGUGUUUAUAUAUAAACACUAAUCCCUAGGCUUCUUUUUCCCAUGUGGGAUAAGCCUAAUUUCUUUUCAAAUUUCCAACUUCAAAGGUGAACUUUGAGAGACAAUUUCUCAUUCACCCAAGCACCAUUUUGAGAAAAUAAGAUUAUACUUUUGAAGUAUCAAAGGAGUAGAAUCCGAACCUCACAAGAUUUUCCACUUUCGUUAAGUGGGACCCACUCAAAAUAUGCCCUCAAAAUAGCAUCUAUAUAUGCUAUUUUUUCAACAAUCCCCCACAUGAAUGAAAAUUGGCAGUAAAACAAAAAACCGCUAUAUUUUUUUUACAUCAAAACCAUUUUUGACCUUAAUGAUUGAGUUUAUUGGAUUGAUACCUAGCACAUGAUAGGUUGGUGUUAUCCUUUUAACCUUCCCUUGUAAUAGUAUAAUUACUUUACUGGCUGAUCAGUAGACGCGAUGUCUUUGAACUGUGCGGCCGUUAGUGUAAACGAUCAUAUACUACACAUAGGUAUUUCUCCUAACACUGUUGAGUUCUCAUGGUUAUGUUCGUUUUGGCCUUGAACAUCUACCUGGUUCUGCAAGAGUUUCUAAGAGCUAAACCCAUCAUAGCUCCCUUUGAAGCGGCCCCACUUCUCUCUCACAUAGGUGAUAUCUUAAUUAAAAGUAACCCGCAUUACUCCGCUCGAAUUUUCCGACGCAUAAGAAUCAUUAAGAGCCUAGCUCAACCUUAUUCCCCACGAGCAUCAUUGUUUCAUAAUAUGAAUGGUCAAUGAGGUAAUCUUCUCAAGAGAAUAAACCCCACAAUAAUCCAACUUUAGUCUUUAACAAAUAGGUUGUUCAAUUGAACCUAGAUCUUGGGAUCUCCAGUCUACUAGGUUGGGUUUUCCUUCGUUAUUGACUAAUCAAUCUAUGAGUUUUAAUCCCAUUCCCCUCGAUGAUUUUUCUACUAGCUCUCUAUUUAACCCUUUGGUUAGCGAAUCCGCAAUGUUAUCCUUUGACCUCACAUAGUCAAUAGAAAUAACUCCAGUAGAAAUAAGUUGUCUAAUGGUAUUAUGUCUAUGACGUAUGUGUCUAGACUUACCAUUAUACAUAUUGCUUUGUGCCCUACCGAUAGCUGAUUGACUAUCACAAUGUAUACAAAUCGAAGGCACAUGCUUUGGCCACUUUGGAAUACCUUUUAAAAAAUUGCGUAGCCAUUCUGCUUCUUCACCACAUUUAUCUAAUGCAAUGAAUUCAGAUUCCAUUGUAGAUCUAGCAAUUACUGUCUGUUUAGAAGAUCUCCAUGAUACAGCUGCACCUGCUAGUGUAAAUACAUAGCCGCUAGUGGAUUUUGAAUCUUUUACAUCUGAUAUCCAGUUAGCAUCACUAAAUCCUUCUAAUACUUCUGGAUACCUAGUAUAGUGCAGUCCAUAAUUACGAGUGUAUCGAAGAUACCUAAGUACUCUUACGAUAGCUUUCCAGUGAUCAGUUCCUGGAUUACUCGUAUAUCUACUAAGUUUACUUACCGUAUAGGCUAGAUCUGGUCUGGUACAACUUGUUAAGUACAUCGGACUGUCUAUUAUUCUAGCAUAUUCUACUUGAGAAAAACCCUCUUCUCUAUUUUUCGAUAAAUGGAUACUAGUAUCUAAUGGAGUUUUAGACAUAAUAUUAUCAUUUUUAUUAAAUUUUCCAAGAAUUUUAUCUACAUAAUGAUUUUGACUUAGAAUAAGUCCAUUAGAAGCCCUUCAGAUUUUAAUUUCCAAAAUGACAUUUGCAAGACUCAUGUCUUUCAUGUCAAACUUAGACUUCAACAUAUUCUUGGUAGAUUUAAUCAUGUCAUCAUCACUUCCAACAAUGAGCAUGUCAUCAACAUAUAAACAUAAAAUGACAUAGCCAUUUUCCGUUUCUUUGACAUAAACACAUUUGUCACACUCGUUGAUUUUAAAACCACUUGUGAUCAUCAUAUGAUCAAAUUUCUCAUGCCACUGUUUCGGUGCUUGCUGCAAGCCAUAUAAUGACUUUACCAAUUUACAAACUUUCUUUUCUUGUCCUGGAGCUAUAAAACCUUCAAGUUGCUCCAUAUAGAUUUCUUCAUCUAAAUCUCCAUUUAGAAAAGCCGUCUUUACAUCUAUUUGAUGUAUCUCGAGAUUGCGCAAAGCUGCAAUUGCUAUUAUCAUCCGUAUGGAAUUUAUUCUCAUAACAGGAGAAUAAGUAUCAAAGUAAUCAAGGCCUUCUCGUUGCCUAUUACCUUUAAUUACAAGCCUAUCCUUGUAUUUAUUGAUUUAUCCAUCAGCUUUCAUUUUCCUUUUGAAAAUUCACUUAUACCCCAAAGGUUUACAUUCUGGAGGAAGAUCUGCUAGCUCCCAAGUAUGAUUUUGUAAAAUGGAUUCAACUUCACUGUUAAUGGCUUCUUUCCAUAAAGUGCCUUCAGCUGAAGUUACAACCUCUUUGAAGCUUUGAGGUUCACUUUCUAGCAAAUACGUCAGAAAGUCUAGACCAAAAGACUUUUCUAUCCUAGCUGUUUUGCUACGUCUAACCUCAAUUUCUUGUUCUUGAUCUUCUUCUUCUUCUUCUUCUGGUGCUUCAUCAUUUUCUUCAUUUCCAAGUGUUGUUUCAUGAAAUUGUCGCAAUUCUCUCGAUUCCACUCUAGAAUUGCAAGGAAACACAUGUUCGAAUGAUGCAUUUCUUGAUUCUAUUAUCAUAUUUUUGUGGACAUCUGGAACUUUAGACUUAUGUAACAAAAAUCGAUAAGCACUACUGUUUUGUACAUAACCAAUGAAAAUGCAGUCAACAGUUUUUGGUCCUAUUUUCACUUUUUUAUUGAAGGAACCACUACUUUAGUAAGACACCCCCACACUCGUAAGAAUUUAUAUGAAGGUGAUCUAUUUUUCUAUAGCUCAUACAGGGUUUUAUCUUCUUGCUUUCAGGGUAUCUUAUUUAAUAAAUAAUUAGCUGACAAAACAGCUUCUCCCCACAUAUUCUGGGGUAACCCAGAACUUAUCAACAUUGCAUUCAUCAUUUCCUUUAAAGUUCGAUUCUUUCGUUCUGCAAUCCCAUUAGAUUGAGGUGAAUAUGGAGUCGUGACUUGAUGUAUGAUUCCAUUUUGUUCACAUAGUGACAUAAACAUAACAACAUACUCACCACCACGGUCACUCCUUAAUUCUUUGAUUUUUCUAUUAAGUUGAUUCUCAACUUCAUUUUUGUCGAGAAUAAACUUUUUCAAAGCUUUAUCUUUACUUUUCAAUAAAUAUACAUAGCAAUAUUUUGUGCAAUCAUCUAUAAAGGUAAUAAAAUAUUUAUUAUCACCUCUUGUUUGAAUGGAUUUAAAGUGACAAAUAUCAAUAUGUAUUAAAUCAAGUGGUUCGGUGUUUCUGUUAAUUAUUUGGAAAGAUGACCUAGUUAGUUUUGCCUCAACACAAGUUUCACACUUAUGUUUCAAAUCAAUUUGGAAAUUGGGAAUAUGCUUCAUGUUAAUUAAUUUACGCAAAGAUUUAAAAUUAACAUGUCCUAAUCUACCAUGCCAAAGAUUAGAAGACUCAAGCAAAUAAGCAGAAGAAGUAGCUUUAUUAUUAAUUAUUGGUUUCAGAGUCAUUACAUUGAGCUUAAAUAGCCCAUCAUUAACAUAACUCUUUCCCACAUACAUCCCAUUUUUAGACAAAACUACCCUAUCUGACUCAAACACCAUUUGGAAGCCAUGUUUGUUCAACAGCGAUCCAGACACCAAGUUCUUCUGAAUUUCUGGCACAUAAAACACAUUGUUCAGAGUCAGUUCUUUCCCAGACGUCAUCUUCAAAAUCACCUUCCCUUGACCAUCAAUCUCAGACGUAGCCGAAUUCCCCAUGAAUAGCUUCUCUCCAUUGCUAACUGCUUCAACUGAAGUGAACAAUCCUUUGUCCGAGCAAACAUGUCUGGUUGCUCCCGUAUCAAUCCAUCAUUCUCUCGGAUUAUAGCCAACCAGAUUCACUUCUGAAACCACUGUAGAGAGGUUUAUGUCUGAAACAUGUUGAGUGAUGUUUUCCAUCACAUUCUCCUCUCGCUUCUUUUUAGGCAACCUGCAAUAUGAAGCAUUGUGACCCAUCUUAUCACAAUUAAAACAUUUUCCUUGAAACUUUGUUUACUUCUUGGAAAUUCCUCCUUUCGGACCCAUUUUUUUAUUUUUAUUUUUAGGUCCAUGUUCGACAAAAUUUGCCUUUGCCAUAGAAAUAACUCCUUUUCUUUUUGCAUUUCUGUUAUCUCCCUCAAUUCUGAACUUAACAACCAGCCCUUCAAUAUUCAUCUCCUUUCAUUUGUGCUUCAAAUAGCUCUUGAAAUCUUUCUAAGCAGGAGGCAAUUUUUCAAUAAUUGCGGCAACUUGAAAAGUUUCACUUAGAUGCAUCCUUUCUGCAAGGAUUUCAGAUAAUAUAAUUUGAAGCUCUUGUACUUGACUUAUUAUAGUUUUAGAAUCCACCAUUUUAUAAUCUAGGAAGCGACCAACAACAAACUUUUUGGUUCCCGCAUCCUCGGUUUUAUAUUUCCGGUCAAAGGAUACCCAUAACUCCUUGGCUGUUUUCUUUCCUAUGUAUACAUUAUACAAGGAAUCACUAAGGCCAUUCAUUACAUAAUUUUUACAUAAAAAAUCUUAAUGAUGCCAUGCAUCAAUUGCACUUGCAACUUGAAUAUCCGUUUCACCCUCUUUAGGUUUAGGAGCAUUCUCGAUUAAGAAACUUGCAAGGUUCAACAUGGUCAAGUAAAAGAAUAUCUUUUGCUGCCAACGUUUGAAAUUCUGGCCAUUGAAUUUUUCAGGCCCUUCCGCAUGAUUGACAGGAAUUGCCACAGAGGCUGGUUCCUUUACAACAGUUGGUGCAGCAACAGAAGAUGAAACUGGGACAUACGGAAUAUCAUCAAUGGUUUCAGUUGCCAUCUCAAUGAUAAUUGAUUCUGUUUUAAGAUUGUAAAAAAAAUGAUACACAGUGAGAUAAUAAUUUAAAUAGUAGCUAAUUUAAACAACAAUGUAAACUAGCAAUGGGAAACAACAAAUGAAGAACAGAAGAGAAAGGAAACCGAAACAGAAACAGAAACAUAAACCUGAGCCCUGCAGACAGUUUCCUUAAAACAGAUUUACCACUCUUGGAGUGCUUUAGGUCAGCUGGUAUCUGUUUCCCAGAAUACAACGGGCACGAAUUUCCGGCUAAGCACAGGCUGAAAAUUCCGGCGAACCACAACAGCGAGCUCAAUCAGAGAAAACAGACGAUGAAGAUAGAGGAAGGAAAACAAGUGUGCUGGUUUUUUCAGUGUGCAAAAAACAGAAGAGGAGGUGCCUUUUUAUAGUCAUAUGAGGAUGUAACAGCUGCUUUGUAUUAGAUUUCCGAAUUCAAUAUGUUUUACUUAAUUGUUAUAACAACCAAAUCAAUUCAUUGAAUUGAUUUUAAAAUUGAAUUAAAAAAACAUGAAUUAUAUAACAGCUAAAAAUAAUUGUUGAAGCUGUUACAAAUCCUUUGAAUUCAAAACGUGAAUCUAUUACAAUAAAAAAAUUCAAAAGGAAAUUAAAAACGUGCCAAGCUUGCAUGGAUGAUUUUGGGCUGACAUUCGCGUACGCAGACGAGUUCAACCAAAUCGGUCUUGGACUUGCACCCCCCCUGCACACGCACGUGUGGAGAGAGCCUCUAUCCUUAUAAUUCUUGAACAAGCAUGGUUAAGUGUUUAUAUAUAAAUACUAAUCCCUAGGCUUCUUUUUCCCAUGUGGGAUAGGCCUCAUUUCCCUUCAAAUUUCCAACUUCAAAGGUGAACUUUGAGAGACAAUUUCUCAUUCACCCAAGCACCAUUUUGAGAAAAUAAGAUUAUACUUUUGAAGUAUCAAUGGAGUAGAAUCCGAACCUCACAAGAUUUUCCACUUUCGUUAAGUGGGACCCACUCAAAAUAUGCCCUCAAAAUAGCAUAUAUACAUGCUAUUUUCCACUUUCGUUAAGUGGGACCCACUCAAAAUGUGCCCUCAAAAUAGCAUAUAUACAUGCUAUUUUUUCAACACAUAUCUCUCUAUGUCACCUCCCUCCAUUUCACCAGAAAAUCAACAAACACUUAGCUUCAAAACAAACACUCUAAAAAAGCUAGCUAGUUGAUGGCAAAAUCAAGAAUUCUUGCAAUGGCAAUGUUGUUUCUUGUUAUGGCAGCAACAUUGAUGAACAUGGCAUCAAAGCAAAUGCUCUGAUGCUGUACACACGAUCACCUUUCUUUGACGUAAUGUUCCCAAUGACGGAAGAUCCUUUCAGGGUUCUUGGACAAACCCUGUUAACAAUCCCAAAAGGAGCUGAACAUCAUCAAACUCUAGCACUGGCGAGAGCAAACUGAAAUGAGACACCAACAUCACACGUGAUCACACUCGACAUUCCAAGGAUGAAGAAAGACGAUGCGAAGAUAGCAGUUGAAGAGAACAGGGUACUGAGGGUGAGUGGGGAGAGGAAGAGCGAUGAUUAUUAUAAGGAGGAAGUUGAAGGAGAAAAAUGGCACAGAGUUGAGAGACCAUUUGGCAAGGUUUGGAGGCAGUUCAGGAUGCCUAUGAGUGCUGACUUGGAUCAUGUUAAGGCUCAUUUGGAAAAUGGUGUUCUAAGGAUCACAGUGCCAAAACUUGUUGAGGAGAAGAAGAGGCCGCCUAAGGUUAUUAACAUUGAUGAAGAGCCUGGUAAUUCUUCCGAUGAAGAUGUUAAGGCCGCCAAGGCUCAAAUGUAAUUGAUUAAAGAAAGAAGUGUUUGAUUUGCUUGAUGUGCUAUUUGUUUUGUGAUCUUUUCUUGGUUUUGUUGUGGGAUGUUUUUCUUUGGAUGUUCUGUUUAUUGUAUUUUGAUGGAUUUUUAAAGAUGGCUUUUAUGUAUUAACAACAAUAAAGUGUUUUUUAUAAAUCCGGGUCCUAAAUUUGUAAAAGAAAUUAAUAAUACUCUUGGUUUAUUGUUAAUAAAAAUAAAAAAGAAGAAUCUUUUUCUUUAGCAUAUAUUAUGCAUUUUAAGGAAAAAAAAAAUUAUCACAUUCUAAUACAUAAAGAUAUUCCUCUUCUGUCAUAUUAAUGUGUUAAUACGAAGGUCUAUUGGAAUUAUAAUAGUUUAGAUGAAUCCAAAAUAUUCAAUAAUUGAUAAAUAGUAUAUUGACACACAGAAAAUGUGCGUGUGUAUGUAUAUAAAUGAGGUUUCAACAGCUGAGAAAGAGAUAGCCAUUAUACAUUACACAUUUGCACUCAAUAAGAAAUCAAUUCAUUAAUAUAGCCAUUAAUACGCCUGGUUUAUUGUUAAUGAAAAUUAAAAAAGAAAAAAAGUCUUUUCUUUGGCCUUUAUUAUGCAUUUUAAGAGGAAAAAAAAUUUAUCCCACUCCAAUUCAUGAAGAUAUUCUCUUUUCUGUCAUAUUGAUGUGUUAAUAUGAAGAUCCAUUGCAGUUGGUGAAUUCAAAUAUUCAGUAACUGAUGAAAUUGUAUUUAUAAAUUCAUACUAAUAGCAAUUGAAGAUUAUAAUUAAUUUUGUAAUAUGGUCUAGCCCUCCUGUGUUUAAUUAGCACUCAAAAACCACUUUACAAUAGGGCAUUAAAAGAACAUUAUAACGUCAUUGCUGAUGAGUUCUGGCGAAGACAUUAAGUUAAGGCCACAAAAAUCGAAAUGCACGUAGCUUCGUUUGUUUUUUAUUUUUGAUUCUCUUUGGGGGCAAAUGCUUGGCUUCGUUUGCUUUUUCGUUUUUGAUAUUUUAUUGGGCUUUAUUGUGUGGCAUCUUCUUGUUUUCUUUUGAUUUUCUGUUUUGGUUGUUAUGGGAUUUGAUGACGACGUACAUGUACGAAGAUUAUAUAAUAAAAUGUUUUUGAUAAAUUAUGGUCGGUUUAGAAUUAAUUAACUAAAUUUAAUUUACUUGAUCAAUUGAUAUUUGUAAGCAUUGUUGUUAUACAAACACAACAAAAGAAGAACAUUAAUGUACUAAUUAAUUACUAAUAAGAACAUUAAUAACUUUUGCCGAAGAAGAGAAAUAUUACACAUAUGUAACCGUGCAGCAUAUGUAACCGUGCAGCUAAAUAAAAGAAACUGAAGUUUAUUUCAACAGCUAAAGAAUGAGAUACGCAUAAGAAAUUAAUCCAUUAAUUAAUUAAUUAAUUCAUAGUCCCCCGCUGCUAAAAUAAAGCGAGCGUCUUACUCUACCUAACAUUUUUCCUUUUAUUAAUUUAAAAUAGUUUUCAACUGAGAUUUGAAUUUUAAAAUUACACGCUUGAUUUAGAAGAAAAAAAAGUCAAAUAUAUGUAACCGUACCGCGGAAAAGACAAAUAUAAGAAACUGAAGUUUCAACAGCUGAGAAUGAGAAAUUAAUUCAUUAAUUAAUUAAUAGAGUCCUCCUUUGCUAAAUAAUGCGAACCCAUUGUUCUUUUUAUUUCCAAAACCCAUUAAUCACCAACACAUAAUACACGCCCAAUUUAAAAAAAAAACUAAUAAUAAAAUAUUUCAGUCUUCCUUUGUUGAGUCGUCAUUAAAAACCCAUUUACCAGCUAUUCGAGCAUAAGGUAUAUGGGUUAACAAGUCCCAAUAUUGUCCUCCAUCCUUUCUGCACUUCUCUUCUAUCAACGGACAGCGAUAGAUUCUUAAUUGCAAAAGUGAGGAAGGCAGGCCCUUCUCCGGAAAGUAUUUGAGCUUGGGACAAUCAUAGAGUGUCAAUUUAGUGAGGUUUUGAAGAUCAACAAUUGAAGAAGAUAGGCUUUCCAGAUUUGGAAAAAAGGCAAUGCUCAGAGAUGUUAGAGAGGCAGGAAGAGGAAGCGUGGUCCCCAGUCUUCUGUCCUCUGGCUCUGGUGGAAAUGACACCAUGUCGUCAUCGCAUCCUCUGAUUAAAAGAUAUCGCAGAGAGGAGAAUCUGUGAAAUCCCCGGCCCCGCUCAAUCAUUGACUUCCAAAUCCCCAUAUUACCCUCAAUCCUCAGUGAAUGAAGGUUGGUGGGAAGGCCAUCUUCUUCAAGGCUUGGAAGCUCACCUCCUAUUAUUGUUAAUUGUUGAAGAGAGGUCAGAUUGUGCAAUCCCUUGGGUAAGGCCUCUAGUCUCUUACAAUCAUAUAUCUCCAGCCUCCUGAGUUUCGCACAAGGCAAUCCCCCUUUGGGAAAGGACUCCAGAUUUCCACAACCCCCAAUACCAAUCUGUUGAAGCUGGCACAGAUUAUGUAAACCACUCGAUAAAAUUUUCAGAUUUUCACAGUUAGAAAUGUUGAUUGUUUCAAGAGAUGUGUUGUUGUCCAACCUUUCUGCUAUUGACUGCAGCUUUGGACAUCCAUAAACAUCAAGUACCUUAACGGACGGAGGUAGAUUGCCAACUUCAAGGGACUCAAGCGUGGCAGGUAACUCGUUUUUUGAAAAUAUACAUGUCAGAGACGGACAACUGGAAAUUGCUAAGUUCUCAAGAAGAGAUGAGGUGUACCUUCUGCUGCUGCUACUCUGGAUGCCCUCUUCCACUGUCAAAGUCCUUAUUUUAUUGCACCUCUGGAUGUCCAACCUCUUAAGGCUCAGUGGUAGCUGGACUUCAGCAAUAUAUGUCAACGAAUGGCAAUCCCAAAUUUUCAAGAUCUCGAGAGAUGAACUAGUGUCGCACAUCCAUGGCUCUGGUAACGAUUUCAGUGCAUCACAUUCUCUAAUCUCAAUUUUCUUCAACUUGGAAGGCAGAGCAACCUCAGGAAAGGAAACAAGGGAACUGCACUUGUAGAUUUCUAUCUCUUUCAAGGAACUAAGGCUGAGAGAUGAUUGUGGCAGCUUCACAAGGCCUUCGCAAUAUCUCAAUCUUAGAUAUUCGAGUCUGCAUGACAACUCGCAGAGCUGCUGUUGUUGGUCUUUCUCUUCCUCCGCCACCAAGGAUUGAAGUUUGGGACACCCUCUUAUCUCCAGACUUUUGAGAGAGCAAAUGUCUUGUAGUAAUCCGUCAUGACUCUUCCAUAUAUAUGUUUGCUCUUUUGUCGACAAAAUUAAUUCUUCCAAUUUCGGUAGUUGUGGCUUCAACGGCCCCGCAAGAAACACUUGAUUUGAUGUAUCUCUACAAACCACUGAAUUCUGUGAUCCGAGAUGACCAGUUGCACUUUCCCACACAACCUUUUUGCAUCCACCAAUUAAGAAUUUGCAAAGAGUUGGAAGACUCAAAACUGAAACUAACAAUUCUUCACAUCCUUCAAUAACAAGCAUCUCUAAUACAGGAAGGUGUUCUGGAAAUGUUCCUCGCAGUUUAGGACAUUCUAAAAUGUGAAGCUCUCUCAAUUUAGGAAACCCUUCAACCCCUUGACCGGAUCCAUGAGAAAUCCAGACUUCCCAUUCUUGCAGGUCUUCAAAACGAAGAGUCUCCAAGCAUGGAAAUGGAAUUGGAGAGUCAUCCCCAUAGAACUCUGAACCCAAUCUCUUUACUCUACUCACUCCACGCACUGUAAGAUGCUUUAGAGAGGGCAGUUGCCCGACAGACGGCAGGGCAGUACACAUGCCGCAAUCUUCAAAUUCAAGUGUUACUAAAUUUGAGAAUAAGGAAUCUCCUAACCAUGUUGGAAAUUUUGUACCUCCAUAGCCACAGAUACCAAAUUGUUCCAGAUUUUUAUGGGGUUUGAGCAUGUCAAGCACACCCAUUUCAGUUUCUGCCUCCCUUGAAGAUGAACCAUCGGUACUGCGUGUCCAUCGAAGCAAUAAUUCUUUAAGAUUCUUCUUUCCAUCCAACCGAGCCUCCUUCGCAUUACCAACGUCUUUUACGUUCUCCAAUUUUGAAAUUUCAAGUGCCCCACGAAGAUGCAUCAACAACUUUAGCUCUGAUAACCCCGAACCACUGUCUUUUCCCACAACAAAAUUACACAACGUCUGAAGACAAGUCAACUUGCCAAUUCCUAGUGGCGUUUCCUCCAACGAAUCUGUAUUUGAAUUAUUGAGAUGAUGCAAUUUGAUGAGAUUUCCCAUGUCUGCACACAACUUCUUCAGCCGAUCACAAUCUUCCAACAAAAGACUAUGCAAAUUGUAAAGCUUGUUGACUGAUUCAGGCAGAGUUCUAAUAUUAGUUCCAGACAGGUUAAGGUACCUUCAAUACCUCAAAUCACCAACUGAAUCUGGUAGCUCGGAGAUGUGAUAUCCACGCAAAGAGAAGACCCUCAAGCGUUGGAGUUUGAGCAACUUAGGAAGAAUGCUAGGAGCCAAGUAGCCAGGCGAACUCUCUGUCAACAUUACUGGUAAAAAAGUUCUCAAAUGUUGGAUAUCAUACAAGUCCCCAAACCUUUUACCGCCAACAUAAUAUUCAGGAAUAUAUGACAGAUGACGAAGAUAUCGGGAAAAACUUUGUUGCUUGUUAACCUCAGAGGUAUACUCCAUUGUGAAGUAUAUUUCCCCUGCAGCCCAAUGCGCAAGGUCGUUGAUAAGAUCGUGCAUCACAAAUCGUGAUGCAUCGUUGCUUGAUUGCUGGAAAAAGGAUCUUGAAUGUAGCUCCUUAAAGAUUUCAAGACCUAAAUCUUCACCAGUUUUCUCACGCUCUUUGCGAUCCAAGAAGCCCGAGGCACACCAUAACAAAAUUAUCUCCCCCUCUUCAAAUUCAUAAUCCUUUGGAAACAAUGAGCAAUACGCAAAGCAUUGUUUCAAAGGUGCCGAAAGAUAAUAGUAGCUCACUCUAAGCGCCGGCAUAAUGUCACAUCUCUCUUCUUGCAAUUCCCAUAUCUUGGUACUGAGCACUCUCUCCCAAUCACAUCUGUCAUCUUUUCCUCGCAAAAGUCCUCCAAGUGUUUGCGCUGCCAAGGGCAAGCCAUCGCAUUUGGCCACUAUCUUCUUGCCAAUUUCCUCCAAUAAGUUAUCUGACCCCAAAGAAUGUUGAGCAAAUACAGCUAGACAAUCAUCAAUUGACAACUUUUUUAAUUGAUAAGCUGAGGCAGUUCCCAUGAUGUCUGCAACCUCUUGAUUACGAGUUGUGACAAUAAUCUUACUUCCCUUCGCUCCAGCUUCAAACGGACGGCUGAGGCGAACCCAAUCAUUGUAAUUCUCAUUCCAAACGUCGUCUAAAACAAGCAAAAAUUUCUUUUGAGAUAACUUCUUCUUCAGCUCCUCUUGAAGCAAAUUUAAAUCACUGUCAUCAAUAGUCUGCUUGGUAACGGAUCUUAGAAUUGUUUUUGUUAGCCCCUUAACGUCGAAAUCCUCAGAGACACAAGUCCAUGCCUUGAGAUCAAAAUGAUCCCGCACUUGCUUAUCAUUGUAGACAAGCUGAGCAAGAGUAGUUUUGCCCAGCCCGCCCAUACCUAUAAUAGGAAUAACUGCGAAUCCACCAUCGUUGCUUAAAUCAUCCCUCAACAGCAGUUCAACAACAUCCUUCUUUUCUGUUUCCCUGCCAUAUACUUUGGCUUCAGUCACUAAAGAGGUUGUCUCUAGCCUUUGACUGGCUUUUUUGGACCCUCCAGCUGAACUUUCUUUCAAAUCUAGCAAGUUUUUCUGUGUCACAAUUUCUUGAAAUCUGCUGUUGAUCUCUUUGAUUUUGGACAUCAAGCCAUAAUCGAACUGAAUCGAUUGUGGAGUAAAAGUGGUGCAGCAAGUAGGAAUGAGCUUCCGAAACUUACUUGUUCUUGUACGACUGCUACUGGGUUGAUCAUGAGCAGCAGCUGGUUCUCCAUUCCCAAGCAGCAACCUCCUCCGGAAAGCCUCAGUUUGAAACUCAUCCAACAAGUCUUCAACAUCGUAAGCCAAGUUCUGAAGCUUGCCAAGCCACUUCUUCACAAACUGAUUAGUCGUCUUCUUCUCCUCAGCAUCAUCAAGCACCGCCUUGAUCAUCUCCAACAUAUUCUCCCACUUCAUUAGAUCGUCUUGGAUCUUCUCUUGGCGUGCAAAAAACAGAAUCCCCUCUGAAGCUAACUUAUUGACCAGCAAAUCAACGGACGCCGUAAGGAUUGCCUCUCCGAUGAUCGACAUUUUUUUUUCUUUUUUUGGGCAAAGGAAGAAAGGAGCAGAAUUAUGGGUUAUGGAAAGCAGAAUGAGAAUAUUGAACGGGUGAGAAAAUGGAUAAUUAAGCGGAAUGAGUUUGUGAUUGUGAAGGGUCUGGUUCAGCAAGCUUAGUAGAAAUCACGCGUUUGUACUUUAUUGACCAAUGACUAAAUAAUUUGGCAAUGCACCCACCACCACCAGUUGGCGAGCAAAAUGAAAAAGUUUAAUAAGUGCAGGGGUCGAGCAAAAUACGACGUAAAAUGUGGCAAGUCUCCCCACUUGUUGUUCCUUGCAGCUAAGAAAAGAAAAAACAGAGCCCACCACCCAUUAAUAAUUUAGCAAUUCACCAAUCAUCACAAAAUUCCAUUAGAUAUUCGUCGAUCAAGUAGUUAAGUAUUUUUGCUAGAAUGAAUGCAACCAAGAUUCUAUGGGAUAUGUAUGAAGAUGAUGUAAUAAAGUGCUUUUGAUAUAUUCCCCUAGUCGGUUUACUUCACUAACCAUUAACGAGCAAAUCCUCCCAAUGACCCUCAAUACUCUUGUGCACAAUUAAAAUAAUUUCAAUUAUAUAUAUAUAUAAAUAAAAAAACUCUCAAAUAUAUUAUUUGAUAAUCACCAAAAAAAAAAAAAUUCACCCCAAUAAAUCACAUUACAGUCUAUGUUGCAAGUGUUUUUAGGACUAAUUCAAAGAGAAAAUGCGAAGGACAUGUAAUUGAAUUUGGGACACUGAAUAUAUUCCCAAUUACCCUUUAGUGUAAAUAGUUCCACUUCAGAUAUAUAUAAUGAUGAUGAAAUUUUGUUUUCUCAUAGCAAUCAUUCUAGUGUUUUACAAUGAGUAAUUGAUUCAAUAUUAACACAACACUAUUUUAACAUGUGACAUAUUCUAUCAUAGUGUGCUUCAACUCAGACUUCUAAGUUUCCAUUUUAGAACAAGUUAAAACAGUUCCAACUCAAAAUCAGUAGUGCGCAAUUGGGUUGUUAUAAAUAUUUCUAAAUUUUAGUCUAAUUUGAAUUAUUUAAUUGUGUUUGUACAAACUAGCUUUAUCACUUCUUUUAUAUUGAUACCCUUAAAUUUCAACCUUAUUUUAUGUUGAUGCACAAUCUAACUUAACAAAAAUAAUAUUCAAAUUGUCACAAUUUUUUUUUUUAAAAAAAAUAUACAAAGUUAAUUUUUCUUCUUCUUUACUCUAGGAUCCAGCUCCAUACCCCUCUUUUUUGUCGUUAUGCUACUCAGCCGUUAGAUUUUAAUUACGUUAAUCUAAUGGUUGGGAUUUGCAAAUGAAUAAUGAAGUGGUGUUCGGCUACUAUCCGAGGCCAUUGCAUCUAAUUGGUUUUGUGAUUUUUCACUUUCUUCCCUGUAACACUUGACUAGUUCUGGAAAUUGCUUUUUGGCAUGCUAAUUGUUGUGAAAAUUUUAAUAUACUCGCAAGCGCACGAAUCUAGAAAUAAAAUAGUGGUAACGAGGUCGAUCCCACAGGGAUUGGCACCCAUCACGCCUUUAGUUGUCGUGAAUAAAUCGAAAAUCAAAUUGAACUGGUUUUUACCGGGUAGCAACAAUCGUGACGUUUUGAGAUUAUAAUAUAUGACAACACUGAUUAGUGUUGUCUCCCAUGUGAAUUGAGACAAAAAUGAUUUUCCCAAUUGCGCUUUCAUUUGAACAAUUCCACUGUAGAUUUAUAAAAUAAUCACGAAAUUGUGUUUUAUAAUAAGUUACGAGUAAUUGGUUCAAUAUUAAUACAAAACUACUUUAAGUAACACGUGGCAUAUUCUAAUUCUAGCAAAGUUUCCAACUAAGAUUCCCAAAUCAAAAGAAUUUCAAUCUCCAGAACAUUCUACAAAAUGUUUCUUCUAGCCUCUACGUUGUGCUAGAAUUUUCUCUUGAGUUUUUUAGCAAAGACUUCUAAAGAACUAUCCAGAUAUCGAGCUAUAAUCCAGUCAAAGUGUAUAUAUUUCUCUAAUUCACCUCCCUCCAUUUCACCAGAAAACCAACAAACACUUAGCUUCAAACAAACACUUUCAAAUAGCUAGCUAGCUACCCAGAUGGCAAAAUCAAGAAUUCUUGCAAUGACAAUGUUGUUUCUUGUUGUGGCGGCAACAUUGAUGAACAUGGCAUCACAAGCAAAUGCUCUGAUGCCGUACACACGAUCACCUUUCUUUGACAUGAUGUUCCGAAUGACGAAAGAGCCUUUCAGGGUUCUUGAACAAACCCCUUUAACAAUCGCAAAAGGAGCUGAUCAUCAUCAAACUCUAGCCCUGGCGAGAGCAGACUAGAAGGAGAGUGGAUGGAGCCUUUACUUUCUAUUAUAUUUGUAAAGCGUGCCACAACACACGUGAUCACACUCGACAUUCUCGGAAUUAAGAAAGAUGAUGUGAAGAUUGAAGUUGAAUAGAACAGGGUAUUGAGAGUAAGUGGGCAGAGGAAGGCUGAUGAUUAUUAUAAGGAGAGGGUUGAAGGAGAGAAAUGGCACAGAGCUAAGAGAGCAUUUGGCAAGUUUUGGAGGCAGUUUAGGAUGCCAAUGAGUGCUUGACUUGGAUCAUAUUAAGGCUCACUGAGUGCCAAAGCUUGCUGAGGAGAUGAAGAGGCAGCCGAAGGCUAUUAACAUUGAUGAAGAGUCUGGUAAUUCUUCCAAUGAAGAUAUUAAGGCUACCAAGGCUCAAAUGUAAUUGAUUAAAGAAAGAAGUGAUUGCUUUGCUUGAUGUGCUAUUUGUUUAUGAUCUUUUUUUGGUUUUGUUGUGAGAUGUUUCUCUAUGGACGCUUUGUUUAAUGUAUUUUGAUGGGUUUUUUAGGAUGGCUUGUAUGUAUUGACAACAAUAAAGUGCUUUUUAUAAAUCCUAGUCCUACAACACUAAAAGAAAUUAAUACUCUUGGUUUAUAAUUAAUAAAAAUAUAUAUUUUUUUUAAAAGUCUUUUUCUUUGGCAUAUAGUAUGCGUUUUGAGGGGAAAAAAAUUUAUCCCACUCCUAAUUCGUCCUCUUCUGUGAUAUUAAUGUGUUAACACGAAGAUUCAUUGUAAUUGCAACAAUUUUGACGAAUCCAAACGUUCAAUAACUGUUAAAUUGUAUUUAUAAAUACUAAUAGCGAAGGUACAGAAACGAUUAAUUCAAGAAGUUGCUUAAAGUGCAUUAAAUUAGGGAGUAUAAAUAAUUGUGUGAUACAGUCCAGCCUUCAUCUGCUUAUAAUUAGCAACCAAAAACCACUUUGCAACACCAUUAAAAAAACAUUUUAACAUUAUUGCUGAGGGAAGAGGCAACUUAGGCUUAUUAACUCGUAUUAUUAAUGCUGAUGACGCAGCUGGUAAUCCUUUUGGUGAAUAUAUUAAGGCAGCUGAAGCUUAAAAUUAAUUAAGCCCACUAAAGCUUAAAACUAAUUCUUCUAGUGACGAUGCUUUGCUUAGUUCGCUUUUUGUUUUUAAUUUUUUUGGGGCUAACGUUUUGCUUAUUUUGCUUUUAAAAUUCUAUUGGCGUUGCUGUGGAAUAUUGUUUCUCCUUCGAUUUUCUGUUUUUGUUGUUAUCGGAUUUGAUGAUGGUUUAUAUGUACGAAGAUUAUGUAAUAAAGUGCUUUUGUAACAAUAUAUAUAUAUAUAUAUAUAUAGAUGUUUCAACAGCUAAGAAAGAGAUAGCCAUUAUACAUUACACAUUUGUACUCAAUAAGAAAUCAAUUCAUUAAUAUAGCCAUUAAUACGCCUGGUUUAUUGUUAAUGAAAAUUAAAAAAGAAAAAAAAAUCUUUUUCUUUGGCCUUUAGUAUGCAUUUUAAGAGGAAAAAAAAUUUAUCCCACUUCAAUUCAUGAAGAUAUUUUCAUUUCUGUCAUAUUGAUGUGUUAAUAUGAAGAUCCAUUGCAGUUGGUGAAUUCAAAUAUUCAGUAACUGAUGAAAUUAUAUUUAUAAAUUCAUACUAAUAACGAUUGAAGAUUAUAAUUAAUUUUUUAAUAUGGUCCAGCCCUCGUGUGUUUAAUUAGCUCUCAAAAACCACUAAGGUAAAGGCAAAAUCAUGAUAAAUUGUGGUCGGUUUAAUUUACUUGAUCAAUUGAUAUUGGGUAGCAUUGUUCUUAUACAAACACAAUAAAAGAAGAACACUAACGUACUAAUUAAUUACAAAUAAGAACAUUAACAAUUUUGCCGAAGUCUGAUGAAGAGAAAUAUUACACAUAUGUAACCGUACAACUAAAUAAAAGAAACUGAAGUUUAUUUCAACAGCUAAGAAUGAGAUACGCAUAAGAAAUUAAUCUAUUAAUUAAUUAAUUAAUUCAUACAAUUUUCAACUGAGAUUUGAAUUUUAAAAUUACAUACACAAACACACCUGAUUUAAAAGAAAAAAAUUUUAAUAAUAAAAUAUUUUACGUAUGUAACCAUACCGCGGAAAGAACAAAUGUAAGAAACUGAAGUUUCAACAGUUGAGAAUGAGAUAGGCAUAAGAAAUUAAUUAAUUAAUUAAUAGAGUCCUCCUCCUUUGCUAAAUAAUGCGAGCCCAUUGUUCCUUUUAUUUCGAAAACCCAUUAAUCAUCAACACAUACACGCCCAAUUUUAAAAAAAAAAAAUAAUAAUAAUAAAAUAUUUAAGUCGUCCUCUGUUCAAUAAUCAAAAACCCAUUUAAAAUCUAUUUUAACUUUAGGUAUAUGGGUUAACAAGUCCCAAUAUUGUCCUCCAUCUUUUCUGCACUUCUCUGCUAUCAACGGACAUCCCCCGAUGUAUAAUUGCAAAAGUGAGGAAGGCAGGCCCUUCUCCGGAAAGUAUUUGAGCUUGGGACAAUCCUCGAGUUCCAAGUGAGUGAGGUUUUGAAGAUCAACAAUUGAAGAAGAUAGGCGUUCCAGAUUUGGAAAAUUACCAAUCAUCAGGGAUGCUAGACAGGCAGGAAGAGGAAGCGUGGUCCUCAAUCUUAUGUCCUCCGGUGGGAAUGACACCAUGUCGUCAUCGCAUCCGCUGAUUGUAAGUUGUCGCAGAGAGGAGAAUCUGUGGAAUCCCCGACCCCACUCAAUCGUUGACUUCCAAAUCUUCUUAUUAUCAAUAAUCUCCAGCCUAUGAAGGUUGGUGGGAAGGCCAUCAUCUUCUUCAAGGCUUGGAAGCUCACCUCCUUCUCCUAUUGUUAAUUGUUGAAGAGAGGUCAGAUUGUGCAAUCCCUUGGGUAAGACCUGUAGUCUCUUACAAUAAGAUAUCUCUAGCCUCGUGAGUUUCGCACAAGGCAAUCCCCCUUGGGGAAAGGACACCAGAUUUUCACAUUCCCAUAUCCCUAUCUCUUGAAGCUGGCGGAGAUUAUGUAAACCACUCGGUAAAAUUUUCAGAUUUUCACACUCAGAAAUACUGAUUGUUUCAAGAGAUGUGUUGUUGUCCAACCUUUCUGCUAUUGACUCCAGCUCUGAACAACUCCAAACAUCAAGGGACUUAAGAGACGGAGGUAGAUUGCCAACUUCAAGGGACUCAAGCGUGGCAGGUAACUCGUUUUUUGAAAAUAUACACGUCAGUGACGGACACCUGCUAAUAUGCAAGCCCUCGAGAAGAGAUGAGGUGUACCUUCUGCUGCUGCUGCUGCUCUGGAUGCCCUCUUCCACCGUCAAAGUCCUUAUAUUAUCGCAAUGGCGGAUCUCCAACCACUUAAGGCUCGGUGGUAGUUGGACUCCAGCAAUAUAUGUCAACGAAUUGCAAAUCCAAAUCUCCAAGAUCUCGAGAGAUGAAUUGGUGUCGCACAUCCAUGCCUCUGGUAACGAUUUCAGUGCAUCACAUUCUCUAAUCUCAAUUUUCUUCAACUUGGAAGGCAGAGCAACCUCAGGAAAGGAAACAAGGGAACUGCAGCCGUAGAUUUCUAUCUCUCUCAAGGAGCUGAGGCUGAGAGGUGAUUGUGGCAGCUUCACAAGGUCUUGGCAAUCUCUCAAAUCUAUAUAUUCGAGUAUGCACGACAACUGGCAGAGCUGCUGUUGUUGGUCUUUCUCUUCCUCCGCCACCAAGGAUUGAAGUUUGGGACAACUUGUAAUCGUCAGUCUUUUGAGAGAGCAAAUGUCUUGCAGCAAUUCGUUAUGACUCUUCCAUAUAUAUGUCUGCUCUUUCAUAUCAUUUAUCUCCAAUUCUUCCAAUUUUGGUAUUCGCGGCUUCAAUGGCCCUGCGAGAAACACUUGAUUUGAUGUAUCUCUACAAACUACUGAAUUCUGCGAUCCGAGAUGACCAGUUGCACUUUCCCACACAAUCUUUUUGCAUCCACCAAUUAUGAAUUUGCAAAGAGAUGGAAGACUCGAAACUGAAACUAACAAUUCUUCACAUCCUUCAAUAACAAGCAUCUCCAAUGCAGGAAGGUGCUCUGGAAAUGUUCCUUUCAGUUUAGAACAUCUUAAAAUGUGAAGCUCUCUCAAUUUAGGAAACCGUUCAACUCCCUGACUGAAUCCAUGAGGAAUCCAGUCUUCCCAUCCUUGCAUGUCUUCAAAAUGAAGCGUCUCCAAGCAUGGAAAAGGAAUUGGAGUAUCAUUCCCAUAGAACUCUGAACCCAACCUCUUUACACUAGUCAUUCCACAUACUGCAAGAUGCUUUAGAGAGGGUAGUUGGCCGACUGACGGCAGGGUAGGACACAUGCCACAAUAUUCAAAUUUUAAGGUCACCAACUUUAAGAAUGAGGAAUCUCCGAACCAAGUUGGAAAUUUUGCGCCUCCAUAGCCGCUGAUACAAAAUUGUUCCAGAUUUUUAUGGGGUUCUAGCAUGUCAAGCACGUCCUUUUCAGUUUCCGCCUCCCUUGAAGACGAGCCAUCGGUACUGUUUGUCCACCGAAGCAUUAACACUUUAAGGUUCUUCUUUCCAUCCAAUUGAGCCUCCUUUGCAUCACCAACGUCUUUUACGUUCUCCAAUUUUGAAAUGCAAAGUGUCCCACGAAGGUGCGUCAACAACUUUAGCUCUCGUAACCCGGAACCACUGUCUUUUCCUACAACAAAAUUACACAACGUCUGAAGACAAGUCAACUUGCCAAUUCCUAGUGGCAUUUCCUCCAACGACUUCGUAUUUGAAUUCUUAAGAUGAUGCAAUUUGGCGAGGUUUCCCAUGUCUGCACACAACUUCUUCAGCCGAUCACAAUCUUCCAACAAAAGACUAUGCAAAUUGUAAAGCUUGUUGACUGAUUCAGGCAGAGUUCUAAUCUCAGUUCCAGACAGGUUAAGGUACCUUAAAUACCUCAAAGCACCAAUUGAAUCCGGCAGCUCAGGGAUGCGGUAUCCACGCAAAGAGAAGACCCUCAAGCGUUGGAGUUUGAGCAACUUAGGAAGAAUGCUAGGAGCCAAGUAUCCAGACAGUGAGCUAUUUGACAGCAUUACGGGUAAAAAUGUUCGCAAAUGUUGGAUAUCGUACAAGUCCUCAAACCUUUUAACACCAUCGUAAUCUCCACGAAUAUACGACAGAUGACGAAGAUUUCUUGAAAAACUUUGUUGCUUGUCAACCUCUGAGAUAUACUCCAUUCUGAAGUACAUUUCCCCAGCAGCCCAUUGAGCAAGGUCAUUGACGAGGUCGUGCAUCACAAAUCGUGAUAUACUGUUGCUUGAUUGCUGGAAAAAAGAUCUUGCACGUAGUUCUCGAAAGAACUUUCGACCUAGAUCUUCACUAGGAUUCCCGCUCUCUCCGUGAUCCAAGAGACCCACAGCACACCAUAAUAAAAUUAUCUCCUCCUCUUCAAAUUCAUAAUCCUUUGGAAACAAUGAGCAGUAUGCAAAGCAUUGUUUCAAAGGUGCCGAAAGAUAAUAGUAGCUCACUCUAAGCGCAGGUAUAAUGUCACAUCUCUCUUCUGGUAAAUCCCAUAUCUUGCAACUGAGCACAUCUUCCCAAUCACUUCGGUCACGUUUACCACGUAAGAGUCCACCAAGAGUUUUCGCAGCUAAGGGCAAGCCGUUGCAUUUGAUCACUAUAUUCUUGCCAAUGUCCUCCAAUGACUUAUGUGAACUGAAAUCUGUUGUCCCCAAAGAGUGCUGAGCGAACACAGACAGACAGUCCUCAGUUGACAAGCUUUUGAGUUCAUAAGCUUGAUCCAGGCUCAUGAUUUUGGCAACCUCUUCAUUGCGAGUGGUGACAACAAUCUUACUUCCCUGUGCGCCAGCUUGAAAUGAAAGGCUGAGGUGAACCCAAUCAGUGUAAUUCUCAUUCCAAACGUCAUCUAAAACAAGCAAAAAUUUCUUUCCAAAUAGUUGUUUCUUUAGCUCCUCUUGAAGCUUAUUCAAGUCGUGAUUAUCCACAUUCUGGCCAGGAGCAAUGGAAAUUAGGAUUGAUUUUGUAAGCCUGCUAACAUCAAAAUCAUCGGAGACGCAAGUCCAUGCCUUGAGAUUAAAAUGAUCCUCCACCUGCUUAUCAUUGUAGACAAGCUGAGCAAGAGUGGUUUUACCCAGCCCGCCCAUACCUAUAAUAGGAAUAACAGAGAAUCCACCAUCCUUUCUUGAAUCAUCCUUCAACAACAAUUCAACAAUUUCCUUCUUUUCUGUUUCCCUGCCAUAUACUUUGGCUUCCUCCACCAAAGAGGUUGUCUCUUGCCUUUGCCUGGCUUUUUUGGAUCCCCCAGCUGAACUUUUUAUCAAAUUCAGCGAGCCUAUUCUUUCUUCAAUAUCUUGAAAUCUAUCGUUGAUUUCUUUGAUUUUGGACAUCAUGGCGUAAUCGAACUGAAUCGAUUGUGGAGUAAAAGUGGUGCAGCAAGUAGGAAUGAGCUUCCGAAACUUACUUUUCGUGCUUGUACGACUGCUGCUGGGUUGAUCAUGAGCAGCAGCUGGUUCUCCAUUUCCAAGCAGCAACUUCCUCCGGAAAGCCUCAGUUUGGAACUCAUCCAACAAGUCUUCAACGUCAUAAGCCAAGUUCUGAAGCUCGCCAAGCCACAACUUCACAGAAUCAUCAGUCGUCUUCUUCUGCUCAGCAUCAUCAAGCACCGCCUUGAUCGUCACCAACUUCUUCUUCCACUUCACUAGAUCGUCUUUGAUUCGACCUUGGCGUUCAAAUAAACGAAGCCCCUCCGAAGAUAACUUAUUGACCAGCAUCUCAACGGACGCCUUCAGGAUUGCCUCUCCGAUGAUCGACAUAUAUUUUUUUUUUUUUGGGACAAAGAAUGAAACCAGAUUAUGAGCUUGUGGAAAGCAGAAUGAGAAAAGUGAAUAAGCAGCGUGAGUUUGUGAUUGUGUCUAGCAAGCCUAGAAAUCAAGAAAAACCCACCGUAAAAGUGAAAAGUAAAACGGAGCCAACCACAAAUAUAAAAUCAGAGGAUCACAGAAAUUAAAAAAAAAAAUCAAACACGUAAUGAUUUGUAAAGUUAUUAGCGAUUUGUAAAAAUCAAACAUGCGUCUUCUUCCUCUGAGUGUUUUUUUUUUUUUUUAACUUUAUUAAUUAAUUAGUGAAGUAAAUUUGUAAAGAUCACGGGCAUCAAAUUAUUGGGAGGUAUUAAUUGCGCUUAGUAUUUACAAUUUUUUGUAAAACUUUUUAAUUUCGUUGAAAAUGUAUCGUUAUUAAGUUAUUAUUGAUUUCACUCUCUUUUACUUUUUGACGUUGCGAAAAAGACAGUAAAAAACUUGCUAAAUGUCAUCAAAUACUUGUAUCUCAUCUCACAAAUUAGCAAUAUUUGUUUGGUAUUUCAUCUCAACGGGACGAAGGAACGAUAGAAAACGCGUUCCCUCAUCAAAAUUUUCUUUCGUGAGACCGAUAAUAAAUAAUAAAAUAUUCUUUUAUGGGAUCGAUUAUAAAUAGUAAAUUAAAGAAGGGUCGACAGAAAACGCGUUCCCUCAUCUAAUUUUUCUUUUGUGGGACCGAUAACAAAUAAUACAAUAUUCUUUUGUGGGACCGACUACAAGUACUAACAUAAAGAAUAAAAAAAUGAAAAAAAGGAUAGUGAAAUAACUCAACGGAGAAGUCUAUAAAUGCUUUUGUUUGGUAGCUGGCUAAAGCAGAAUCUGUAAGUUGCAGAGUCAAGUUACACUUAGCCUGCUCCAUAACUCUAAUGUGAAACAAAAAAAGUCCUGCCACCAAUAAUUCAGCAAGCUUCACUUUAUUACACGAAGGUGAAAGCAAAAAGCCAAAAACAGCCCCCACCACCAUCAAUAAUUUAGCAAGCUUCACGCGCUUGUGCUUGUCUUGUCUGCUUGACGAACUGGACAUGGGUGGACCAAGCAUCCAUUGAAUAACUGGAAAAAGUAAAAAAUAAAAAACAGUGUCCCGCAAAAAGAAUCCAUCUUUAUGUGUUGAUAUGCACAUCUACCGAACAUCUACAAAAUGGAAGUAGAAAUUGAAACUUACGUUUUUUAGUUAUGGCUCAUAUAUAAUACAAGUAUCAAUAUUUAAGUAGAAUAGAGUUCACAUAUACACAUGCGUCUAGUUUUAAGUUUUAACCGAGAGAUAAAUUAAUCAUUAAUACUCAGGUGUUUCUAAAUAAUUGAAUAAUGAUAUUAUACGAACCUUCCCUUUACAAGUCUUCAAACUCAUAAACCAAGUUAAAAUAAAAUUAAAAAAAACGUUUCUCUCUCUCUCUCCUUUUGCUAUAUGAUUACUUUAUUUAUUGAAUUAAUUUCCAUGCUAUAUCAAAGACUUAAAAGUACACUAUAAUUUUUUAUAAUCAUAAUGGUAAUUUCUAUCAUCAUAUUAAAUUAUUGUCGUGUCAAAAUAAAUUAUAACAAAAUUUUAGCUGAACAUAAGUUCGACUCAUUUAUUAAAUAUAUAUACUUAAUAAAAUAAUAAGACGAUUAAUAUGUUAUCAGUGAUAUAGACCCAACUGAAAUAACUCUAAUGUGAAAACAAAAAAAAUCCCGCCACCGAUAAUUGAGCAAAUUAACUUCACUUUAUUACACGAAAGUGGAAGCAAAAGCCAGAGGCAGUCCCCACCACCAUCGAUAAUUGUGCUUGUCUUGUCUGCUUGACGAACUGGACAUGGGGGGGGGGGGGGGGGGGGGGGGACCAACCAUCCAUUGAAUAACUGGAAAAAGUAGAAAAUAAAAAAAUCAGUGUCCAGCAAAAAGAAUCUACCUUUAGGUGUUGCUUCCUAUUCAGUACAUGCAUAGAUAAUGUACAUCGACCUGGAAUUAAAAAAAUGGAAGUAGAAAUUAAAACUUACUUUUUUAGAUAUGGCUCAUAUAUAUUACAAGUAUCAAGAUUUGAUUAGAGUUCACAUAUUUACAAUGUGCCUAGUUUUAAUUGAGAGACAAACUAAUCAUUAAUAAUCAGGUUUUUCUAAAUGAUUAAAUAAUGAUAUUAAUUAUUGAUAUUUAAAAAAUUUGUAAGAAGUAUAACUAAUAUGUUGGGAUAUGUAUUUGUGUAGAAUGGCAAAUAUAAAGAAUAGCAAUAAAAAUAGUGGAACUUUAAUAUGAUGAAAAAAGGUAAACUGUAGAAAAUUAAUAUAUAAUUCAAGGUACGUUACAAAUAUCACUUUCCUUCAGACAUUAUUUACCCCACCAAUUGAGUGAAUGCACAUGAGUUAAGCAAAUAUGUCUCUAGGAUAUAAUGAAACGCUUCUUUGUUUGCUUGUAUUGUGCAUCGACAAAAGUAAAUCUGAAUAUUCCUUAAUGUUGCAAGCUUGCCACGAAUUAAUAUAUUGUUAUUGUAAAAAAAUAAAAAAAAUAAUGUAUUGGAUAUUUGAUGCAUAAAAGAAAUAGAUAUUAUUAGAUGAAAUUCAUUUUGAGAAAUAGGGCUACAAAAAGAGUGGUGUAAUGUCGUUUUAUUAAUGUCUAAAUGGCAUAAAUAUGACAUCUAUUUACAAAUAUAUUUAUGCUCUUUUAUUUAAGUUAUCGUCUUUAGUAAUGCCCUUGAUUCAUAUCCAUUAGAUCAAGCAACCUAAUCCCCACUAAAACUAACUUAUUGAACAGUAACUCAACGGAUGCUGUAAAGAUUGCUCUUGGAUGAUUGACAUUUUUUUUAAAAAAAAUUUGGGCAAAGAAAGAAACUGAAUUAUGAGUUUAUGGAAAUUAAAGCAAAUGAGAAAGUGAAUUAGCACAAUGAGUUUGUGAUUGCGAAGGAACCAGCAAAUCAAAAAACAAUUAAGCAAGAGAAAAGGACAAUGAACACUUUAAUAUUCUAGAAAAGGGAUAUGAAACCUCUAAACAUUUUAAAAAAGAUAUAUAAUCUCCUUUUUAUUAGUAAAAUCUGUUUAUUUCAGUAGUAACAUAAUCUUUAAUUUACAUUUACUAUCAUGUCCCUAUAAUAAAUAAAUUAAUAUAUUUAAUUUAAAAGAGUGAGCCCUCCAAUUUUACUUCCCAUUUGCUCAAUUGCCUUUCAUUCAUAUACAAGCAUGUUUAACAUCUCAUUUUGCCUAAUUUGCCUUGGAAGAAAAUAAAUUUGAUUUUAUUUUUAUCUAUUAUUCAUCAUUUUUUAUCAUCUUAACAUUGGGAAGGAUAUAUUCAUAAUUUAAAGUGAAUAAUUUGGAUAAAAGAUAAUUAUAUCUUAAUUUUAAGUUUUAAAUAAAAAGUUGUUGGUUUUAUUAUACAUGUCAUUGAUGACAUGUCUUAAAUUAAUAUAUUUAUUUAUUUAUUAUCGGGAUAUAAUAAUAAUUAUAAAUUAAAAAUAAAUUUAUUAUUAAAAUAAAUGGAAUUUAUUAACAAAAAUAGGAAUUAUAUAUCUUUUUUAAAAUAUUAAAACAUUAUUUUUUUUUAGGGUAUCACUAUCCAUUUCCCAUUAAGCAAAACAAAAGUGAAAAGAAAAAUCAGAGCCCACUAUAAAUAUAAAAUUAGUGGAGCUCAUGAUGAUGCAUUUGCUUUACAUACUAAAUUAAAUAAAAGCCGAACCAAGAAUCUUUGCCUUAGCUUAACAUGAUUAAUUAGGCACUACUUCAUAGAAAACGCGAAAGCAAUGAACCCUUUUUUUAAUCUUAAAUGUCAUGAAUAUAAUUCUUCUGCGUUAAUUAAUCAUUCUUCUCUGACCGUCUCUUCAGGUUCAUUUCAAAAGUUUGAAGAUAGUUUAUCAAUUCUUCUACUUAUAAAAGCAAGUUAAAUUAAAAGAUUUUAAUCUCUCUUCUUAUUACUAUAAGUGCACUGUGCACGACAUUUUUUUACAAUAAACAAUGCCAAUUUGUAAUGUAAUGUUAUAUUCAUAUUCCCAUCGCGUCGAACUCUUUUUUUCCCUCUUUUUUAAAAGGAGACGGUGCGGUUUGGUUGUUCGCAAAAUUAGUGGUGUGGGGCUCUAUUUGCUUUUGUUUUCACUUUAUUAAUUAACUAGCGAAGCAAACAUGUAAUCAUUUGUAAAGGAGUCACUAGCACCGGAUUAUGUAAGAUGAAUUCGUAAGACUUAUUAAUUUCAAUUGAAAAUGUAGCGUUAUUAGGUUAUUAAUUCACUAAGUUAACUUGAGGUUCUAAUAUUUACUAAUUGUGGUGAUUAAUUUAUUUAACUUGUCAUAAUUUUCAUUUGAGAAUGAAAUUCAAUCAAUGUAUGAAAAAAGAUAAUUUUUUAAAAUUUUUAAUUCCUAUGAUUUGAUUUCACUUUUUUCCGGAUAUUGACGCUGUAAAAGCUUGCCCAAUGUCAUCAAAUGCUUGUAUCCCAUCUCACAAAUUAGCAAAUAUCAUUUGGUUUCUUUAUACGUGGCCAUCACAAAUUAAAAGUAACAACAUCCACCAUAUAUCGAAAAUUAAUUUUGAGAAUACUUUUGACUUUUAAAAGAAAAAUGCGAGUACAAUUUAAUAAGAGAGAACAAGAAUUGAUCAUGUCCCAAGAGACUGAAAAUAAGAUUAUAUAAACUUGAAUGCAGGCAUAUCAUAUGUUAAUCUUAAUUUUUUUUUGUUGCUGAAAAUUAAUUAAUUUGUUCCACUAUUCCUUUUUUAAUUGUAUGGUGAGAAACACAUUGGCCACUUCUGAAUCAUGUUGCAUAUUUGUUAACUCAAAGAAACAGUACACUUUUGUAUCAAUCAAACUCACUUUGUUAAUAUUCUUCAUUAUUAUGGUUAAUGGCUUAGCAAAUGUAGAAGGAGGAGUCAACCAAAAUGUAGCACUUUCUCUUGUAUUAACCUUUUAUUAAUUGUUGAAGUUAAAAAAAAUGUUAAAACAAGUUAAAAUAGUUCCAUCUCAAAAUCAGUAGGGUGUAAGUAGGUUGUUAUAAAUAUUUUUAAAUUUUAGUCUAAUUUAAUUGUGUGAUGCACAAACUUUCUCACUUCUUUCAUAUAAAUAAAGGGGAGAACUAUUUGAACUCAUUAAAUCACUUUUUAAAUUCCUCUACUUAUUAAGGCCAUCAUAAAAAUUCAAAAAUCCUUUUUAUACUCACUACAUCUCUUAAAAAUAUCGCAAAUAUGACACAUUUGUCUUCACCUUCUAUUUAUCUUCAACAUUCACAAUUUUUAUUUGAAUCUGUAAUAUGUUUAACACUGUUCAUUCACUCAUUAGAGUUCCAAUAAUAGAAUAUAGAGAUUAAAAAUAUCAUUAGCAAAUUAUUUGUUUGUGUUCUAUAUGAUAUUCUUGGUUUGGAAAAAGCUUCAUCGGCAAUAUAUGUAAAUAAAAGACUAAGAACUUCCAAUAAUUCAGAUUUGAUCGAAACUUCACAAACUUAUUUUCACUUAAAAAAAUAAAAUAAAGUAAAAGAAAUUCUCGUGUUUUAAAAGAAAAACUGCCAGACAUGUUUCUAAAACAACUAGAAACCAAACUAGGCUUGAAGCAGUGAGUUUUGAAUUAUAAAAAAUACAUAAUUGUAAUUUCACCUAAAUCAAAUGAUGAAUUUCAUGACAACGGAUUUAGACUAUAGACCAAUACACAAAGAAUUGGAUGUUCAUCGCAUUUGUUCUUGAAAUUGUUUUGCGCAAAAAAGUUAACUAUUGUAUUAUGUUGUAUUGCAUUAUUUUAAUAUAAGUGUAUUAUAUUAUGCUGUAUUGCAUUAACACUGUAUUAUAUUAAUACUAUACAACGUUUGGUUCUACAUUGUACUAUAUUAAUUUUUAAUUAUACAUACACUAUAUUAUGCUAUACUAUAUUAUUUUUUUGGUGGUUAAUUUCAAUUAUAUGUUUGGAAAUAAUAUUUAUUAGUACUUAGCAAAAUAUAAAAUAUAGAACCUUAAAUUUUAGAAUAUUUACAUCAAUUUUUUUUAGUAUAAAUGUAAAUAAUUAUAAUAAUUCUUCAUUAAACUUAUGUAAAAAUAACAAAUUCUGAAUUUUUGCUAUCGUAACAUUUUUUUUUUAACGGCGUUUUUCAAAUGUAUACCUUAUUGAUGAUGCACCAUAAAAAUAAAUAUCAAAUUUUGCGAUCAUGAUCAAGUCGAGUUUUACAUUAUGAAAGCAUGACACAAAAAUUGAAAAAAAUAAUGGCCGGCAAAAAGUUAUACAAGCAACAACAAAAGUGCUAAUUACUCGGAAAAUAAACAAUCAAGAGCCGCUGAUAGAUAUGAGUCAUAUGACAAGGUAGAGGAAUACAGAUAUCUGCAUACAUUUUUAACAAAGAUCAUCUUUGUAACCAAUUGUUGGCUUUGGCAUUAAAAGAUCAUCUUUGUAACCAACUGGGUAGCUAUAAAAUGAAUACUAAGUCAAUCAAACGGGAAAGCUUGCUACAAGACUUUGAAGCAUUAUUCUGUUGCAUCACCUUCCUCCUCUGCCUCACUUCCUGCAUCCCAAAUUAAAGAACAACAAAUAUUAAAUAACAAAAACAAAAUCUUCAAUAGACUUUUCAUACUCCAUGGAGCAAAUCUAUGGGAAUCCACAAAAUAAUUGAAAUAUAUCAAUGCUGCAGGUCAUAGUAACAAAUUACAGAUACACAAUCAUGCAUAUGCAACUAAAAAAUGCUUAUUUAUUACAGCCGCUUUUUGGCAUGACUACUUCAUAAGUUAUAUAUGAUAGAUAACAUUAUUAUUCUAAUCACAUGGUUAUGAUUUUAGUUGGACAUACAAAAGCUACGUGCAUGAAUCUGUAUCAUGCCACCUUUCAUGAGUCAAAAAUUUAAAUCAAAUCAAUUUGGUUGAGCCUUCAAAUUCCUAUUCCAGUCAAAGGAGAUGAUUUUUCCAAAGGUAAAGAAUGAGUCCGGUUACUUAAGCAUGUCAACCUUUUUUCUAGGCUAAGGUUUAUCCCUUUCCAUUUCACUAACUCUCCUCUCACUACCUUGCGUCAACAUUUGCAUACUUGAUAUACUUUCACAACCUUAAUCUAAUACUUUCAUUUAUGCUGAUAUAAAGAAGAAGUUUGAUUUAAAUCUGGACAGGUAACAAGAUUAAAAAACUGCCUUGUAGUAGAGCCAAUUCUUCCAACAAACAUUUCUUGAACCAAUAUCUAAGAUUAAGCUGGAUCACGUAAGACAAAUAUGCCAAGAAGAUUUUUAACUCACCUGACACUAUGGAUCUCCAAAUGUACUCAAUUAGCUUAGGUAAGCCAUACUUCUUCUCAAUUAUGAGCCCAGUAAAUAGGACCCGAAAAACUUGCAUUCCUCUGCUGACAUUCAUUUCAGUGUUGCAAGAAUUACAGAUUCCAUGACCAUGGACUGAAGUUCUUUUGUUAAGACAGGCGCAAGAGAGUACGCCCCUAUCCCACUAGUAUUUGGCCCGGUGUCACCAUCACCAACUUGUUUAUGGUCCUGACAAGACAUUAGAGGUAUGGGCGUAUGGCAUUCUCCCCAUCCACGAAGUCCUUUAGAACCAAAAGCAUUGUUUACAAGCAUCGAAUCAACAACUUCUAUGAAUCAUCCAAUGUCAUAGUUAGAGCUGGUAAAAUUUGACACGAUCCAAUUAUUCGACACGAACACGACACUAAUAAAUGGGUAUGGGUCGUCAAAUUUAACACGAUUAUUAAAUCGGUCGGGUCCGGGUCAACACGAUUUUUUUCCGUGUCGGGUUAGGGUUAAAAUUCUUGACCCAUUUACCCGAUCAAUGACUCGAUUAUAUUUUUUAUUUUAAAAUAAUUUAUAGAUUCUUGUCAUCAAAACUUAAAUAUUAGAGAAUUUUUUUUUAUUCUUUAAAAAGAUGAAUAUAGACACAAUAUUUUAUUUAUAAAAUUUUAAAUAUAUUUAGAGCUUUAAUAAUGUAAAUGUAUAAAAUAUUGGUAGAUACGUAUAUUUUAUAAUAUUGAUAUAUAAUAUUAUUUACAUAUAUAUAAUUAAAACCUCAAUAAUGUGUGUAAUAUUUUAGUAGAUAUGAAAAUUUUAUAAUACUGAUAAAUUAUGUAUGUAUGGAUGGAUGUUGAGACAAGCUAGAGAAGCCAUGAAUGAGAUUUUUCCUUUGACUCCUGCUAUGUGGCAAGAAUUUGCGAGAGAUGAAGCCUCUAUUUCAACCGGGUAUCUGUCAUUUCCUUUUUACAGUGGUUUUUGAUUUUGUGAACAAAUACUUUUUUUUUCGCUUAGAGAUAUAGAUGUUUAUGUUAGUUAUUUGCUAAUGUAAAAAGGAACAAAAACUGCUUAAAAGGUAUUAAAGAAAGAAAAAAGGAACCAAUUUGAAGAAGGGGAUACUCAUAGCGGGAGUUCUGCUUUGGGGUUUAAUUGAUGGGAAGAAGAAAUAGUUUAUAUGUUUACAGAAUUAAACAAUUGAUCACUGAGUUAGUUGAGGAAGAUAAUUAAUCACAAUGUCUGAAGCUGUUGCUGUUGGCGUCACCUAUUGUUAAGAUUUCAUCCUUUUUUAUGGUUUUACAUAGCUGUGACCUAAAGCUUAAUGUAUACGUUGAUAAUUACAUAAUUGGUUUCUUGCUGAUACUUGGCUUUAAUUUGUAAGCCUGAGGCUCUUUCGGGAAUUGAGAAGAUUUACGGAAGAGGAGUUUCUGAUUAUCUGGUUUGUUCUCUUUAUGCUUACAGAAUUUGAAUUAACGCUCUGCAUGAAUUUAUGAUUCAUUUUUUUUGGAGAAAUAUUUUAUGAAAUUGAAGCAUUGGAGUAAAGCGUACUAGUCGUAAGCUUGAUUCACUUUGUUUUGAUUUUAUUACCAAGAGGUGCUAACAGUUCAUGAUGCAUAAAAGAGGGGGAAAAAAACUCUUCUUGGUAGAUACAUAAAUUUUAGUUUCUGAAUCAUUUUCAACGAAAGAAAUAAUUUUACAGAGGCUGAAGAGCAGCAUUUUCAUUUAUAUGAAAGUUCAAUUGUUAUAUCAUCUGUUUCCAUAUCUUUUGUGGUAAAUAAAGUCCUUGAUGAUGGCAUAAGAGCACAGAAGAGUUGUUAGUUUCAUAUGUGGAGAUUUUCAUCAUAGUAGUUCAUUGAAAGUGAAGGCAGCUGAAUACCCUUUUUUCUGAUGCAGUCUGUCCCUCUUUGGUGUGAUUAUUUAAAAUUUGUGCAAGAAUAUGAUCCAUCUAUACGCGAAUGUUUACCCAAUGGCACUUCAAAGGCAAGGAAUCUAUUUGAGCGGCUAUUACUGCUGCUGGUCUGCAUGUUUUAGAAGGCAGUGAAAUAUGGGAAUUGUACAGAGAAUUUGAGCUAGCUAUAUUUAGUAGGAUUGAUAAGAUUAACUUGAAUGUGAAAUAUUUUAAUUUAUUUUACUUUUUUUUGGGCUUAAAUAACGAGUUUAUUCCCAUCUAUAGAAAGAAAAAGGGAAGGUUUUUUUUUUUUUUGCUGGGGGGGGUGUUUCCAACCCUAGCACAUGACAAGCAUUCCAAGACCCUUGCUGCUUGUUUUGCAGGAAAAGGAAAAACAGGUUCUGCGGAUUCGAAGUAUAUUUCAUCGCCAGUUGUCUGUUCCCCUUGCUAACUCAAGUGCAACUCUUCUUGCCUACAAAUCUUGGGAGCUCAAACAGGGGGCUGUUCUUGAUGUUGAAUCUAGUAAUGUAGAUGGGAUUUCUUCUAAUGUUGCCGCAGCAUACCAAAAGGCAUUGGAGAUGUGUAAUGCACGAGCUCAUGUUGAAGAGCAGAUUUCUAGGCAGGAUUUAUCUGACUCAGAGAAAUUUCAACAAUACAUGGCAGAUGACUUUACUAUCGUCAUUUGAUAGCUUUUUAUAGUAAGUGAAAUCCAGCCCUAAAAAUUUUAUUAAUAUGAAUAUUUUUUUGGGGGGAUUUCUUCUUAUGGCAUUAUUAUUUUGCUUUUGUGUAGCUAACAAUUAAUAUGUGCACUUUAAAUAUUAUCUAUUGUUUCUUAGCAAAUAAUAGUAAUAAUAAUAAGUAAUAAAUAAUUAAUAUCUGCAUUGUCAAAUAAUAAUAAUAAUAAUGUCUGCUCUUUUUACUCUUGGGGGGGGGGGCAUGCAGUGUCAUUAUCUUCCUUCUUCUCCUUUUUCUAUUUUGUGCUUUCAAGUUUAAUAUUAUUAUAUUAAUCUGUUAUUGUUGUAGAUAUACUUGAAGUAUGAGCAAUCUUCUGGAGAUCCUGGUAGAGUUCAACUUCUUUAUGAACGGGCUAUUACCGACUUUCCUGUAUCAAGUGAUCUCUGGCUUGAUUAUACUCGUUAUCUUGACAAAACAUUAAAGGUUUAUCCUUCUAUUUUCUAUUUUACUUCUUCUGUUGCAGCUAUUUGUAUACUAAUCGACUCUCCUCUUCAGGUUGGUAAUGUUGUGAGAGAUGUUUAUUCCAGGGCUACAAAAAAUUGUCCCUGGGUAGGAAAACUUUGGGUACGAUCUUUGCUUUCUCUGGAACAUGGCCGUGUUUCUGAGGAGGAGAUAUCCACUGUAGGUUUAAUUGUUACCCUUCAUUCUGAGCUUAAUCAAUUUUCCUGAAUGUAUUCAUUCUGAGCUUAAUCAAGUUUCCUGAAUGUAAUUGAUUUUGAUUGUUUGAAGUUAAAGAAAUGAUCAGCUUCCUAGGCAAAUUUCUUGGCAAGCACUUGAUUGUGGGAGUAACUGAGGAGAAGCAUUCCCUAGUGUUUUUUUUUGUUUUUCUCCUCCCCUAAAAUUGCAAUAUACUUCCCUUGAAGAGUAUUUUUUGCUUUAGCAUUUACACAUCUGUACAGAAGCAAACAUGAAUCAGAGAGAUUUAGUGGGCAAAUUCACCUGUGCUGACAAAUUAAAGCAUAUUAAAUACCGCGGUGGUUGUUGGAAUGCUCCAAAAAGUGUUUUCUUGGUGCUCCUGCUCCUUUUGCACUUUCAUAGUGUUUUAAUAACUGGGUUGUUUAAAUGUCCUGUACUUAUUUUCUUUACAAAUGUCUUUGUAUUUUUUUAAAUUUAUAAAAGAUUGUUCUAAUUAUAUUAAUAGCAACAAAUUGCGCAAACUCAAAUCUUAAUUUCAUUCUGCCCCUAUUACAUAUAUACGGGAUUCUCCUAUUAUUUCAUCAAAUUUUCCAUUACUAAUUUCAGGUCUUUGAGAAGUCACUACUAUGUACUUUUUCAACCUUUGAGGAGGUAGAGAUAUAAUCUUAUGUCUUCUGUACAUACCUUGGUUUCUUGAGCUGUAUGAUUUGGUAUAUAUCUACUUCUGAUUCAUCAUGCAUUUUUUUGUUAACUGGUUCUUUUUUGUUUGAGUACCUAGAUCUAUUCCUUACUUGAAUAGAUGGUUUGAGGUGGAGAAUUUUAUUCUCCGGUGAAGUUGAGGGCGCCUUGGAUUAUUCAUUGAUAACGGAAACCCUUCAGGUUUGUAAACUUAUACUGUUGGCUAUUCAAUAUUAAAAUUGGUUAUACUCCUUAAUAUCAAGAAAUUGAAGCUUCCCAAAUCAUACCCAAGAAAUGCUCUAUUGUGGAUUACUGGAUGGAGCUAGUUGCUAGAUGAUACCUUUAAGAUUCAAGACAUAUGUUGUUUUGUGUAUGGCUAUCAAGUACUUUGGCCUGCAAUUGUGGCAUAUUGGUCUUACGCCAGCAUCAGGUAUAACAUUGUGUCUGGCAUAUAUACCAUUGGAAUUCUGGGUUUCUGUUGAGUGGGCUCCAACAGCUAUAUUUGUGUCCAAUGUUGUGGGGUCCUCUUCUUUGGUGCUUUUAAGUGAAGUUUUAACUUUCCUUGUCAAAAUUUUGUUACAAAUCAAGUAGAAGGCACUGCACUGAAGCAUUGGUACUUCUAGAUUGCUUGUUUUGCAUGGUAGAUUUCAAUCCAUUGCUUUUAUUUCUUGGAUCAUGUUUAUCAUUGAGGACUUUCUUGGCCAGUCAUAGAGCUGACUAGUGCUACCAUCAUCAUUGGUAGGGCAAAAAAGUCAAUUCCUAUGGGAUGCUUUCUGACUUAGAGAAGAUGUCUUCAAGAAUUUGUGGAUUUAAGUCUUCACACGAUGUUCAACUCUUGAUAGUCUAACCUUGGUACAGGAUUUAUAGCUGUCUUCCAAGUUUGUGCUCAUAAAUGAGUAACCUGUCUGUCUUUAUGAUACCAGUUAAAUUUGUUAGCUUUCCGGGAUUUGGAGGUUGUAAAUGUCCAUAAACAACAAUGUCUUCUCUUCCUUACAGCGUGCAUCAGAUUACUUGUCAGAACAGAUGAAAAAUAACAAUGGUUUGCUGCGUUUGUAUGCUUAUUGGGCACGUCUUGAACAAACUAUGGGAAAAGAUACGGUUUCAGCUCGUAGUGUCUGGGAGAGGCUACUUAAGAUCAGGUUCACCAAUUUUAAUUUUUGCCAGUGCAUACAUAGCAAAAUUUCUUUAUAUCUAUAUAUUUUCGGAUAACUUGUGCUUCUCUUAAUGCAGUGGUACAAUGUUGGAAGCCUGGCAAAGUUAUAUAUCUGUGGAAAUUGAAUUGGGUCAUAUUAAUGAAGCUAGAUCCAUCGACAAGAGAUGCUACAGUAAAAGAUUUACAAGGACAGGUUCAGAGGUAAAUUUCUUUCAUCCUGCUUCUUUAAUGAAUAUUAACUGCUUAACAACGUACCUUGUUGUUUCCAUCUUGUUUGUUUAACUGGUCUUAUUUGUAAACACCUGAAAUCAUACAUCUUAAUUUCUGAUAAUUAGAUGUUAUUUUAGAUAUCUGUAUCUGUUAAUGUUCUUUCAAGUCUGAUUCCAAUGCAUAUUUAGUUAAACUGCUCUUUACUGCAUUUUGGAUUAGUUGAUAUCUUCCUUUCCUAAAAACAGAAUCAUUCAGGACAUAUGCCAUGCUUGGCUGCAAUUUGAAUGGGAAUUUUGUAUAAAAUUUUUAAUGAAUUUAUGGGUUUGAUGAGUAAAAUUAGGGGUUCAUAUAGACUCACCCAUAAAUUGAACCCUUAUUUUAUGUUGAUGCACAACUUAACUUAACAAAAAUAAUGUUCAAAUUGUCACAAAAUUUGAAAAAAAAAUCAUACAGUUAAUUUUUCUUCUACUUUACUCCAUUAUUCAAUGGGCAUAUAAUAAAUUAGGAGAGGGGAGAAAUAAAGGGGAAAAUUAGAGUAUUGUCGCAAUGAUACACUGAUACAAAUGCCCAUUGAGUGAUUGUCAAUGGGCAUAUAAUAAAUUAGGAGAGGGGAGAAAUAAAGGGGAAAAUUAGAGUGAUUGUCACAAUGAUACACUGAUACAAAUGCUUAUGUAUGUGUAGUGUGUGUGUGGGGCGUUCUUUAAUUUGACCAAAAAUAAAUGCAUUUAUUUGUAUUUUUAAUCAAAAUCGAGGGAUAUAAACAAAAAUUUUACCACUCCAGAGUCCAGACAUGUAUCAUUGCCUCGUUAAAAAAAAUUGCAUAAAAUUAAAAAACCAUUAGUGGCUGAAAGAGAGAAACAAAUUAAGAAAGGGUUCAAAAGAUGGAACCCGAAGAGAAAACCCUAGCAACAAUCCCAGAAGAAGAAGAAGAAGAUGGAGACACGGCCAUGCCCGACGUCAAGAACAACCCUAAACCAACAACAACAGCCAACUCUUCGGACUCGAGCGAUGCCUCUGACUCAGACUCGGACUCUGACUCAGAAGAUGAAGCAAAACAGAACAUGGAGCUUCAAACCCUAGAGUAUCAGCUAUCCAAUGAACCCUCCAAUUACGACACCUAUGUUCAAGUAACUUCAAUACACAUAUUUAUUGAGUGAUUUUGUGGAUAACCGUUUGCUUGUUCUUUCUUGGGUUGUGAUAAAAAUGGUUUUUAUCUUUUUUUUUUCAGUAAAUAAAGGUUUUGAGAAAAAUGGGUGAGAUAGAGAAAUUGAGACAAGCUAGGGAAGCCAUGAAUGAGAUUUUUCCAUUGACUCCUGCUAUGUGACAAGAAUGGGUGAGAGAUGAAGCCUCUAUUUCAACUGGGCAUCUGUCAUUUCCUAUUGCAAUGGUUUUUUAUUUUGUGAGCAAAUGUUUUUUUUGCUUAGAGAUAUAGAUGUUUAUGUUAGUUAUUUGCUAAUGUAAGAAGGAACAAAACCUGCUUAAAAGGUAUUAAAGAAAGAAAAAAGGAACCAAUUUAAAGAAGGGGAUACUUAUAGUGGGAGUUCUACUUUGGGGUUUAAUUGAUGGAAAGAAGAAAUAGCUUAUAUGUUUACAGAAUUAGACAUUUGAUCGCUGAGUUAGUUGAGGAAGAUGGUUAAUCACAAUGUCUGAUGUUGUUUCUGUUGGCCUGAACUAGUUGUUAAGAUUUCAUACUUUCAUUCAACAAUACAAUAGACUUUGAUUGGGUCCACCGUAGUUGGGUGUUCUGAGGAAUCAAUGAGUGUCUUGAGAAAACUUGGGUGGAGUGCUGGUCAUUUUCAGGAUUCAGUUUCCAAGAAAACAAAAAUGAAGUCGUAGUUGUAGUUUAAAUUAAUUUAUGUUUUUAUCUUUUUCUGUGAGCCCAGUGAGCUUUUAUUUUCACUUUGUUCGCUUUUGUUUCUUUCCCUUCUUUUCCUACAGUUUCUUGAUAAUCAAACAGAUCAGGAUUAAGUGUUUACUUUUGGUUAGGGGUGGGCGUUCGGUUCGGGUUAACCCGAACUAAACCGAACCUGAAAUUUAUUUCGGGUUCGGUUCGGUUUGGGUUAACUCGUGCAACCCGAACGGAUUCAAAGCUUCAAUCUGUUCGGGUUAAAUUUCGGUUCGGGUUCAACCCGAACCGAAUUUUCAACCCGUUCGGGUUGAAGCUUUUUUUUUUUUAAAGAUUUAGCUUUUAAAUUAAAAAUAUAUAUACAUUAAUUAAACCAAAAAAUCCCUAAAAAUGAAAAAUCCCUAAACAAAAAUCUCUCCCUCUCGGCCUCCCCCUCCUUGCUCCCUCUUCUCACUUCUCAGUUCUCACUUUCUGUGAACUGUGGUUGAUGACAUCAGCACUUCAGCAGCAGCCACAGCAGCCCCGUUCAGCUCCAACAGACACCAGCCGGCCUCAUCGUCUCACUCCCUCCCCCUCCUUGCUCCAUCGUUUCACUCCCUCCCACGACGACAACACUCACAGGCCACAACAGCAGCCAGCAGCCCCGUUCACAGCAGCCCACUCGCGUCAGCCAGCACGCCUCGCCCGCAACUGCGCUGUGCGUUCAGCUCGCGUCCCACUCAGCCCAGGAAGUCUCGAUCUGCCAACGCUGUAGCUGCUCUGACCUCCGAGAUUAAGGUUUGUCUUGCCUUGCCGACGGCGACGCUGUAACUUGCUGACUUGCACGCAACUGAUGGCAACAACCCGAAUUGAAUUUUAAGUUUUUAACAGCCUGUUGCUAUUAAUUAAAUUGUAAAUUUUUAAUUAAUUGAUUGACAAUUAUUCAAUUAUUUGAAGUGGGUUUGUUGUUGUUGAUUGAUAAUUGAACCCGAACUAAUCCAAACUAACCCGAAUUAACCCGAACCGAAAUUGUAACCCGAAUUAUCAACCCAAUCCGAUCCGAAUUGUCAAUCCAAACCGAACCGAACCGAAUUGGUUCGGGUUGGCGUUUUCAACCCGAUUGGGUUCAAUUCUCCAACCCGAACGGGUUGAAACCCAAACCGAAACCCGAACAACCCGAACCGAAACCCGAAACGCCCACCCCUACUUUUGGUGUAAUUAUUCACUCUAACUCGAAUAGUACUUAGGUUUAGUGCUAACAAAAUAGGAAGUGAAUUAAUAUCUGAAGUUGACCUAGGAGUGGAAUGAAUGUUACCAAAAAUAUACUAUAUGGUAGAUAGAAUUUGCCUUUUAGGUAAGACAAAAAUAAUUACAGCUGUUAAUUUAUUUCAAUAAGUUCGUACAUCAUUGAAUAAUAAGUCCAAGAUUUUAAUGGUUUUGUUUCCUGAAAAUUUGUCACGAGUGCAUGAACAAAGUUCUAUGGAUGAACUUCUCUUAGUUAAUUUGAGUUCAAUGUCGCAGUUCCUCAUAUUAACUAUAUAAAACACUAAUCUUGCUCUUUACUUUGGAGCAUUUUAAUAAUUGAUGCUAAUUCCUUAGCCAUUUUAUUCAUCUUGUGCAUAAAUUAUGCAAUCAAUAAGCCAACUCCACUUUCAUCUUUAUUUAGUGAAAAAUUUGCAAGGUCACUAGGAGGUUUUUGUAUGUCUCAUGCUAACAUGGACGCCAUGGUUUCACUAUGUAAAUUUUCCCCACUGAAAUUCAUGAUCCCUCAUAUACCACUCAUCACUCAUGAAGCUGUUUCUGGGGCUUUAAAAGCGCCAAAUUUUAGUUUUAUCCUUUCUAGCUUAUUAACCUGUCCGCAUCUGCAUUAUUAUCUUUCCUGUCAUACGAAAGUUUCAUUUAUCAUCUUCCCAACAUAAACAUCCGUAGGUCAUUGUUGACUUUUUUGCUUUGACACUUAUUGUUUCUAAGUAUAGGCUACCAAGGGAGAAAAAAAUUGACAUUGAUGGUCAUCCCCAGCAUUUUUAUCCCAGGAGACUGGUCAUUCACUUUCUAUGAAGGACUAUAUAGACAUCCAGACUCUAUUUUGAAGGACAAAGCUGUGGCUGAGCUUGGUUGUGGAAAUGGAUGGAUAACCAUUGCCAUAGCUGAGAAGUGGUUGCCUUUGAAGUUUUGUUGGUUUGUCGUCCUUAUGCCAUGUGAGAGCUUUUAUUUCCUUCCCUACCAGUGCCUUCAGGGGCUCCAUCAUGAUUUCUCUCAUCAUUUUCUAUCUCUGUGUUUUGCAAGGCCAUUUGAUAUUUAUAACAGCAUUGGCACCAGGUUAUGGUGAUUUAAUGCACUCCUAUUAGGAAAAAUUACAUAAUUAUCAACUCUGUCCUUGUCCAAAAGUCUUUGUUGGAGUAUGUUGAAAAUAUAACCUUGUAGGAGUUCUUUUAUGCUGUCUGAAUAUCCUAUUGCAGGUCUAUGGCCUUGAUAUUAAUCCCAGAGCAAUAAAGAUCUCUUGGAUAAAAUUGUACUUAAAUGCAUUAGAUGAAUCUUUUUCUAAGCUUUUCUGUCACUGUCACUGCAAAAGGUCUUUUGUAUUGAGGGUUAUCUGUGGGGCUAGGAAAGGUCAGCCCAUCUAUGAUGCGGUGAAGAAAACCUUACUGGAUAGGGUGGAGUUUGAUGAAUCUAAUCUCCUAGCAUAUUGUAGACAUCAUGACAUUCAACUUGAAUGAAUAGUGGGGUGCAGACCUCAGGUACUCUCACUUUCUGCAACUCAUGAUAUUUCUAGGGGAUUAAAUUUUAGUGAAGUUUGUUUACCCAACAUCAAGUUGGAAUUUUAGUGUGCCCACAUGGAUUACUUUUAACUCCUAGUUUAACUUAUUCUGUUGUCUCCAUGCAGGUUCUCAACCCCAAUUCCAAUGCAAUGUCGAAAAUAAUCACUGAAAAUGCAAGCGAGGAAUUUCUGUAUUCAUUGAGUAACUAUUGUGGAUUGCAGGUUGGAAGAUAUUCUAAAUAAUUUAAUUGUGAUGCGCAAUUGCAAUUGCCGGGAAGUUAGCAAUUAAGUUGAUAGGCUUCUUCUGGUUUCACAUAUUUCUAAGUAACAACUUUGGUUUGAAGCUUGCAUACCUUAGGUAAGGUUGAUGUCUUUAGUUGGUCAAUAUCAAUUGGGAAAUAUAGCUAACCAGUGAAGACAGUGGGAAAAGGAUGAUGUGAGUUUGACAAAUGCUGGGAGGAGAUAGGGAAACUUAAUCUGAAAGAUUUCUUUUUUUUUCUUGGUUUAUUUAUUUAUUUACUCGUGUGACCUCUUCACAAUGCCAUUGAUUCCCAUAGUUCAUGUUGCUAGGUGAACUUAACAACAACCAUCUAUUAUGCCUUGUGGAUAACUGAGAAAAUUUAUUGCUUUGGACAAGUUGCUUUUUGAAAUAGAGUGCAAGUAGAUUGACUAAUAAUGAACUUAUUGUAUCAAGUUGUUACAUUUGAAUAUAUUAAGGUCAUAUAAAGCUUACUUGUUAUACUUCUUUUUUUCUUUUUUCCCUCCCCAUUUCCCUGUAUGGAGGGUUUCUUGGACGAUCAGUUUGGCUUAGGUCUAAUUUUCUCGAGCAGUUAAGGAAUUACUGUUAUCAAAAUAAAGUUUCCUCUCACUCACUAGCCAAUUGAGCAGCUCGUCACCGGUCGGAUUCAUUGCCGAUUGCAGCCCACCUCCAUCAUGUCAGUUCAGUAGCUUGUCGCUGCAGUCAUGAUCGGCCUCUUUGUUGUCGUUGAAGAACCAAUCAAUAAUGAUGAUGAUUGAUGAUGAUGAUGAUUACCAUUGUUGAUGAUUAAUAUUAUUGAUGAUGAUGAUGUAGAUGAUGUAAUUGCGGUGAGAUGAUGAAGAUGAAACUGAAUUGUGAUGUUGAUAAUGAAAUUGACAGAAGGAAGAAGAAGAUUGUGAAAAAUCUGACUUCUUCACUCGUAUUACAUUAGAGAAGAAUACAUAUUUAUAUACAUUACACCCUAGGAAUAAAAUGGUAAAAAAAAAACAGCUAAGAUAUUGCAAAUCAGUAUCCCUGAAAAUUAGGGAUUAUAUAUCCUAAAAUCUAGUAUUUAAGUCAACACAUAGCUGUAAAAUACAGCUAACAUCUACAACAAUAGUCAACACACAGCUGUAAAAUACAACUGACAUCUGCAACACUCCCCCUCAAGCUGGAGCAUAGAUAUUCUUCAUGCCUAGCUUGCAUACAAACUCUUCAAACUUGUGUCCAUGCAUUCCUUUUGUCAACAUAUCUGCAGUUUGUUGUCCUGUUAGAAUAUACACCAAACAGAUAACUCCAGUUUCCAAUUUCUCUUUAAUAAAAUGUCGGUCUACCUCCACAUGUUUUGUCCUGUCAUGAUGGACAGGAUUAUGGGCAAUAUUAAUUGCUGCCUUAUUGUCACAGUAAAGUUGCAUAGAACUAUUUUUUAUUAACUGUAGUUCUUUGAGAACACGUUCUAUCCACAUAAGCUCACAUACCGCAUGUGCUAGUGCUCGAAAUUCUGCUUCUGCACUGCUUCGUGCCACUACAGUUUGCUUCUUGCUUCUCCAAGUUACAAGGUUUCCCCACACCUUAGUACAAUAACCCGUUGUAGACUUCCUAUCCAUGAUGUUUCCAGCCCAAUCCGCAUCAACAAAAGCUUCUACAUUCCUUUUUUCUCCCUUCUCAAAAUAAAGUCCCUUUCCCGGUGUUGACUUCAGGUAUUGAAGUAUUCGGUUUACUGCCACUAAGUGAGCUUCUUUUGGGGCGUGCAUAAACUGGCUCACUAAGCUAACCGCAAAAGCAAUAUCAAGUCUAGUAUGGGAAAGAUAAAUUAAUCUCCCUACUAGCCUUUGAUAUCUCCCCCUCUCCACGGGUGCACUAUUUUCUUCAAGACCCAACUUGCUAUUUGGUUCAAUUGGUGUGGCAGCAGGUUUACAGCCAAUCAUACCAGUAUCCUUUAGCAAAUCUAGGGUGCAUUUCCGUUGUGUAACUAGAAUACCUUUAGCUGUUCUAGCUACCUCCAUUCCCAAAAAAUAACGUAGUGGUCCAAGAUCCUUGAUUUCAAACUCACCAGCUAAUUUUUCUUUUAAUCCUUCCAGCUCUUCUUUGUCAUCUCCUGUUAGUAUAAUGUCAUUAACAUACACGAUCAAAAUAGCUAACUUCCCUUCUUUAGACCGUUUGUAGAACAUAGUAUGAUCGGCUUGCCCUUAAGAAUAACCAUAGUUCUUCAAGACUUUCCAAAUCGAUCGAACCAAGCCCUAGGGGACUGUUUAAGGCCAUAGAGAGACCUUUUUAACCGACAAACUCUUCCAGCAGGUCCUUUUUCUUCAAAACCAGGCGGCAUAUCCAUGUAAACUUCCUCUUCCAAUUCUCCAUUCAAGAAUGCAUUCUUGAUAUCAAGUUGGUUGAGAGGCCAAUCUAAAUUUGCAGCAAGAGAGAGAAGGAUCCUUACAGUAUUAAGCUUUGCCACUGGAGCAAAAGUUUCUAGAUAGUCCACCCCAUAGGUUUGUGUGAAACCUUUCGCCACGAGUCUUGCUUUAUACCUGUCCACACUUCCAUCAACCUUAAAUUUGACUGUAAAUACCCACUUGCACCCCACAGUCCUCUUGUCUUUAGGUCUUGGUACAAGCUUCCAUGUGUUAUUCUUUAUUAAGGCUGCCAUUUCUUCUUAAACAGUUUUCUUCCACUCAUUUGACUCUAGGGCUUCAUGGAUGUUUCUUGGAAUAGUGGUAUUAGAUAGACUGGCCACAAAAUUCCUAUACUCCUUAGAUAGAUUUGCAUAUGACAAGAACUUGUUGAUAGGAUGUUUAGUGCAAUUUCUUACCCCUUUCCUUAUCGCAAUAGGCAAAUCUGUGGACUUCUGAGCUUCGUUCUCAGCAUAUUCAGUAGGUGGGUUUUGAUCCUCCCUUAGUUCAGAUCUCGGUUCUGCUUGGUCUAUAAGUGGCUGUACCUCUUGAGUUUUAUUCUUCUUUCGUGAAUAGACAUGAAACUCGCCUAUAGGUUCCUCCAAAUGUGAAUUGGUUUUUAUUCCUUCAUUCCUUGGUGACACUAUUGGUUGAUUAAGUUCUAUGGUGUUAGGUAGGUUAGGAUGAAUGUCUGGACUGAGGAAGGAGGUAUUUGGUAGAUUGAGUUCUAGGCUGGAAUUACUGGACAUAUUAGGUUCUAGGCUGGAACAUCUGGACAUAUUGGGUUCUAGGCUGGAACUACUGGACAUAUUGGGUUCUAGGCUGAAAUUACUAGGCAUCUUAGGUUCUAAAAUGCCAAGAAGAUCCCAGGAAUUAUCUUCUCUCAAAUUCUGCCCCUGAAGAGAAUUACUCGUGUAAAAAGGCUGAUUUCAAAGAACUUGACAUCCAUUGUGACGAAUAAUUUUUUGGUAAGAGGAUUAUAACACUUGAACCCUUUCUUGGUAGGAGAAUAUCCUAGAAAUAGGCACUUGAUGGCUCUAGGAGACAACUUUGUUCUUUGAAGACUCGGAAGAUAUACAAAGGCUGUACAACCAAAAGUUUUGAGUGCAAAAUUAGAGGUAACAAGGUGAUUUUGUGGGUAGCUGUCAAGAAAAACAAAAAUAGGUGUCUUGAAUUUAAGAACUCGAGAGGGCAUACGAUUUAUGAGAUAAGAUGCUGUAAGAAUGGCCUCUCCCCAAUAUAUUUUUGGUACAUUAGUUGUGAACAUAAUGACCCUAGCAACCUCUAAAAGGUGUCUGUUUUACGUUCUGCAACCCCAUUUUGUUGUGGUGUUUCGGAACAAGAACUUUGGUGGACAAUUCCUUGUUGUGAUAGGUAAUUCCCUAAAAUAGAAUUGAAAUACUCAGUUCCAUUAUCUGUACGGAGUACACGAUUUUCAGUUUGAAACUGAGUUUUUACCAUGACAUGGAAUUGUUUAAAAGUUUGUCCAGCUUCAGAUUUUUCCUUCAAAAGGUACACCCAAGUGGUCCUAGAGUGGUCAUCUAUGAAUGUUAUGAACCAUUUUGCUUUUGACAGGUUGUUAACCCUUGAGGGGCCCCAAAUAUCACUAUGAAUCAAAGAGAAAGGCUGGGAUGGUUUAUAAGUACGGGUAGGAAAUGAAACACGUGUUUGUUUAGCCAUUUAACAAAAGUCACAAUAUAAUAAACUCAAAUUUUGAUUUUUAAAUAAGGAAGGAAACAAGGUUUUUAGAUAUGGAAAGCUAGGGUGGCCUAACCUAUAGUGCCACAACAUUAUUUCAGAAGAAACAAAUUCACAUUGAGAGACCUGAGCAUGUCCUUUCACGAGUCUUUUAUUCUCGAGAUAGUACAGUCCCUCAUAUUCCUUUGCAUUCCUAGUCAUCCUCCCCAAGAUUGGAUCCUGAAAUAGACAUUUAGAACCACAGAAUUUAGCUACACAGUUUGUGUCUUUAGUAAGUUUACUAACUGAAAGAAGAUUGCAUUUAAGAUUUGGGACAUGUAAAACUGAAAAAGAGUCAAACAAUUUGAUAGUUUUACUGUUCCUUUUCCAGCAACAGUGGAUAAUGAUCCAUCAGCAAUCCUCACUUUAUAAUUACCUGGACAUGGAGUGUAACUAGAGAAAAAUUGAGAAGACCCUGUCAUAUGGUCUGAGGUCCCUGAAUCAACAAUCCAAGAACCUUUUUCAAGGGAUUGGAUGCUAAGGGCUGAUGGGUUACCUGUAUGGACUGCAUUACAACUAGAGGAGGUCAAGUCAUUUUUAUUUGCUUGCUGAUUUUGUAUAAGGAGCUGUUGCAGCAUCUCAAAUUGAUCUUUUGCGAGGGCAAACUGAUUAGUUUUCUCUGUCACCAUUCCCUUUGCUUCUUGCUGCCGUUUUGGUUUCCAAUCUGCUGGCUUUCCAUGAAGCCUCCAGCAUGAGUCUCGAGUAUGCCCUUUCUUGUGACAAUAGUCGCAAUAGGGACGUUCUCCAUGUUUUUGUCCCUUUUGGUUAGCUGACUGAUCUGUCUUUUUGGUCACCAGCGCUGAUCUCUCCGCCUCAGGUUCCUUCACCAGUCCCAUCAUGACUCUCUUUCGACUUUCUUCACGCCCCACCUCAACAAAAGCUUCUCGGAUGGAGGGUAGAGGAUUCUUUCCUAAUAUUCUGCCACGAACUUCAUCAAGUUCUUUGUUGAGUCCAUAAAGGAAAUCAAAGAGACGUUCUUUAUCCAACAUCCUCUUAUUUUGAUGGCAUCCUCAGAGCAAUGCCAUUGCGAUUCAUAGUAAAGGUCAAGUUCAUGCCAUAUAUUGUUUAGAGAAUUGAAAUAUUGAGUCACUGAAAGACUCCCUUGCUUUUGGUCACGUAAUUGUGACUUGAUUUCAAAGAGCUGAGCUGCAUUCCCCAGGUCAGAGUAAGUUUCUGUCACGGCUUCCCAAAGCUCCUUCGCAGAUGGUAGGAAGAGAUAAGUCCUACCAAUAUCCACGUCCAUCGAGUUGAUCAACCAAGUUUGCACCAUUGAAUUUUCAGCAUCCCACUGUGGAUAACCUGGAUCCAAGACAUCAGGGGCUUUGGUUUCCCCUGUAAUAUACCCUAAUCGGCCUUUGCCACGAAGAAAUAGGGUGACAGAUUGAGACCAUUGCAAAAAGUUUCUGCCAUUUAACUUGUGCAAAGUUAUUUGCAAAGAGGGGUUUUCGGUACCUAAGGAGACCGAAGAGAUGUCCUGCCUUGUUACAGAACUGGAGGAAAUCUCAGAUUCUUGUGUAGGGUUUGUUGUCUUCUCCAUUGGAUGGGUUGAGAGUUUAGAAUGAGAAAAAAAUUCAGAGGCUUAGUUUAAAAGAGUUGCUCUGAUACCAUGUGAAAAAUCAGACUUCUUCACUUGUAUUACAUUAGAGAAGAAUACAUAUUUAUAUACAUUACACCCUAGGAAUAAAAUGGUAAAAGAAAAAAAAGCUAAGAUAUUGCAAAUCAAUAUCCCUGAAAAUUAGGGAUUAUAUAUCCUAAAAUCUAGUAUUUAAGUCAACACAUAGCUGUAAAAUACAGCUAACAUCUACAACAAUAGUCAACACACAGCUGUAAAAUACAGCUGACAUCUGCAACAAAGAUAAUUGUGGUGAUGAUGAUGAUGUUGAUGGAGAAGAUGAAAUUGACAUGAUUGAUGAUGAAGUAACGAAGAAUUUGUAAAACACACACACACACACACACAGAGAGAGAGAGAGAGAGAGAGAGAGAGAGAGAGAGAGAGAGAGAGAGAGAGAGGAGAAGAGGAUAAAAAAAAAGAUAGAGAAAAACAGGAGAGAAAAUAAUAACAAAAACAAAAGAGGAAAAUAAUUAUUAUUGUUAUUAUUAUUAUUAACAAUAACUUUCUUAAUAACCAUAAUCAUAUAAUAGAUAAUAAAAAUAGAAGGUAAUAAUAACUAAGGGUAUUUUAAUAAUUUAAAUAAUUUAUUGUAAUUUCAAGGUAAAGUAAAUAUAUUAAUGAUAAUACAGUUUAUUUUAAUUUUGAUUCUUAUAAUUGAAGUAAAUAAUUUAUUUUAAUUUUUAUUUCACAUUUUAAUUUUAUUCUAUUCUGAAUUAGUAAACGCAUCAUAAAAUCAUGUGAUUCUACUCUAUAUGUGAGAUUGAUUUUUUUCUUUAAGGCCUACGACAUCCCAAUACAAGUCUAUAUAGGACCAAGCUACUAAGUGGACGGUCAUAAAAACUUAAAAAGGCAUAAAAUUGGAUGGCCGUCUAAUUAAUUUCCCGUGACCUACAACAAAAAUUUAAGAAGGAACUCCGAUACCAUCAAUUCUGCAUUUUAAUUUGAAGUUGGAAAACAGUGAAAACAGAAGGAUCGGGUGAUUUAAUUUUAUACAUAUUUAAUCAAGUAAAAAUGGCACGUGCGUUGUAAUUUGCCCAGUUAUCUUACUUUGAAUAAUAACAAAGUUCAAAUUUUGUAUUCAGUGAAAAAUCAAUUCUAUAGUGAAAAACACUAGCUAGAAAAAAAUCUAUGUCCUGAUGUCUUAGUUUAUAAGCUCAAACAAUGAAUAGUAUACAUACAACGCAUGAUAGAACACAAACUCAUAUAGAUUUUUAGUUUUGAAAUUCAUUUCAGAAAAUCUGUUCUGUUCAACAGGUUAUAGAUUAUCAACUAAACUCUGCCCACAUUCUUAGCUCUGCCAUUGGAAGUACGCAACUCAGCUGCCCAUCGACCGCCAAGCCAUCAAGACAAUACCAAGAUACAACAUCAAUAAUAAUAACAUCAAGAAUUACAUAGAGGCCGUCGCACGUUACACCCACUCCAACAGGAAACUAAUUAAUACCCUCCAAGCUCCUCUGUUUCAAAUCCAAAUCCACUGCUCGACCAUUUACUAUGACGUAAGGUAUAUGGAUUAAUUAACAAGUGCCGAUAUUGUCCUCCAUCCUUUUGUGUACCUUUCUUCUGGCAAGGCCUUUUCUGGAAAGUAUUUGAGCUCCAGACAAUUGCAGAAUUUCAAUUUGCUGAGGUUUUGAUGAUCAGCAAUUGAAGAAGACAGGUGUUAAUAAUUAUGAAGAACUGGUGUAAUUUAUAUCAUGUAGGAAGCCCUUCAGUUACUUUUUUGACCGUGCUCAAGCUCUUUUAAGGGCUAAUAUUAAAAUUUCGUGAUAUUGUGCCAAAAGAGCUUCGUACGUCAUUGUAAACUGUUCAUCGUUAUGUGCUGCUUCCCCAUUUAAUUACAUUUAUUUAACAUUUUAAAGAUGGAAGUAGAAAUUAAAACUCAGUUUUUCAGAUAUGGCUCAUAUACAAUGCAAGUAUCAAGAUUUAAUUAGAGUUCAAUAUACAUGCGUCUAGUUUUUAUUGAGAGAAACAAAUCAUAAAUACUCAGGUGUUUCUAAAUGAUUGAAUAACGAUAUUAUUGUUAUUUAUAAAUUUAUAAGGAUAAAUAACUAAUAGUCCACCAUAAAUACCGAAAAGGGUCCCCAGCAUAACUUGAACAACUUUACUUGUGUUUGCUCAUUGAAUAAUGUUAUAAGAAAGAAAUACAUAUGUCAGAAGAUUCAUAGUAUAUUGGAGUGUUUUUUGUACUUGAAUGAGAAUGAAUGAAGGUAUGUUAAUUUACUUUAAAUAAUUGUCUAAAAGGAAUAGAAAUGCUCUAUAACAUACCAAAUACUACCUUAAUCAAAAUUUAUUUGACAAAAAUUUUUAAAAAAUGGAAUAAUUAACCCUAAUUAAAUAAUUGUCUUAUAUCACCAAACUCUUUUUUUUUUAAUUAAGCCAUCACCAAACUCUGUAAAGCAUAAAAUAUAAUAGGCAAAUUUGAGUUAAAAAAAAAUGAAGUUAGGAAAAUGACUUGCAUAUUGUCUUUGAUGAGCGCAUAAUUUUCUUUUAAAAAAAAUGUUGAAAUGAACUCAAACUCGUUAGUGCAACUUGUCGGUUUUAAGUUGUAGAUACGAGUGACAUGUCAUUUUAGCUGAACUAGAUUCCAGAGCUCACAUUUGGGCAGUGUCAUCCAAGAACAUUAAAACUCACGUGACUAUUGCACGCAUGGUUUAAGCUGAAAUGACGUUGCUAGCAGUCGUUUAAGGAAGGCCUUUAAGUGUCACAUGAGUUGCUCGUGAUAGGAGGUUAAAAGCUGUUGGUUUUGGAGGGAAACCCCUGAAGCUGUUACGCCUGCAUCUUCUGGUAUAUAAACGAGCUGGUUCUGGUGUCAUAGUCAGUAAUCAAGGAAAGAGAGAUAAAGCAUCUGUACUGAGAGAAAAUCUUGACAGGGUGGUCUCUGUAUUGUGUAUAAUUUCUCUAUAACCUUGGAAGCUUAAUAAAACUGCUCUCUGUGUUGGUUUUCUCCAGUGGAUGUAGGCACCCUUCAACAGGUGCUGAACCACUUAAGCUCGGUGUGUUCUUUGUCUUUGGGUUAUGAUCUUUGAUCUGUGCAUUGUUCUUUGUUAACGUAAGAUUAGUUCUUGAAUCUUUGAGUCAGAGUUGGGUCUUGGGGUAAGGUUAAUCUAGUAACUAAAGGUUAAUUUCACAACAAUUGGUAUCAGAGCUCUAAACUCUGAUUUCAAGGUUCAAGAAUGGGUUCAAAAGUGGAUCUUGAGAAGUUUACGGGGCAGAAUGAUUUCAAUAUGUGGAAGAUCAAGAUGGAGGCUUUGUUGAUUACUCAAGAGCUGGGAGAAGCCAUAGAUCCAGUCACUAAGAUUGAAGAAGGUGAGGCUUCAUCAUCUAAGAUCCCAGAACAGGUAGCAGAGAUAGACAAGAAAGCCAGGAGCACAAUCAUACUAAGUCUUGGUGACUCUGUAAUUCGAGAAGUGGCCAAGGAAAGGACUGUUGCUGGUUUAUGGGCUAAGUUGGAGAACUUGUAUAUGACAAAGUCUUUGGCAAAUAGACUUUACAUUAAGAAGAAGAUGUUCUCACUGAAGAUGAUUGAAGGGGCAUCAUUAACAGAACAUGUUGAUGAAUUCAAUAAGGUUUGUGAUGAACUGGAGACUAUAGAUGAAGGGCUGAGUGAUGAGAGCAAAGCCUUGCUACUAAUCAGCUCUUUACCAAAGUCUUACGAGCACUUUGUGGAUGCACUGCUGUAUGAGAGGCAAACACUCUCCCUAGAAGAGGUUAAAUCUGCUCUUGGCACAAAGAAGCUGAAAGAUAAGCAAGAUAAUCCAGAAAGUGAAUCAAGUGAGGGAUUGAUGGCAAGAGGCAGGUCUGAGAAAAGAGAUAACAAUGAAAAAAGCAAGGCAGAUCAAAGUCUAAACAAAAGAAUUUGAAGUGUUUUCAUUGCCAUAAAGAAGGGCAUUUCAAGAGAGAUUGCCCUGAAAGAAAGAACAAGAAUAAAGAAACCAAAGAAAGAACAGGUAAUGCAGCCAUAGCCACAGAAGAAGAAUGUAACUUUGAAACAGCCGGAGUACUCAUUGCCACAAGUCAGAAACCUCAAGGUCAGUGGGUCCUUAACUCAGGUUGUACCUUUCAUAUGUGUCCAAAUAGGAGUUAUUUUACAACAUAUCAGCCAUGUGAUGGGGGUAUGGUUCUAAUGGGUAAUAACUCAAUGUGUAAGGUAGCUGGUAUUGGGACUGUUAGCCUUAGGAUGUUUGAUGGGGUGAUAAGGGAAUUGACACAAGUGAGAUUUGUCCCUGAUCUAAAAAGGAACUUAAUCUCAAUUGGCAUGCUAGAUCAAACAGGUUGUGUAAUUAAGGCUGAGAAAUGUGUAUUGAGGGUAAUUAAAGGAUCAAUGGUGAUCAUGAAAGGCAUAAAACAAAAUGGUCUAUAUGUGAUGGAUGGACAUACUGUUGUUGGGGAGGCAAGUGUGACUGACAGUAAAUGGAACAGAUCAAUGAUGUGGCAUUUAAGGAUGGGGCAUAUGAGUGAAAGAGGUUUGAGAGAGUUACAAAAACAAGGAGUGUUUGGGGAUGAUCAAAUAGGAGCUUUGGGGUUCUGUGAGGAUUGUAUUCUAGGAAAAUCCUCCAGGUUAAGGUUUGAGAUUGCAGCUCAUACCACCAAAGAGAAGCUUGAAUACAUACACUCUGAUUUGUGGGGGCCUGUACAAGUAAACUCACUAGGUGGAUGUAGAUAUUUUCUGACUUUUAUAGAUGAUUUUUCAAGGAUGGUUUGGGUCUUUGCACUCAAAAGCAAAGAUGAGGUUCUGGAAAAAUUCAAAAACUGGAAAACUUUUGUUGAGAACCAGACUGGUCUGAAGGUGAAAACUCUGAGGACAGACAAUGGCUUGGAGUAUUGCAACAAGCUGUUUGAAGAAUUCUGUGAAAAGAAUGGUAUUCAGAGGCACAAAACUGUCACCUACACCCCUUAACAGAAUGGCCUUGCUGAGAGGAUGAAUAGGACUCUGGUGGAGAAGGUGAGAUGCAUGUUAAUCUAUUCUAAGCUCCCAAAAACCCUUUGGGCAGAAGCUUUAAACACAGCAUGCUAUCUAGUCAACAGGAGCCCAUCAACUGCUAUAGAUUGUAAAACACCAAUGGAGCUUUGGUCAGGAAGAAGGGCUGACUAUACAAAACUCUGAAUCUUUGGGUGCACAACAUAUGCUCAUGUGAAGUAGGGUAAGCUGGAACCAAGGGCAUUAAAAUGCAGAUUUCUGGGGUAUCCGGAUGGGGUCAAGGGCUAUAGAUUAUAGUGUGUUGACACAAAACCACCACAGUGCAUCAUAAGCAGGGAUGUAAAAUUCCAUGAAGAAGAGCUAUUGAAUAAACCAAAGAGCUCAGAUAACAAUAUGGAAUCAAGCACUGAGACUGAUAUAGUGAAGUUUCAGGUGGAGCCUCAAAACUUGAAAGAACUUGAGCCUGAAAUUGAAGGUACUGAAGCAGAACCUGAAGCUGGUGUUGAACAUGAAUCAGCUGAAAGUGAAGAGAACACCUAUCAGUUGGCUAGAGACAGAAAGAAAAGGACAAUAAAGCCACCUAAAAGAUAUGCAGUAGUUGACUUGAUUGCAUAUGCUUUGAAUGUUGCUCAAGAGCUGAAUGAUGAUGAACCUAGGACCUAUCAAGAAGCUAUCACAGGCAAAAACAAGCUGGAAUGGAAGAGGGCAAUGGAUGAAGAGAUGACAUCCCUGAUUAAAAACAAGACCUGGACAUUGAUUGAAAAACCAGACAAGAGGAAAACAGCAAGCUGCAAAUGGAUCUUCAAAAUUAAAAAUGGUGUACCUGGAGCUGAACCUAGAAGAUUUAAAGCUAGAUUGGUGGCAAGGGGUUUUACACAGAAGGAGGGAAUUGACUUCACUGAAGUAUUUUCUCCUGUGGUGAGACAUGCUUCCAUCAGAGUUAUUCUUGCACUUGUGGCUGUGCAAGAUAUGCAUCUUGAGCAGAUGGAUGUAAAAACAACAUUUCUGCAUGGUGAGUUACAAAAAGAAAUUGUAAUGCAGCAGCCUGAAGGAUAUGUAGCAUCUGGAAAAGAAGACUAUGUUUGCUUACUUAAGAAGUCUCUGUAUGGGUUGAAGCAGUCACAUAGGCAAUGGUAUCUGAGUUUCAGAUAUUUUUGACAUGUCGGUUUAUAACCUUGAUUGUGCAUGCCCUGUCGGUUGCGUGAUGAAACAGGAGAAUAUUGACAUCUGUGUAUUAUCGUUUACUUCCUGCAAUUAAAUCACAUGUUGUUCAUUCCAUUUACACUAUACGGCACAUUUGGCAGUUGUUUUGGUCACUUAUUGAAGCACGGGUUAAGUACUUGAUUCAAGGUUGUUAACUGACCUUUACAAGGCGGGAAAAUUCUGGGUUUGUUAUAACAAACCCCGGAAUGCAGCUAGUGAGUGGGGACUUUUCUAGACUCUUCAUGAUAUGUAUAUAUAGUCUUAGAGGCUAUAGUUGAGACAUAUGAAAAGCUUCUUAAUGUUUGUAGUUUGAUCUCGGUGAUGGAGAUAAGAUUGCUGCCCUGUUCUUCAGUGGAUAUAGGCUAUCUCCAAGCCGAACCACUUAAAUUGUGCCUCUGUUUUGCUUGAUGACUACCAGUGGUGAGAAAACACCUACAGAACAAAUCAAGCUUGAUGACUCAAAUAUUAGGGAAGCCAUAGUCAAGGUAUCUGGUUUAUGCAUCAACAGUGGUUCGUGGACUAGAAUUCCUAUCUAUUGUCGCUUCACAAUUGCACUGGAAGAAAGCGAAUUUGAUCGAGCUUUGGAUCGCAUAGCUAAAUUCAAAAGCAUCGUACAAAUAGUUAACUAAAAGACGGUAUUGUCAUUUGUCAUGAUUUAUUUCUAUUGCCUGAUGAUGAUACCCAUCACGCCUUAGUUGUCGUGAAUAAAUCUAAAAUCAAAUUGAACUGGUUUUUACUGGUUAGCAACAAUUGUGACGUUUUGAGAUUAUAAUAUAUGACAACACUGAUUAGUGUUGUCUCCCAUGUGAAUUGAGACAAAAAUUAUUUUCCCAAUUGCGCUUUCAUUUGAACAAUUCCACUGUAGAUUUAUAAAAUAAUGAUCAAAUUGUGUUUUAUAUUAAGUUACGAGUAAUUGGUUAAACAUUAAUACAAAACUAUUUUAAGUAACAUGUGGCAUAUUCUAAUUCUAGCCAAGCUUCCAACUAAGAUUCCCAAAUCAAAAGAAUUUCAAUCUUCAGAACAUUCUGCAAAACGUUUAGUCUCUACGCAGUGCUAGAAUUUUCCCUAAGUUUCUAUUGCAAAGACUUCUAAAGAACUAUUCAGAUAUCGAGCUAUAAUCCAGUCUAAAGUGCAUAUAUCUCUCUAAUUCACCUCCCUCCAUUUCACCAGAAAAUCAAUAAACACUUAGCUUCAAACAAACACUCUCAAAAAGCUAGCUAGCUAUCCAGAUGGAAAAACCAAGAAUUCUUGCAAUGACAAUGUUGUUUCUUGUUAUGGCAGCAACAUUGAUAAACAUGGCAUCACAAGCAAUAGCUCUGAUGCCGUACACACAAUCACCUUUCUUUGACAUGAUGUUCCCAAUGACGGAAGAGCCUUUCAGGGUUCUUGAACAAACCCCUUUAACAAUCGCAAAAGGAGCUGAUCAUCAUCAAACUCUAGCCCUGGCGAGAGCAGACUGGAUGGAGACACCAACAGCCCACGUGAUCACGCUCGACAUUCCAGGGAUGAAGAAAGAUAAUAUGAAGAUUGAAGUUGAAGAGAACAGAGUACUGAGAGUGAGUGGGGAGAGGAAGAGUAAUGAUUAUUAUAAGGAGGGAGUUGAAGGAGAGAAAUGGCACAAAGCUGAGAGGACAUUUGGCAAGUUUUGGAGGCAGUUUAGGAUGCCAAUGAGUGUUGACUUGGAACAUGUUAAGGCUCACAUGAAAAAUGGGAUUCUGAGGGUCACAGUGCCAAAGCUUGCUGAGGAGAAGAAGAGGCAGCCUAAGGUUAUUAACAUUGAUGAAGAGUCUGGUAAUUCUUCCAAUGAAGAUAUUAAGGCUACCAAGGCUCAAAUGUAAUUAAUUAAAGAAAGAAGUGAUUGCUUUGCUUGAUGUGCUAUUUGUUUAUGAUCUUUUUUUGGUUUUGUUCCGAGAUGUUUCUAUUUGGAUGCUCUAUUUAAUGUAUGUUGAUGGGUUUUUGAGGAAGGCUUGUAUGUAUUGACAACCAUAAAAUACUUUUUAUAAAUCCUAGUCCUACAACACUAAAAGAAAACAAUACGUUUGGUUUAUAGUUAAUAAAAAUAUAUUUUUUUAAAAAAUUCUUUUUCUUUGGCAUAUAGUAUGCGUUUUGAGGGGAAAAAAAUUUAUCCCACUCCUAAUUUGUCAUCUGUGAUAUUAAUGUGUUAGCACGAAGAUUCAUUGUAAUUGCAACAAUUUUGAUGAAUCCAAACGUUCAAUAACUGUUAAAUUGUAUUUUAUAAAUACUAAUAGCGAAGGUACAGAAACGAUUAAUCCAAGAAGUUGCUUAAAGUGCAUUAAAUUAGGGAGUAUAAAUAAUUGUGUGAUACAGUCCAGCCUUUAUCUGCUUAUAAUUAGCAACCAAAAACCAUUUGCAACGCCAUUAAAAAAACAUUUUAACAUUAUUGCUGAGGGAAGAGGCAGCUUAGGCUUAUUAACUCGUAUUAUUAAUGCUGAUGACGCAGCUGGUAAUCCUUUUGGUGAAUAUAAUAAGGUAGCUGAAGCUUAUAAUUAUUUAAGCCCACUAAAGCUUAAAACUAAUUCUUCUAGUGACGAUGCUUUGCUUAGUUUGCUUUUUGUUUUUAAUUUUUUUGGGGCUAACAUUUUGCUUAUUUUGCUUUUAAAAUUCUAUUCGCGUUGCUGUGAAAUAUUGUUUGUCCUUCCAUUUUCUGUUUUUGUUGUUAUCGGAUUUGAUGAUGGUUUAUAUGUACGAAGAUUAUGUAAUAAAGUCUUUUUCUUUGGCCUUUAUUAUGCAUUUUAAUACGAAAAAAAAUUAUCCCACUCCAAUUCAUGAAGAUAUUCUCAUUUCUGUCAUAUUGAUGUGUUAAUAUAAAGAUCCAUUGCAGUUGGUGAAUUCAAAUAUUCAGUAACUGAUGAAAUUGUAUUUAUAAAUUCAUAGUAAUAGCAAUUGAAGAUUAUAAUUAAUUUUGUAAUAUGGUCAAGCCCUCGUGUGUUUAAUUAGCACUCAAAAACCACUUUACAAUAGUCAUUAAAAGAACAUUAUAACGUCAUUACUGAUGAGUUCUGGUGAAGAUAUUAAGUUAAGGCCACAAAAAUCGAAAUGUACGUGGCUUCGUUUGUUUUUUGUUUUGAUUUUUUUUGGGGGCAAAUGCUUGGCUUCGUUUUUGAUAUUUUAUUGGCUUUAUUGUGUGGCAUGUUCUUGUUUUCUUUUGAUUUUCUGUUUUUGUUUGUUAUGGGAUUUGAUGACGAUGUACAUGUACGAAGAUUAUGUAAUAAAAUGCUUUUGAUAAAUUGUGGUCGGUUUAGUAUUAAUUAACCAAAUUUAAUUUACUUGAUCAAUUGAUAUUUGUUAGUAUUGUUGUUAUACAAGCACAACAAAAGAAGAACACUAACGUACUAAUUAAUUACUAAUAAGAACAUUAACAAUUUUUGCCGAAGUCUGAUGAAGAGAAAUAUUACACAUACGUAACGGUACCGCGGAAGGAAAAAAUAAAAGAAACUGAAGUUUAUUUCAACAGCUACUCUUUCUUUACCUAAAUCCUGCACCUCUCAUACUACCAACAAGAUCGAAAACCUUAUCGAAUACUCCUACAUCCCAGACUCUGCCCAAAUCAGUGAAUCCACAUACCUCCAAUACAGUACCCCGUUGCUAAAAUAAAGCGAGCGUCUUACUCUACCUAACAUUUUUCUUUUUAUUAAUUUAAAACAGUUUUCAACUGAGAUUGGAAUUUUAAAAUUACGUACACAAACAUACCUGAUUUUAAAGAAAAAAAAUUCUAAUAAUAAAAUAUUUUACAUAUGUAACCAUACGGCGGAAGAACAAAUAUAAGAAACUGAAGUUUCAACAGCUGAGAAUGAGAUAAGCAUAAGAAAUUAAUUCAUUAAUUAAUUAAUAGAGUCCUCCUCCUUUGCUAAAUAAUGCGAGCCCAUUGUUCUUUUUAUUUCGAAAACCCAUUAAUCACCAACACAUAAUAUACGCCCAAUUUAAAAAAAAGAAACUAAUAAUAAAAUAUUUCAGUCCCUCUGUUGAGUCGUCCUCUGUGGAGUCGUCAUCAAAAACCCAUUUACUAGCUAUUUCAACAUAAGGUAAAUGGGUUAACAAGGCCCAAUAUUGUCCUCCAUCCUCUCUGCACUUCUCUUCUAUCAACGGACAAUCAUAGAUACUUAAUUUCAAAAGUGAGGAAGGCAGGCCCUUCUCCGGAAAGUAUUUGAGCUUGGGACAAUUCUUGAGAUACAAUGAAGUGAGGUUUUGAAGAUCAACAAUUGAAGAAGAUAGGCGUUCCAAAUUUGGAAAAUUGUAAAUCUCCAGAGACGUUAGAGAGGCAAGAAGAGGAAGCGCAGCCCCUAAUCUUUUGUCCUCUAGUGGAAUUGACACCAUGUCGUCAUCGCAUUCGCUGAUUUUAAAAUGUCGCAGAGAGGAGAAUCUGUGAAAUCCCCGGCCCCGCUCAAUCAUUGACUUCCAAAUCUCCAUAUUACCCCUGAUAUCAAGUGAAUGAAGGUUGGUGGGAAGGCCAUCUUCUUCAAGGCUUGGAAGCUCAACUCCUCUUCCUAUUGUUAAUUCUUGAAGAGAGGUCAGAUUGUGCAAUCCCUUGGGUAAGGCCUCUAGUCCCUUGCACCAACUGAUAUUGAACUUUAUUAGUUUCGCACAAGGCAAUCCCCCUUCGGGAAAGGACACCAGAUUUUUACAUUCCCAUAUUUCGAUCUCUUGAAGCUGGCGGAGAUUAUGUAAACCACUCGGUAAAAUCUUUAGAUUUUUACAAAAAUCAAUUCUGAUUAUUUCAAGCGAUGUGUUGUUGUCCAACCUUUCUGCUAUUGACUCCAGCUUUGAACAACUAAGAACUUCAAGGGACUUAAGAGACGGAGGUAGAUUGCCAACUUCAAGGGACUCAAGCGUGGCAGGUAACUCGUUUUUUGAAAAUAUACAUGUCAGAGAUGGACAUUCGCUAAUAUGCAAGCCCUCGAGAAGAGAUGAGGUGUACCUUCUGCUGCUGCUGCUGCUGCUACUCUGGAUGCCCUCUUCCACUGUCAAAGUCCUUAGAUUAUCACAAUUAUGGAUGUACAACAUCUUAAGGCUCGGUGGUAGCUGGACUCCAGCAAUAUAUGUCAACGAACGGCAACUCAAAAUCUCCAAGAUCUCGAGAGAUGAAUUGGUGUCGCACAUCCAUGCCUCUGGUAACAAUUUCAGUGCAUCACAAGAACUAAUAUGAAUUGUCUUCAACUUGGAAGGCAGAGCAACCUCAGGAAAGGAAACAAGGGAACUGCAUUGGUAGAUUUCUAUCUCUCUCAAGGAGCUAAGGCUGAGCGAUGAUUGUGGCAGCUUCACAAGGUCUUGGCAAUCUCUCAAUUCUAUAUAUUCGAGUCUGCAUGACAACUCGCAGAGCUGCUGUUGUUGGUCUUUCUCUUCCUCCGCCACCAAGGAUUGAAGUUUGGGACAGCUGCCAAUCGUCAAUCUUUUGAGAGAGCAAAUGUCUUGUAGUAAUCCAUCAUGACUCUUCCAUAUAUAUGUUUGCUCUUUUGUCGACAAAAUUAAUUCUUCCAAUUUCUGUAGUUGUGGUUUCAAUGGCCCCACAAGAAACACUUGAUUUGAUGCAUCUCUACAAACCACUGAAUUCUGUGAUCCGAGAUGACCAGUUGCACUUUCCCACACAACCUUUUUGCAUCCACCAAUUUCCAAUUUGCAAAGAGCUGGAAGACUCGAAACUGAAACUAACAAUUCUUCACAUCCUUCAAUAACAAGCAUCUCCAAUGCAGGAAGGUGCUCUGGAAAUGUUCCUUUCAGUUUAGAACAUUUUAAAAUGUGAAGUUCUCUCAAUUUAGGAAACCCUUCAACUCCUUGACUGGAUCCAUGAGGAAUCCAAUCUUCCCAUUCUUGCAUGUUUUCAAAAAGAAGAGUCUUCAAGCAUGGAAAUGGAAUUGGAGAAACAUUCCCAUAGAACUCUGAACCCAACCUCUUUACUCUGCUCAUUCCACAUACUACAAGAUGCUUUAAAGAGGGUAGUUGCCCGACUGACGGCAGGGCAGUACACAUGUCACAAUUUUUAAAUUUUAGGGUCACCAAAUUUGAGAAUGAGGAAUCUCCCAACCAAGUUGGAAAUUUCAUACCUCCAUAGCCUUUGAUACAAAAUUGCUCCAGAUUUGUAUGAGGUUUCAGCAUGUCAAGCAUGCCCAUUUCAGUUUCUGCCUCCCUUGAAGAAGAACCAUCGGUACUGCAAGUCCAUUUAAGCGAUAAUUCUUUCAGAUUCUUCUUUCCAUCCAUUUGAGCUACCAUGGCAUCACCAACGCAUUUUGCAUUCUCCAAUUUUGAAAUGUUAAGUGUCCCAUGAAGGUGCGUCAACAACUUUAGCUCUCGUAACCCGGAACCACUGCCUUUUCCCACAACAAAAUUACACAACGUCUGAAGACUAGUCAACCUACCAAUUCCUAGUGGCAUUUCCUCCAACGACUUCGUAUUUGAAUUCUUAAGAUGAUGCAAUUUGGCGAGGUUUCCCAUGUCUGCACACAACUUCUUCAGCCGAUCACAAUCUUCCAACAAAAGGCUAUGCAAAUUGUAAAGCUUGUUGACUGAGUCAGGCAGAGUUCUAAUCUCAGUUCCAGACAGGUUAAGGUACCUUAAAUACCUCAAAUCACCAACUGAAUCCGGUAGCUCGAAGAUGUGGUAUCCACGCAGAGAGAACGCCCUCAAGCGUUGGGGUUUGAGCAACUUAGGAAGAAUGCUAGGAGCCAAGUAGCCAGGCCCACUAUUUGUCAACAUUACUGGUAAAAAAGUUCUCAAAUGUUGGAUAUCAUACAAGUCCCCGAACCUUUGAACGCCAUCAUAAUCUCCACGAAUGUAUGAUAGGUGACGAAGAUUUCUGGAAAAACAUUGUUGCUUGUUAACCUCCGAGGUAUACUCCAGUGUGAAGUAUGUCUCCCCUGCAGCCCAACGGGCAAGGUCGUUGAUAAGAUCGUGCAUAACAAAUAGUGAUGCAUCGGUGGCCGAUUGCUGCAAAAAAGAUCUUGAACGUAGCUCCUUAAAGAAAUCACGACCUAAAUCUUCACUAGGAUUCUCAUCUUCUUUGUGAUCCAAAAAACCGGAGGCACACCAUAAUAAAAUUAUCUCCUCCUCUUCAAAUUCAUAAUCCUUUGGAAACAAUGAGCAGUAUGCAAAGCAUUGUUUCAAAGUUGGAGGAAGAUAAUAAUAGCUCACUGCAAGGGCUGGUAUAAUGCCACACCUCUUUUCUGAUAAUUCCCAUAUCUUGCUACAGAGCACACGUUCCCACUCACGUCUGUCAUGUUUUCCACGUAAAAGUCCUCCAAGUGUUUGUGCUGCCAAGGGCAAGCCAUCGCAUUUGGUCACUAUCUUCUUGCCGAUUUCCUCCAAUAACUUAUGUGACCCCAAAGAAUGUUGAGCGAAUACAGCCAGACAAUCAUUAUCUGACAACUUUUUUAAUUGAUAAGAUGGAACAGUACCCAUGAUUUCUGCAACCUCUUGAUUGCGAGUAGUGACAAUAAUUUUACUUCCUGGUGCACCAACUUCAAAUGGACGUCUGAGUUGAACCCAAUCAUCGUAAUUCCGGUUCCACACGUCAUCCAAAACAAGCAAAAAUUUCUUUCCAGACAGUUGCUUACUCAGUUCCUUUUGAAGUGAAUUCAAGCUGGGAUCACCCACGUUCUGGCUAGCAACAAUGGAUGUUAAGAUUGUUUUUGUUAGCCUCUUAACGUCGAAAUCAUCAGAGACACAAGUCCAUGCCUUGAGAUCAAAAUGAUCCUGCACUUGCUUAUCAUUGUAGACAAGCUGAGCAAGAGUGGUUUUGCCCAGCCCGCCCAUACCUAUAAUAGGAAUAACAGAGAAUCCACCAUCGUUGCUUAAAUCAUCCCUCAACAGCAGUUCAACAACAUCCUUCUUUUCUGUUUCCCUGCCAUAUACUUUGGCUUCAUCCACCAAAGAGGUUGUCUCUGGCCUUUGACUGGCUUUUUUGGAUCCCCCAGCUGAACUUUCUUUCAAAUCUAGCAAGUUUUUCUUUGUCACAAUUUCUUGAAAUCUGCUGUCGAUCUCUUUGAUUUUGGACAUCAAGUCAUAAUCGAACUGAGUCGAUUGUGGAGUAAAAAUGGUGAAGCAAGUAUGAAUGAACUUCCGAAGCUUACUUGGUCUCGUAUGACUGCUACUGGGUUGAUCAUGAGCAGCAGCUGGUUCUCCAUUUCCAAGCGGCAACCUCCUCCGGAAAGCCUCGGUUUGAAACUCAUCCAACAAGUCUUCAACAUCAUAAGCCAAGUUCUGAAGCUCGCCAAGCCACAAAUUCACAGACGGAGCCGUCCUCCUCUUCUCCUCAGCAUCAUCAAGCACUGCCUUGAUCAUCUCCAACAUAUUCGCCCACCUCAUCAGAUCGGCCUCGAUCUCCUUUUGGCGUGCAAAAAACAGAACCCCCUCUGAAGCUAACUUAUUGACCAGCAAAUCAACGGACGCCGUAAGGAUUGCCUCUCCGAUCAUUGACAUUUUUUUUUCCUUUUUUGGGGCAAAGGAAGAAAGGAGCAGAAUUAUGCGUUAUGGAAAGCAGAAUGAGAAAUUUGAACGGGUGAGAAAAUGGAUAAUUAAGCAGAAUGAGUUUGUGAUUGUGAAGGGUCUGGCCCAACAAGCUUAGUAGAAAUCACGCGUUUAUACUUUAUUGACCAAUGACUAAUAAUUUGCCAAUUCACUCAUCACCACCACUUGGUGAGCAAAAUGAAAAUGCUUAGUAAUUAAACGUGGCAAGUCUCCCCACUUGUUGUUCCUUGCAGCUAAGAAAAGAAAAAACAGAGCCGUAAUUAAUGACAGAAUUUUAAAAAUAAUAAUAAGAGAAAAACCUACACAUUUUCGACUUAGAGUGGAACCGUAAUUAAUGCUAAAAUUUACUCAGCUAAAAUUUUCAAAAUAUUGUUCUUUAUAAUUUUCAAAACCGUAAUUAAGGUUCAUCUCAAAUGUUUGAAGAGACUCUAUCAAUUCUUCUGCGCUAAGAAUAUUAAAAUUCUUAUUUUUUCUUCAAACGUUGAAUAAUGAAAAAAAAUGUUAAAUAUGGAGAAAAAUAGAAUGCAUCCAUCUUUGCUGUAGAAGUCUUCUACUUAUAAAAGCAAGUUAGAAUAAACGAUUUUAAUCUCUCUUUUUAUUCCUGUAAGUGCACUACAUUUUUUUUGUUUUAAUCUCAAUGUGAAGUCGUAUCAUAAUGUUAUGUUAAUGUUAUAUUCUUGUUGGAAAAUGAAAUUUUAGAUAAAACAAAUUCGACUCAUUUGUUGAAGGUAUAUAUUUAGUAGGUUGCUAACAUAAAGUAAAUGAACUAAAAGACAAUACUACCAGCGAUAAUUUAGCAAGUUUCGCAUGCUCGUCUUUCUUGAAAUAUUAUAUGGGAAUGGGAUCAAACAACAGUGAUACAAAGAGAAAAAUGGUAAUCCUCUGAUUGUAUUUUUUUUUUCUUUUUCAAAAGAGAUGGUGGGGUUGGGUUGUUUGCAAAGUUAUUAGUGUGGGUCUAUUUAAAAUGUUAAGAAAUUUUAUGUCCUUUUUUCAAAGUGAAUUUCCAUUUUUCAUUUCUCAUUAAGUAAAACCCACAGCAAAAUUAAAAAGAAAAAACAGAGCCCACUAUAAAUAUAAAAUCGAAGGAGCUCAUAAUUAUACCUUUGCUUUACAUACUAAAUUAAAUAAAAGCCGAACCAAGAAUCUUGCCUUUACUUAACAUGAUUAAUUAGACACUACUUCAGAGAGAAUACGAAAGCAAAGAACCCUUUUGUUAAUCUUAAAUGUUAGGAAAAUAAUUAGCUUGGAAUAAAGCUGCGUUAUUCUCCUCUUACCGUCUCUUCAGGUUCAUUUCAAAAGUUUGAAGAGAUUUUAUCAAUUCUUCUUAUAAAGGCAAGCUAAAUUAAAAGAUUUUAAUCUCUCUUCUUAUUACUAUAAGUGCACUGCUUUUUUUUUAUAAUCAACAAUGUCAAUUUGUAGUGUAAUAUUAUAUUCAUAUUCCUGUUGCGUCGAAAUAAGGUAAAAUGAAAUUUUAAAUCACACAAAUUCGACUCGUUUGUUAAAGGUAUAUAUUUAAUAAGCUAAUAACAUAAUUAACAUAACGCUAUUAUUACACUAAAUGAAAUAAAAGACGGUACCCUCCACCAAUAAUUACAUUAGCAAGCUUCGCAUGCUCGUGUUUCAGGACCUAGACAUUGGCGAAUUAAUCUAGGAUAACGAAACAAUUUCAAAAAGCAAAAUGGAUACUAUACAUUUUCUUUUUUUAAUUGUACAGAAAACGGGACUAAUUUUCAAAUAUUUUUAAAUUCACUUAUUUACAAAAGCUAUACAAAAUGAUUUCCUUUUUAUUUUUGAUGAGCAUAAUUUACAUACAUAUUUUACUAUUUAUUAUAUAAUUACUAGUUAUUUUUAUUUGUUAUUUUAAUUAAUUGAAUUAUUUUAUUUCAUAGGAAAUUAAUUGGAGAUUAUGGAUGAAAAGUGCGUAAAGAAUAACAAUUUGACAGCAUUGAAGAUCAAAUCAAUUUGCGGAAGGAAUUAAGCAAAUGUGCAAGAAAUUCUAUUCGAAGAAACCGAAGCCAAUAAAUUGAAUAUCCAUACUCGUGCAAACAAAGAAGAAGUUUAAAACUAAAGUGGGCAGCACAUUAAAAAAAGCUUUUAAUUAAGUCUUUGAAUGGAAAGUCAAAAUAGAAUAAAGGAAGGAAAUCAAUAGCUUUUGGCUUUUAUUGUUUUCAAUUACGUGGCAGGCUUAGAGCUUUAGCUUGUAAGAGUUGGUUUGGUUAUUAUCACAAUAGGAUUUGGUGGCCAAGCAAUAUAAAAGGGAGUUUUGCUUUUGAAUUAAAGGCUGGACGGAAACAAAAGGGAGGAGAAUUCGGCUUUGAACAGAGAGCAGCGGCAACGGCAAUAUUUCGGCUUCCAUGGCUGAAUUUAUUUCUUUUGUUGCUCACAAUUUAAGUAUGUCUAGCUAAUUUUCUUAUACUGAGGUUAAGGAUGAAACCCUAUUCAAUGAAAUAAUUAUCUUUUUAUUUAUUUAAUUCCCUAUAUAUGUGCUUUAAUGUUUAUGGUUUUUAUUUCACAUGAUUAAUUGGACGUUAUUAAAAUCUUUUCAUCAAUUCUGUCAUGCAUUAUUAAUUGUUAGGAUUAAUAUUCAAUUAAUUCUAUACUUGGAUCUAUAAAGUUUAUACAUGAUUAUCUUUGAUUUUAUGUCUUUCAUUAAAUUAUUUACAUAGAGUGCUUAGGAAAACUUUGACUCUUUGUUAUUUAAUAUGUUUACAUGAGAUGCUUACAUGUCAUACUAUUAAGUAGAAAAAGAACCUACAUUACAUUUAAUUUUAAUUGGGCUUAAUUGUUAUAUUUAUGAGAUGACAUAGAUUGAUUUUGAGUUGUCACUCUAAAAUUAGGGAUUCAUUAAUAUUUGGAUAAUUACAAAUUAAAUAGUGGUGGAUUCCGAAACCUUGAUAAUUUUUAUUUUAUUGAUUUCUCAUUUGCUUUAAUUGUUUUCUUAGUUUAAUAAGUUUAAUUUCUUUUAAAAAUUCAAAUUACUCAACUAAGUUAGGAUUAAUAUUAAUUUUAGAUUUAAAUUAGACUUUUCAAUUUAUAACAAUCCAUGUGGGAUUGACCUCGUUACUACUAUUCUAUUUCUAGAUUCAUGCGCUUGUAAGUAUAUUAAAACUUUCACAACAAUUUUGAAAGGAAUCAAAUAACAGUGAUACAAAGAGCGCAAAGUUGCAAUUCUCUUAUUAUAUUUUUUCUCUUUUUUAAAAGGAGAUAGUGGGGUUUGGUUGGUUGCUAAAUUAUUGGUGUGAGGGUCUAUUUGUUUUUGUUUUCACUUUAUUAAUUAUACCAAGCAAACAUGUAAUCAUUUGUAAAGGGGUCACUAGCAUUGGAUUAUGUAAGAUGAAUUCAUAAGACUUAUUAAUUUCGAUGAAAAUGUAGCGUUAUUAAGUUGUCAAUUCAUUAACUUGAGGUACUAAUAUUUACUAAUUGUGGUGAUUAAUUUAUUUAACUUGUCAUAAUUUUCAAUUGAGAAUGAAGUUCAAUCAAUGUAUGAAAAAAAUAAUUUUUUUAGAUUUUUAAUUCCUAUGAUUUAAUUUCCCCCUGUUUCGAUUAUUGACGUGUUAAAAGCUUGUAGAAUAUCAUGAAAUGCUUGUAUCUCACCUCGCAAAUUGACAAAUAUUGGUUGGUUUCUCCAAAGGCUACCAUAAUGAAUUGAAAGUAAAAACAACAACCAUUGAAAAUUAAUUUUAAAAUCAUUUUUACUUGAAAUUUUUUAAAAGAAAAAUUAAGCAAAUUAGAUUACAGAUAUCAAUCUUAAUAUUUUGUUGAUGAAAAUUAAUUAAUUUAUCUCAGUACUUUCUUAAUUUUGUGUUGUGCACCGCAUUGGUCACUUCUGAUUGUGUUGCAUAUUUGUUAAUUCAAAGAAAUAGAACUUCUUUAUCGAUCAAACUUAUUUUAUUAGUAUUCUUCAUCAUAUGGUUAAUGGCUUAGCCAAUGAAGGAGAAGGGGUCAGCCAAAACAAAUAAAGUACUUUCUCAUGCAUUAACCUUUAUUAAAAAGCUUUAUUAACUGUUGUAGUUAAAAUAAUUUUAAAACAAGUUAAAACAGUUCCAACUCAAAAUCAGUAGGCUGCAAUUGGGUUGUUACACAUAUUUCUAAAUUUCAGUCUAAUUUAAUUGUGUAUGGACAAACUAACUUUAUCACUUCUUUCAUAUUAAUACUCAUAAAUUUCAACCUUUUUUUAUGAUGAUGGACAAUCUAACUUAACAAAAAUAAUGUUCAAAUUAUCACAAAAUGUUCUUUUCUUAAAAAAGAAAAGAAAAUCAUAUAUAGUAGUUAAUUUUUCUUCUUCUGUACUCCAAGAUCCAACUCCGUACUCCACUUGUUCGUUGUUAUUAUACCCAGCCAUUAGAUUUUAAUUACGUUGAUUUAACGGUUUGGAUUCGUAAAUGAAUAACGACGUAAAGUUUGGCUACCAUCUGAACCCACCGCAUCUAAUUGGUUUUGUGAUUUUUUGCUUUCUUCACUGCAACGCUUGACUAGUUCUGGAAAUAUCGACCGCCAUCAACGGCAAAUCUGAACCAUGUAUUAUUUGCGAAUACAUUCAUUAAACUAUUAAACAUUCAGAGAAGAAAGCAAACCGUGGCAGUAUAACAAAAACUGCGAAUGGUCAUUCCCAACACGAACCCCUAUGGUUGUUUUCCUUUUAAUUUUCUUCUUUGAAUUCUCCUUUUAUUAAUCAUUAGAAAAACUCCAUUUUUUUUGUUUUAAAUCAUGUGUUAUUAACAUUUACAUGGUUAAUGUCAUCGAAAUCGAAUGGUUGUUAUCUACGAAAAGAGAAUUGCUAGAAAUUUUGUUAGUCCCAUUGCAACAAUAUAUUGUUAUAAAUUGCAUUGUUUUCCAUAUAACAAAUAUAAUAAAAUCUCAAUAAAUUAAUAGUUUUUGGGACCAUAAAAAAAUUAUUAAAAUUAAACAAAUAUCAAUUAAUCAGUAAAUUAAUAAAUUAUUAAUUUAUGAAAAUAUUCAUUAUUUUGGAAAAACAUGAUCACGCUUUUAAUAUUGAUUUACCUUGAGUUAGUAUCUAUUAGGUUUUAUUUGUCUAUUAGUUUUCUCUUGGGAAGAUUUUUUAAGAGUUAGCUGCUUUAUAUUAACAGUAAUAAAAUUAUUAUUUAACGGUUUUGUUUUUCCAUGCUAAAGACCGAUUAGUCGUCUUCUUCUCCUCAGCAUCAUCAAAACCAGGGUUUUUAACUCCUAAAACGUUUCUUUUUAGAAAUAUAUUACUUUAUUCAUCUAAUAUGUUAUCUAACAAAUAGACACAGAUGAAAUCACUCUAAAGUGAAGAUGAAAGGGGAAAAAAAACAUUCCAACCACCAAUAAUUUAGCAAGCUUCACUUUUAUUCCACCAAAGUGUAAAUAGUGCCAGCCCCCACCACCAUCAAUAAUUUAGCAAGCUUCACACGCUUGUUGUCUUCUCCUUGACGAACUGGACGUGGGUGGACCAAGAAUCAAUGAAAGAAUUUUAAAAAUAAUAAUAAAAGAAAAACAUAAACAUUUUGGACUCGGAGUAGAACCGUAAUUAAUGCUAAAAUUUACUCCGCUAACGUUUUCAAAAUAUUGUUCUUUAUAAUUGUACAGCAAAUAAGACUAAGUUUUGGACAUUUUCAUAUUCACUUACUUUCAAAAGCAGUAUUUCGAAACAUUUUACAGAAUCAAGUAACAGUUAUAUAACGAGAAAAGUGCAAAGUUGUGUAAUUCUAAUGUUUUUUUUUUUUUAUCACAGACACUCAGAUAAUUUUUUAUUUGGGUCGCCAACUCGCCAAUUAACCCAUGAUUGAAUGAGUGUUUAGAAAGAAAAUCAAUAAAAAACAGUUUUUUUUUUGGUCGUCGAAAUAUAGUAAGUGAGAAAGAUUAUUCUGUUUUUUUUGUUAAUUAGGUUAGUAAUUAUGAUUGAGUGACUCAGAACUAUAUUCUAGAUUGAGAAUCAACGGUUCUCCCACACUGAGAGGCUGUAAGUUUAAGAUUGUCGUUUGCUAUUUCAUCGACAAGAGAACACUUGAAUUUAUUAAAAGGAGAAGGCCAUAAAGAUUUUCCUUUAUGAGAAAUGUAUCUGAUCAUUCCUUUUUACUUGAAAAUUUCAUAUAUAAAAACUCAUUAAUAAAUGACAGAAUAUACAUAAAUUAUUAAUUCAUUUGAUAGUUGAUUAUCGAAGGACAUGUGACCCAUGGAAGCAUGCAGUCUAUAAAAUAAUUCUUUUUUUUUUUUAACAAAAAAUUGGUGAUGUUGAAAAGCAAAAUUAUUAUUUCUCUAAUUAGGGUGAACAUUCAUAAAAAGAAUGCCGUAUGAAACUAAAUUAUUAAUUCGUUUGACAUGUGACCCACAAUAAAUAGUUAAAUUUGGCGGCAACAAUAAUUACAAGACGAACUUAAAGCAGCGCAUAGGUUUUUCUUAAAAAUACAUAAACAAUUCGAUAUUUUUUAUUUGACAGUUUUUAAGAAAUGUCAAACAUAUAUGACAUUUUGUGAAAAACUGAGUAAUUGUGAAAUAUAAAUGAUAAUUUAUUUAAACGUCAAAUAAUUGUGACGUUUUAUCAAAUAAGUGAUAAAUAUCUUACAUAUUUAUUGAAUAAUUAUCAUUUACCUUUUCCUUUUAUUGACUCGAGCAAAAAAAACAAAAAAACUGACUAUACUGCUUUUAUUUUCGUUCUUAGAACAGAUUUUAGUUUCUUUUGAGAAAAUUCAAACUCAUUCCCAUUACUUUCUUUUCAAUAAUCACCUCUCAGUUUUUCAUCAAUCACUCAAUUCCGAAUUUCAUCUCCAUUCUCUUUUGAAGAAGAACGCACGAAGAAUUUUAGCUUGCUUUUGCUGCUUCUCGAAUAUUGGGUAUUGUUUCCUUUAAUUUAGAUAAUUGUUUUUUAUAUCUCUCUUUCUAGUUUGAUAAUUUAUGGUUAUACUUGAAUUAAUUGUAUUUUUAAUCAACCAAGGUUGAUUUAAUUGAUUCCAAGUCUCAAUUUCCUGUUCAACAAUUUUCAUACUCAAUUUUGAAAGAAUCAAUGUAUUUUAUCUUUGGUUAGUACACUUCUGUUCAAUUUUUGUUUAUUUAACUUAAGAUAUCUUUUUCUUUCUUUUCUUCAAGCAAAUUAUAGAUUAUAUUGAGAACAGAGUUUUCUCCUUAAUUCCGCCAAGAGCAACGUUGAUUUCAGGUGAUAAUUGAAUGUGUAAUAUUUUCAAUUGAAAUUAAUUGAGUCUCGUGAUAAUAAUAGGGAUUUGAGAUUUACAUCCUGUUGAAAUGAUUUUAGAGUGUUCUGUUAUUUGAAUGCGCAUUAAUUGUUUGAUUAAAUGUCUCUUUAAAAGAUUAUUUUUGUUUUUAGCAAACAUCUUAAUGCACUUUACAAAUUGAAUCCAACAAGGGAAAAUUAUAGAACUGCAGCAGUUUUCAAAUUGAUUGCAUAUUAGAAGUAAUGUUAAUUUAUGCUGCAACAGUUCAAUGGGCUGGGCACAAGUUUAGGACUUCAGUUGCUCAAUUAAUGAAUCCACCACUCAUCAGACUUGGAACUUAUAUCUAUUGAAUCAAUAAAAAUAGUUGAUGGAAUCAAUGCCGAAAGCUUCAUUUGAUAUUUAUUUAUAACAUCUGUUAGAUUCUGGACAAUCACAAAGAUAUAGUAGCAGAAACUAUGUUAGAGACACUAUAGUUGCUUAAUUAGUGAAAUUGUGCUCUCAUUGCCCCCUUUUUUUGGUUGAUUCUAUAAUUUUAUUAGUUGUUCUUGUGGUUGUAAACAAUAUCAAUUUCUAAUAUUAAUAAAACUGAAUGAAUAAAAUGCGAUGCAUUUGCAGGAAAGUUAAUAGUUUAAAUAUGGAUAAAUCUUGGAUGUUGAUGGAUAGAAGGUCUAUAGAAUAUGAGAACAUGGUAAAUGAGUUUCUCAAGUUUGCAGUACUUCAUGCUAGUCAUCUUGAGCUUUUGAGAUGUCCAUGCCAAGCAUGUCUUAGUUUAUAGGCUCAAACAAUUAACAGUAUAGAAAAUGCAUGAUAGAACACAGAACUCAUAUUUUAGCAACAAUCCUCAGCUCACUGGCCCUUAGUUCAGAAUGACAAUUCUUAUUAGCCAAAGGUUCAAAAUGAUUUUUAGUUGUUUAUAAGUAGAGAACUAGAUCAACAAAUAAUUGAAGACCUGCAGCUUGGCUAUUGAACUAUACGAUGAUGCCAAUUCGAAGACUACAACUUGGCUCUGCCAUUCGAAGUAAGCAACGCAGCUGCCCAAAGUCUGCCAAACCAAGAAAAAUAAAGACUUCUCCUUAGCAAUUAAGUUAAUAUAAGGAAUGUUGCAUGUCCACAAAACUAGGUAGACGCAACUGGGACUUCAAUAUAUAUAUAGAUAUAUAUAUAUAUAUAUAAGCAUUUCCUAGAUCAAUAUUAUUCUCAGUAACUGAAUAUUGAAGCUGACCAUCACAUUUAAUAAUAAAUCAAUAUCAGGAAUGUUGUUGAGGAGUAUUUUGAUAUUUACAAAAGUGUUCAAAGUAAAAAUUGAUUUCUUAAAACCCAUUAGCUAGCGCACAUAAUAAUGGGGAGAAAAUUUUAGACUACGAAUAGUCCCACCCAUUUAAUAAUAUUCUUCAAUCAAUUAUGUUUACUUCAAAAAAAAAAAACCAUCUCUUUAUUACUUUCUAACUAUUCAUAUUAAUGUGUUCAUAAUUAUGAAGAACCGGUGUAAUUUAUAUGAUGUAGGAAGCACAUUAGUCAAAAUCAUCAGAAUCUCAAAAUUUCGUGAUGUUGUGCCAAAUAUGCAAACCAAAGCUUCCUACAUUCUUUGUACGUUUGUGUUAGUUACAAGCAAUCACAGUGGUAAACGAAAAAAAACGAAUUAAAACACAUGAGGAGAUUUAAAUGAAAAUGUCUUAAUCAUAUAUCGCAUGUAAGACCUUUUGUACUCAAAACUGAUCAGCACCCAUUCUGCCCGCCGUGUGAUCACAUCUUGAAGGGAGUGUUGCUUCAGCAUUUUUAUCAUUUUUACUAUUUCUAGGAUCCAUUUUGUCACCUCCCUCCCUCCCCCCGGUUUCUAAAAUAAUUAUAUAAUAACCAUAUAAUUAUUGGUUGUUCUAGCAAAUAAAAAAAAUAUAUAUAUAUAUAUAUAUAUUAAUCUUUUAAUAACAUUAUCACUUUGUCAAAAUAAAAAAUCUCCUCAUUAAAUAAUUAUAUUAUAUAUAUUCAUUUAUUUAUCCAAAUAAAAAAGUAUGAAGUCAAAUAGUACACAAUAAUUUAACUAAUUUGAAUUGGUUUAUUUUUAAUGAAACAAAUAACAUUCCUAAAUGCUUCUCUUGAUCCUUAAUUUAUUGAUAAUUUUGUCAAUUUAAGGUCGGCUAUAUAUUGAUUAAAUUACAAGCUUAGACUAUCGAAAGCUGGUUACAGUUAUGGAGGCAGGAAAAAUUUUAUUGUACCAGAAAUUUUUUCUACAACAGUCCAUGCAAAGUAAACAUUUGUAAGGAAAUUGGAGAAUAAUUACAAAGCCAACUAAAUUUUAUGAGAAUCAAUUUGGAGUUUUUGUUAAUCGCCAUUUUGCGUUCAUACAAAGCAAGUGUAGAUACCGGCACAAUAAGCUAAAUGCAAAAUCCAAUGUAGGACAGUGGGGUUGGGACAACGAAAUGGGGAAAUGGGAAUCUAGGUAAUUGCACUGAACCUUAAACUGAGAGUACGGGCACUUAAAAUUUUUAAAGUGUCUAAUAAGUUUCAGCUAAAAAGGAAAUAGGCUGUAAAAUUGCUAAAUUCAUUUUGAUUUCUAAAUUCAUAAAUAACCUUAAAAGUUCUCUGAUACAACUUGUCAAUAAUGGUGAAAAUUCAAUUUCAGAAUGACAAUUCUUAUUAGUGAAAGAAUCAAAAUGAUUUUUAGUUGUUUAUAAAUAGAUCACUAGAUCAACAAAUAAUUGAAGACUGGCUUGGCUAUUGAACCAUACGCGGCAAUUCGAAGACUGAAACUUAACUCUGCCGUUCGAAGUAAGCAACUCAGGUGCCCAAAGGCUGUCAAGCCAUCAAGACAAUACGAAGAUACAACAUCAAUAAUAAUUACAUAUUACACCUACCCCAAUAAGAAAUUAGUUAAUACAGUCCUAGAAAGAAAUUUACAAACCCAUGCUGUAGGAAUAAUUAAUUAAUUUAUACAGUUCGGUACUCAUUCCUCUUCUGUUUCAAAUCCAUAUCCACUGCUCUGCCAUUUAUUACUACGCAAGGUAUAUGGGUUAGCAAGUGCCGACAUUGUCCUCCAUUCUUUAUGUGCCUUUCUUCUAUCAAGGGACAACCCAAGAUCUCUAAUCGCAAGAAAAAUAUUUCAAAGUAAAAAGUGAUUUCUUAAAAUCUAUUAGCUAGUGCACAUAAUAAAAGGCCAUUCAUGGUAAAUUUUAGAUUACAAGUAGUCCCAAUAAUAUUCUGCAAUCAAUUCCGUUUAUUUUAAAAUAAAAGAAAUCCAUCUCUUUAUUACUUUCUAAUUAGUCAUAUUAAUGUGUUAAUAAUUGUGAAGAACCAGCGUAAUUUAUAUGAUGUAGGAAACCCGUUAGGCAAAAUAACCUGAAUUUUUUAAAGUAGGGGCUAGACAUAUUGGGCAUAACCUCAGUUUCUGUUACUUCUUUGACCCUGCCUAAGCUCUUUUAUGGGCUAAUAUCAAAAUUUCGUGAUAUUGUGCCUAAAGAGCUUCCAAUUCAAGGAGCUCCCCUGUUUUUGACUGAAACAUAUGUAAUCCGAAAAAUUUAUAAUUAGAUAAAUCAUUCAAAAUCUCCCUGAAUCUAACCCACAUUUCUAUGGUUUAAUAACAUAUCACAAAGGUGCCUAAUAUAAUGAAAUUAGCACUAGUUCACGAGAUUGCCAUUAUAUAUUACAAGUCUUUUUAUGAUGUAGAUUAGAAGGGAAAAUACGAAGGACAUAUUAUAUAUUAUAUAUGAUUGAAUUUAAUCCAUGAUAAUUAGACAAAAUAACACUAAUCUAGCUAACUAAUCCACCCAUCAUAAUAAUUUGAUUUUCAUUAUUUUAUUGUGUCCAAUCAUGCUAAUUUAAUAAAAAAAAUACAGAACACUUGAGGAUUUAGAUAUUCAACAACUUUGGCCAAGUUUGAAAAAGAUUAGAGCUUCCUUCAUGCUUUGUGUUCUUAUGUUACACAUGAUCAUAUUAUGUUACAUUUGACAGAAAACUGAAAAUUAUUGAAAAAAAAAAAUCUUAGUUAGCACAUGAUCAAAAUGAGAGAUUAAUGCACACACAUCACAACAAUGUUUCAUUCAUUUUGAAUCUAUAUUUACAAAACUUGUAUCCGAUGGUUUACAUUUGUUUAAUCUAACUGCUAUGACAUGUGUACUGUCAAAACGCUACAGCUGCCAUCUCUGUUUGUCCUUGUUGCAUCCUUGAUCUUAUAUUAUCCUGGAGAUUAUUGAAUGUUCUUCUCAUUCUCAUGUGCUCGAGGGUCCUUUCUUGAGACAUUUCAGCAAACACCUGAUUCAUCCUAUUAAACAUUAGCAUCAUUAAUCAGUAAAUGAUGUAAGGUAGCCCUGUUUCGUGAAGUCAACAUAAAUCAGUCACCUUAGAUUUUCUGAGUCUCAGAGCACAAUGGGUGAUGAUUUGAUGAGAAAUAUUAAUAUGCCUUCAUCCCCUGAAUUAGCUAGAGCUGGUUGUCAUUUUCUUCUUUCUUUUGGUACGGUUUUAGAUUUUUAAUCAAUCAGAUUCAGCUGCAUGUUUGCUUUUAGUCCAAACCAAAAUAAGAUAUUAAGUACUUUUGCCAGAAUAGACGCAACCAAAAUUCUAUGGGAUCUGUAGUUCCUAGUUCAUGCAGAAGCGACCGAAUGCUUCCUGCAACUCAGGCAGAUAGAACCUUGGUUGAUUCGUUUUUCUUCAUCUGAAAUUCUACCUAAUGCCUAUCCUCUUAAUUGGUUUAAAUUCUUCUUUUUUUUCUUUGAAUUGUUGAUUUAUAAUGUCUUGUAUGCAACAUUUAUAAUUUCGGAUGAUGAUAAUCUUGUUUAAGAAGAGAUUUCUAGUUACGGCAGCAGCGUUCUUGAUCAUGGCAUCACAAGCACGUGCUCUGGUUUGCUUAGUUUCCUUUUUGUCUCUGAUAUUUUCUUGGCAUUGUGGGAUAUUGUUUCUCUUUUGAUUUUCUGUUUUUGUUUGCUUAGUUUCCUUUUUAUGUCUGAUAUUUUCUUGGCAUUCUUGUUCUCUCUUAUAAUAAAGUGCUUUUGAUAAAUUCGCCUGGUCGGUUUACUUCACUAACCAUUAAUGAGCAAAUCCUCCCAGUGACUCUCAAACUCUUCUACACAAUUAUAAUAAUUUCAGUUUUACAUAUACAAAAAUGAACAGCUCUCAAACAUAUCAUUUGAUAAUGACAAAAACAAUAAUUCACUCCAAUAAAUCUCAUAAUAAAUACAUGAUCUACAUUGCAAGUCUUUUUAGGACGCAUUCAAAGAGAAAACAUAAGGAAUGGCAAUGCAAGAAUAUGGAAUCAGAAUAACAGUGAUACAAAGAGAAAAAAAAAGGGGAUGGUCGGGUUGGGUUGCUUGCAAAAUUAUUGGUGCGGGGGUCUACUUGUUUUUGUGUCACUUUAUUAAUUAAUUACCGAAGCAAACACGUCAUCAUUUGAAAAAGAAUCACUAGCACCAGCUUAUGAAAAAUAAAUUUGUAAGACAUAUUAAUUUGAAAAUAUUUUGGAAUUUCAGUCUAAGUUGAUUUGUCUAAUUAUGUAUGCACAAACUAGCUUGACCACUUCUUUCAUAUUGAUACCUAUAAAUUGCAACCUUAUUUUACGUUGAUGCACAAUCUAACUUAACAAAAAAAAUAUUCAAAUUGUCACAAAAUAUUUUCUUCUUAAUAUAUAUAUAUAUAUAUAUACAUACACACAGUAGUUAAUUUUCCUUAUUCUUCACUCCAGGAUCCAGCUGCAUACCCCUCUUUUUUGUCGUUAUGUUGCUCAACCGUUAGAUUUUAAUAACGUUAAUCUAACGGUUGAGAUUUGUAAAUGAAUAAUGAAGUGGUGUUUGGCUACUAUCUGAAAAUAUCGGCAGCCAUCGACGGCGAAUCUGAACAAAGGCAACAGGAGGUGAUCGUGGUGAAAUUGUUUUUUGGCAUGCGAAUCUAACGACUUUCAAAUACGUUCAUUCAAAUAUUAAAUGCAAUUCAGGCAAAUAGAAACUUGGUUGAUUGAUUGCUUUUCAUGUGAAAUUCUACCUAAGGGCUAUCCUUUUAAUGGUUUGUACUGUCUUAUAUGCAAAUUAAAUUCGGAAUUCGGGUGAUAAUAAUCUUGAUUUAGAACAGAUUAGGUAACAUGUGGCAUUCUACAUUCUUGCAAUGCCAUUUCUUUUUAUGGCAGCACCAUUUUUUAUCAUUGUUUGUGUGGACCUAUUUGCUGAAUUCAAAACUUGGCGUGUUAAAACGGCAUCGUUUUGUCCAUUAAGAUGUUUCAAGUUGUCCCCGGCUGGACAUAUGACUCACUUAAUGAUACCAAAACGGCGAGGCAUGAAGGUGUUUCGGCUAAGGGCUUAAGUUCUGCAUGUGACAAGCACGUGAGAGAAGAAUCAAGUUAGUUAUAAGUUGUUAUACACGUGGCUGGAUCUGGUGCAAUCUGGGGUAAUGAACAGCCGUUAUAUAAGCUGAGCUUUCAGGCAGUUUCAGCAAGAUGUAAAGAGCUUCUAGAGAGAAUGAAGAGAGAGAAAAUGUAUCAUCUUAUUCCUUGUUAGUUUCUCCGUGUGAGCUCUGUAAAAUACUUUGAUUCAUAAAUAAAACUCAUUUUAGUCGAUUCUCCCUUGGAUGUAUGUUCUGCCUCAUUGCACAGCCGAACCACGUAAACAGUGCUGGUUUCUUUUUUUUUCAUUUGUGUCUAUCACUAAAAAGCAGAGCACUUGCUUGAUUGAAUAAUGUCAUAUUACAUCACAUAAACUCUCUCAAUUAUUGAAAAAGAAAAUCGUAAAAGAGAUGUGUUGAAUUGAUAACUGAAAAAAUCUUAAAAAAUCUUCAAAGUUUUCAAUUAUUGAUAACUGAAAAUUAUUGAAAAAAAAAAUCUUAAAAGAGAUGUGUUGAAUUGUGAAAUUAAAACUGAGUUUCAGACAUUUCUGACAUGUCGGUUUAUAUUCUUGAUUGUGCAUGCCCUGUCGGUUGCUUGAUGAAACAGGAGAAUAUUGACAUCUGUGUAUUAUCGUUUACUUCCUGCAAUUAAAUCACAUGUUGUUCACGUGAUUCCAUUUGCUCUAUGCGGCACAUUUGGCAGUCGUUUAGGUCACUUACUGAAGCACGGGUUAAGUACUUGAUUCAAGGUUGUUAACUGACCUUUACAAGGCGGGAAAAACAAACCCGGAAUGCAGCUAGUGAGUGGGGGACUUUUCUAGACUCUUCAUGAUAUGUAUAUAUAGUCUUAGAGGCUAUAGUUGAGACAUAUGAAAAGCUUGUAACUUCUUCUUAAUGUUUGUAGUUUGAUCUCGGUGAUGGAGAUAAGAUUGCUGCCCUGUUCUCCAGGCCGAACCACUUAAAAUGUGCCUCUGUUUUGCUUGAUGACUACCAGUGGUGAGAAAACAGCUACAGAACAAAUCAAGCUUGAUGACUCAAAUAUUAGGGAAGCCAUAGUCAAGGCAUCUGGUUUAUGCAUCAACAGUGGUUCGUGGACUAGAAUUCUUAGCUAUUGCCGCUUCACAAUUGCACUGGAAGAAAGCGAAUUUGAUCGAGCUUUGGAUCGCAUAGCUAAAUUCAAAAGCAUCGUACAAAUAGUUAACUCAAAAACGGUAUUGUCAUUUGUCAUGAUUUAUUUCUAUUGCCUGAUGAUGAUACCCAUCACGCCUUAGUUGUCGUGAAUAAAUCUAAAAUCAAAUUGAACUGGCUUUUACUGGUUAGCAACAUUUGUGACGUUUUGAGAUUAUAAUAUAUGACAACACUGAUUAGUGUUGUCUCCCAUGUGAAUUGAGACAAAAAUUAUUUUCCCAAUUGCGCUUUCAUUUGAACAAUUCCACUGUAGAUUUAUAAAAUAAUGAUCAAAUUGUGUUUUAUAUUAAGUUACGAGUAAUUGGUUAAAUAUUAAUACAAAACUAUUUUAAGUAACAUGUGGCAUAUUCUAAUUCUAGCCAAGCUUCCAACUAAGAUUCCCAAAUCAAAAGAAUUUCAAUCUUCAGAACAUUCUGCAAAACGUUUAGUUUCUACGCAGUGCUAGAAUUUUCCCUAAGUUUCUAUCGCAAAGACUUCUAAAGAACUAUUCAGAUAUCGAGCUAUAAUCCAGUCUAAAGUGUAUAUAUCCCUCUAAUUCACCUCCCUCCAUUUCACCAGAAAAUCAACAAACACUUAGCUUCAAACAAACACUCUAAAAAAGCUAGCUAGCUAUUCAGAUGGCAAAACCAAGAAUUCUUGCAAUGACAAUGUUGUUUCUUGUUAUGGCAGCAACAUUGAUGAACAUGGCAUCGCAAGCAAACGCUCUGAUGUCGUACACACAAUCACCUUUCAGGGUUCUUGAACAAACCCCUUUAACAAUCGCAAAACGAGCUGAUCAUCAUCAAACUCUAGCCCCGGCGAGAACAGACUAGAUGGAGACACCAACAGCCCACGUGAUCACGCUCGACAUUCCAGGGAUGAAGAAAGAUAAUGUAAAGAUUGAAGUUGAAGAGAACAGAGUACUGAGAGUGAGUGGGGAGAGGAAGAGUAAUGAUUAUUACAAGGAGGGAGUUGAAGGAGAGAAAUGGCACAGAGCUGAGAGGACAUUUGGCAAGUUUUGGAGGCAGUUUAGGAUGCAUAUGAGUGCUGACUUGGAUCAUAUUAAGGCUCACAUGGAAAAUGGGAUUCUGAGGGUCACAGUGCCAACGCUUGCUGAGGAGAAGAAGAGGCAGCCUAAGGUUAUUAACAUUGAUGAAGAGUCUGGUAAUUCUUCCAAUGAAGAUAUUAAGGCUACCAAGGCUCAAAUGUAAUUGAUUAAAGAAAGAAGUGAUUGCUUUGCUUGAUGUGCUAUUUGUUUAUGAUCUUUUCUUGGUUUUGUUGUGAGAUGUUUCUAUUUGGAUGCUCUAUUUAAUGUAUUUUGAUGGGUUUUUGAGGAAGGCUUGUAUGUAUUGACAACAAUAAAGUGCUUUUUAUAAAUCCUAGUCCUCCAACACUAAAAGAAAUUAAUACGCUUGGUUUAUAGUUAAUAAAAAUAUAUAUAUUUUUAAAAAAAGUCUUUUUCUUUGGCAUAUAGUAUGCGUUUUGAGGGAAAAAAAAUUAUCCCACUCCUAAUUCGUCCUCUUCUGCGAUAUUAAUGUGUUAACACGAAGAUUCAUUGUAAUUGCAACAAUUUUGACGAAUCCAAACGUUCAAUAACUGUUAAAUUGUAUUUAUAAAUACUAAUAGCGAAGGUACAGAAACGAUUAAUUCACGAAGUUGCUUAAAGUGCAUUAAAUUAGAGAGUAUAAAUAAUUGUGUGAUACAGUCCAGCCUUCAUCUGCUUAUAAUUAGCAACCAAAAACCACUUUGCAACACCAUUAAAAAAACAUUUUAACAUUAUUGCUGAGGGAAGAGGCAGCUUAGGCUUAUUAACUCGUAUUAUUAAUGCUGAUGACGCAGCUGGUAAUCCUUUUGGUGAAUAUAUUAAGGCAGCUGAAGCUUAAAAUUAAUUAAGCCCACUAAAGCUUAAAACUAAUUCUUCUGGUGACGAUACUUUGCUUAGUUCGCUUUUUGUUUUUAAUUUUUUUGGGGCUAACGUUUUGCUUAUUUUGCUUUUAAAAUUCUAUUCGCGUUGCUGUGGAAUAUUGUUUCUCCUUCGAUUUUCUGUUUUUGUUGUUAUCGGAUUUGAUGAUGGUUUAUAUGUACGAAGAUUAUGUAAUAAAGUGCUUUUGUAAAAAUACUAAGGUAAUAUACAUUACACAUUUGUACUCAAUAAGAAAUCAAUUCAUUAAUAUAAGCAUUAAUACCCCUGGUUUAUUGUUAAUGAAAAUUAAAAAAGAAAAAAAAAAGUCUUUUUCUUUGGCCUUUAUUAUGGAUUUUAAGAGGAAAAAAAUUUAUCCCACUCCAAUUCAUGAAGAUAUUCUCUUUUCUGUCAUAAAGAUCCAUUGCAGUUGGUGAAUUCAAAUAUUCAGUAACUGAUGAAAUUGUAUUUAUAAAUUCAUACUAAUAGCAAUUGAAGAUUAUAAUUAAUUUUGUAAUAUGAUCUAGCCCUCGUGUGUUUAAUUAGCACUCAAAAACCACUUUACAUAAAUGAGGUUUCAACAGCUGAGAAAGAGAUAGCCAUUAUACAUUACACAUUUGCACUUAAUAAGAAAUCAAUUCAUUAAUAUAGCCAUUAAUACGCCUGGUUUAUUGUUAAUGAAAAUUAAAAGAGAAAAAAAAAGGUCUUUUUCUUUGGCCUUUAUUAUGCAUUUUAAGAGGAAAAAAAUUUAUCCCACUCCAAUUCAUGAAGAUAUUCUCGUUUCUGUCAUAUUGAUGUGUUAAUAUGAAGAUCCAUUGCAGUUGGUGAAUUCAAAUAUUCAGUAACUGAUGAAAUGGUAUUUAUUUAUAAAUUCAUACUAAUAGCGAUUGAAGAUUAUAAUUAAUUUUGUAAUAUGGUCAAGCCCUCGUGUGUUUAAUUAGCACUCAAAAACCGCAUUACAAUAGGCAUUAAAAGAACAUUAUAACGUCAUUGCUGAUGAGUUCUGGUGAAGAUAUUAAGUUAAGGCCACAAAAAUCGAAAUGUACGUAGCUUCGUUUGUUUUUUGUUUUUGAUUUUUUUUGGGGGGCAAAUGCUUGGCUUCGUUUGCUUUUUCGUUUUUGAUAUUUUAUUGGCUUUAUUGUGUGGCAUGUUCUUGUUUUCUUUUGAUUUUCUGUUUUGGUUGUUAUGGGAUUUGAUGACGAUGUACAUGUACAAAGAUUAUGUAAUAAAAUGCUUUUGAUAAAUUGUGGAACAAAAGAAGAACACUAACGAACUAAUUAAUUACUAAUAAGAACAUUAACAAUUUUUGCCGAAGUCUGAUGAAGAGAAAUAUUACACAUAAGUAACGGUACCGCGGAAGGAAAAAAUAAAAGAAACUAAAGUUUAUUUCAACAGCUAAGAAUGAAAUAGGCAUAAGAAAUUAACCCAUCAAUUAAUUAAUUAAUACAGUCCCCUGCUACUAAAUAAUGCGAGCCCCUUACUGUACUUAACAUUUUUCUUUUUAAUAAUUUAAAACAGUUUUCAACUGAGAUUUGAAUUUUAAAACUACAUACACAAAUACACCUGAUUUUAAAGAAAAAAAAUUUCUAAUAAUAAAAUAUUUUACAUAUAUAACCAUAUGGCGAAAAAAUAAAUAUAAGAAACUGAAGUUUCAACAACUGAGAAUGAGAUAGGCAUAAGAAAUUAAUUCAUUAAUUAAUUAAUAGAGUCCUCCUUUGCUAAGCUAAAUAAUGCGAGCCCAUUGUUCUUUUUAUUUCGAAAACCCAUUAAUCACCAACACAUAAUACACGCCCAACUUUUUUUUUAAAAAAAACCUAAUAAUAAAAUAUUUCAGUCGUCCUCUGUUGAGUCGUCCUCUGUUGAGUCGUCAUAAAAAACCCAUUUACCAGCUAUGACAGCAAGAGGAAUAUGGGUUAACAAGUCCCAAUAUUGUCCUCCAUCCUUUCUGCACUUCUUUUCUAUCAACGGACAAUCCACGAUUCUUAAUUGCAAAAGUGAGGAAGGCAGGCCCUUCUCCGGAAAGUAUUUGAGCUUGGGACAAUGAUAGAGACCCAAGUGAGUGAGGUUUUGAAGAUCAACAAUUGAAGAAGAUAGGCGUUCCAGAUUUGGAAAAUUGUAAAUCCACAGAGAUGUUAGAGAGGCAGGAAGAGGAAGCGCGGUCCCUAAUCUUUUGUCCUCUAGUGGAAAUGACACCAUGUCGUCAUCGCAUCCUAUGAUUUCAAGAUGUCGCAGACAGGAGAAUCUGUGAAAUCCCCGGCCCCGCUCAAUCAUUGACUUCCAAAUCUCCAUAUUACCCUCAAUCCAAAGUGAAUGAAGGUUGAUGGGAAGGCCAUCUUCUUCUUCAAGGCUUGGAAGCUCACCUCCUUUUCCUAUUGUUAAUUGUUGAAGAGAGGUCAGAUUGUGCAAUCCCUUGGGUAAGGCCUCUAGUCUCUUACAAUCAAGUAUCGUCAGCCUCGUGAGUUUCGCACAAGGGAAUGCCCCUUGGGGAAAGGACACUAGAUUUCCACAAUACGCUAUGCUAAUCUCUUGAAGCUGGCGGAGAUUAUGUAAACCACUCGGUAAAAUUUUCAGAUUUCCACAAUUAGAAAUGUCGAUUGUUUCAAGAGAUGUGUUGUUGUCCAACCUUUCUGCUAUUGACUCCAGCUUUGAACAUCCGCGAACAGAAAGGGACUUAAGAGACGGAGGUAGAUUGCCAACUUCAAGGGACUCAAGCGUGGCAGGUAACUCAUUUUUUGAAAAUAUACAUGUCAGUGAUGGACAGCUGUUAAUACGCAACUGCUCAAGAAGAGAUGAGGUGUACCUUCUAUUGCUGCUGCUGCUGCUACACUGGAUGCCCUCUUCCACUGUCAAAGUCCUUAUAUUACUGCAAUUGUUAAUCACCAACUGCUUAAGGCUCGGUGGUAGCUGGACUCCAGCAAUAUAUGUCAACGAAUGGCAAAAGCAAAUCUCCAAGAUCUCGAGAGAUGAAUUGGUGUCGCACAUCCAUGCCUCUGGUAAUGAUUUCAGUGCAUCACAUUCCCUAAUCUCAAUUGUCUUCAACUUGGAAGGCAGAGCAACCUCAGGAAAGGAAACAAGGGAACUGCACUUGUAGAUUUCUAUCUCUCUCAAGGAACUGAGACUGAGAGAUGAUUGUGGCAGCUUCACAAGGCCUUCGCAAUAUCUCAAUCUUAGAUAUUCGAGUCUGCAUGACAACUCGCAGAGCUGCUGUUGUUGGCCUUUCUCUUCCUCCGCCACCAAGGAUUGAAGUUUGGGACACCGUCUAAUCGUCAGUCUUCUGAGAGAGCAAAUGUCUUGCAGUAAUUCGUUAUGACUCUUCCAUAUAUAUGUCUGCUCUUUCAUUUCAUUUAUCUUCAAUUCUUCCAAUUUUGGUAGUCGCGGCUUUAAUGGCCCUGCGAGAAACACUUGAUUUGAUCUAUCUCUACAAACCACUGAAUUCUGUGAGCCGAGAUGAUCAGUUGCACUUCUCCACACAACCUUUUUACAUCCACCACUCUGUAAUUUGCAAAGAGCUGGAAGACUCGAAACUGAAACUGACAAUUCUUCACAUCCUUUAAUAACAAGCUUCUCCAAUGCAGGAAGGCGUUCUGGAAAUGUUCCUUGCAGCUUAGAACAUCUUAAAAUGUGAAGCUCUCUCAAUUUAGGAAACCGUUCAACUCCCUGACUGGAUCCAUGAGGAAUCCAGUCUUCCCAUCCUUGCAUGUCUUCAAAAUGAAGAGUCUCCAAGCAUGGAAAAGGAAUUGGAGUAUCAUUCCCAUAGAACUCUGAACCCAACCUCUUUACACUAGUCAUUCCACAUACUGCAAGAUGCUUUAGAGAGGGUAGUUGCCCGACUGACGGCAGGGUAGGACACAUGCCACAAUAUUCAAAUUUUAAGGUCACCAACUUUGAGAAUGAGGAAUCUCCGAACCAAGUUGGAAAUUUUGCACCUCUAUAGCCGCUGAUACAAAAUUGUUCCAAAUUUUUAUUGGGUUCUAGCAUGUCAAGCACGUCCUUUUCAAUUUCCGCCUCCCUUGAAGACGAGCCAUCGGUACUGAGUGUCCAUCGAAGCAAUAAUUCUCUAAGAUUCUUCUUUCCAUCCAAUUGAGCCUCCUUUGCAUCACCAACGUCUUUUACAUUCUCCAAUUUUGAAAUGUUAAGUGUCCCAUGAAGGUGCGUCAACAACUUUAGCUCUCGUAACCCGGAACCACUGCCUUUUCCCACAACAAAAUUACACAACGUCUGAAGACUAGUCAACCUACCAAUUCCUACUGGCAUUUCCUCCAACGACUUCGUAUUUGAAUUCUUAAGAUGAUGCAAUUUGGCGAGGUUUCCCAUGUCUGCACACAACUUCUUCAGCCGAUCACAAUCUUCCAACAAAAGACUAUGCAAAUUGUAAAGCUUGUUGACUGAUUCAGGCAGAGUUCUAAUCUCAGUUGUAGACAGGUUAAGGUACCUUAAAUACCUCAAAUCACCAAUUGAAUCCGGCAGCUCAGGGAUGCAGUAUCCACGCAAAGAGAAGACCCUCAAGCGUCGGAGUUUGAGCAACUUAGGAAGAAUGCUAGGAGCCAAGAAGCCAGGCGAACUUUUUGUCAACAUUACUGGUAAAAAAGUUCUCAAAUGCUGGAUAUCAUACAAGUCCC